rnacentral:lncRNA from 1 species
UGACAAGUCUAGGUAAUUCAGUAAACUCAUCUGAGACAUGUCUGGUGGUAUCCCUCCUGAAAAAUUGUUUCUGGAUAAAUCCAAAGUCAAAAGCUUUUCCAUCUUAUCAAUCUUCUGCGGAAUCUCUCCAAAUAGAUUGUUAUUUGACAAGGACAGGGACACCAAGUCAUGAAGAUUGGUAAUUUGAUAUGGGAUUUGUCCUGUUAAAUUGUUGCUUGACAGGUCAAUGCUCUUCACCAAUUUCAGAGUGGUAGAAAAUUCACGUUCAUCUCCUUGCCACUCAAUCAUCGCAUGGACAAUAUAUGUGUCAGCUACAACAGCCUCUGUUCCUAGAAUUCUAGUAUACGUUACGUCUUCUGAGAAUACUUGUUGAACCAUACUUGUAAGAUUACUCAAACAUGAGGGGAUGGUUCCUUGGAGAUUGUUCAUUGACAGGUCUAGAAUUUGAAGAUUUGCUAAUUGACAUGACUGUAAGGGAAUGGUUCCAAAAAAGUUGUUUGAUCUUAGGAUUAGAAAAUACAACCCUGAUAAGUUUUCCCCUAUCCAAACUGGCACAUUACCAGAAAACUUGUUGGCCCCCAAAUUCAAUGAGAUCAAACUUGUGCAAUUCUUUAAAGACAAAGGCAAUUCUCCAGAGAAGUUGUUCUUGUAUAAAUACAACAUCUUGAGUUCUACCAAGGAUCCAAUAGAGGGAGGAAGCCUUCCAAAUAGAUUGUUGUGUCCGAGAUUAAGAACUUCUAGAUGUUCGAAAUGCCACAAACAGUCCGGGAGUUGUCCGGUUAAGGAGUUAUGAGAGAGAUCGAGAAAAGAUAAUGGCCCACCAACAAUUUGGCAUAUGAAGGAGAUUCCUCCAGAGAAUUUGUUUCUGGACAGAUCUAAUGUUGACAAAAUGGAAGGAACAUUUGGAAUUGAACCAUAAAAGUUGUUGAAACUCAAAUCUAUCACUGAAGUGUUGGCAAAAUUUGAUAAUAAAUCUGGUACUUUUGUGCUAAUGUUGUUGGAAGAAAGAUUCAGAUAACCUAAACGAGAAGGCCACAUGUCCCAAAACUCCAGAGGAAUUGUGUCUGAAAUUCCAGAAUUGGAAAGAUCAAGACGGGUGAGAUUUUUGAGUGUCUGAAUCCAUUUGGGGAAGAGAGGCCCUAUAUUGGAAGAACGCAGAUCAAUAGACUGUAUAGAAGAAAGGCUUGACAGGUGAGAUGAGGAAGGAGCUGUAACAUUAUUAAAGGAAACAAUAACAGUUUCAAGGCUGGGUAGUUCCCACAGUUUCUCACUUAUACUUCCAUUUAAAUGAUUAUCAGAUAGGUACAACCAUAUUAGGGAUGAAAAGUUUUGGAUCUCAUCGGAAAAUGGACCUGUAAAUUGGCUUCUUGUAGCAUAAAAUCUUUGUAUUGAAAGCGAUGUGCAUCCAGACAAGUUGUGGAGAAAAUCAGGAAAUUUGACAACCGCAGAGUUGUUAUCGAAGUAAAAAGUUUUCAGAUUACAGAGGUUACCAAGAUAUUUGGGUAUCCCAUCUAACAUGUUGCUGGUAAGAUCAAGGAUUUCAAUGCUAUUGCUGGUUAAUGGGAACAACCAACGAUACAUGGACGAGUUGAGAUUGUUGUCAUUGAGAUAAAGCUUAACAAUAGAUGAUGAAGAAGAAUUGAGAAAUGAAGAAUAUGGAUUCAUGACCUGUGACAGCUCACAUCCCUCUAAACUUAAAACUGAUAGUUUUUGGAGACUCGAAAUUACAUCUACCCAAUGAUCUGCUUUUGCUAGUGAAAUCCCAUCCAUAUCAAGUUCCUCCAAAUGAGAGAGAUGAGACAACCACUCUACCUUUUCAACUCUACACCUUUCAACAUUUCCAAGUCGAAGAACUUGCAAGUUGGUGAGGUUUCCAAACUCUGGAGGAAUGGUUCCAAAAAAAGAGUUAUGGGAAAGGUCAAGUUUCCUUAAUUCAGUCAAGGAACCAAUAAAGUUGGGAAUGGUUCCAUUGAAAGAAUUAUAGGAAAGAUCAAGAAGAUUCAAGUAGGUUAAGUUAAGCAGUGAAUGGCUUAUCUCACCUCCAAGACUAUAAAAGCUCAUAUCAAGCUCUGUGACAUGACCUGUUUGUUCAUCGCACAUGACUCCUUUCCAUUCACAGCAAUCAUGUUUAUCAGCUAUCCAUGUAGAGAGAUGGCCAUAUGGGUCUUGAAGGGGAGCUUUGAAAAGAAGUAGAACCAGUCUCUCCUUAUCCAAACACUUUAUUUUCAUGUUAACAUCAUUAUAAGUAUCAUCUCCUCCUCCUUCUCCCACUACCACCAAUUGGCUGCCAGUUUUAGCCACAAUGAAGAACAAUAGAAGUAAGAAAAUUAAGUAAACACAAUGAUUCAUAAUGUAAAUGAAAAUAUUGUUGAGUUUUAGCUUUUAUUGAUAUAUGAACUGCCCCAUGAGGGUCUAUAUAGUCUCAGACUGUGAAGAUGAAUGAUUCUAAUUGGGUGGCCUCAAAUAGGUGUACGUCCACUUGUGUGGGGAAUACAAAUACAAUAUUUAGUUUCUUGAAAUUAGAACCAAACUACAAGUCAAAUUCAUGGCAAUAGAACCAAACUACAAGUCAAAGUCAUGGAAAUUUCUAUUUAUUAUAAAAAAAUAUCUUUUCCCACCUUGUGAUAUUUUGCAAUUUGUAUUUAUUAAAGAUAUCUUUUUCCCAAAUUAUUGGCCUGCCUGUGUGGAGCAUACAAUAUUUAAUUUCCAUCAAAUUAGAGUUGGAACUAGUUGCCCCAAUUAAUUAGACUUCAAAGACUUGCAAGUCUUUGCAAUUUAUAUUUAUUAUCGGAUACAAAAAAAGUCAGAAUGUACAAACAUUGAUAAUCAAACUAUUUAUGUUUAUGCACAUAUAUCACACAAUCCAUGUAUCUCAUAUCCUACAUCCAUAAUCAAACUAUUUAUGUUUAUGCACAUAUAUCACACUUUAUCCUAUCAUUAAAGUACUUCUCACCCUAAACAGAAUUAUGAAAUCAAUUAGAAAAGUUUCAGCAGAAACAUAUCUAAUUUAUAAUAUCAAUUAAAAACAAUAUCAACAGAAACAUAAACCCAAGACCCACCAUUCAACAGAGAGAAAAAACAAAAAUCAAAAGAAAAUGUCAUUCAACUGAAAAUAGAGAACAGAGCUGUAAUGGCCAAUAAUUAGCAAGUUUUGUUGACAUGGAAUCUUCUGUGGCAACUUUUAGUUGAUGUGGAAAGAUUAAAACCCACACCAACUAAUUUUUGGGGACUAUUUCAUAGUUGGUUACCUCUUGAUAUAAUAAAUGGCGUAUGUUGGUCAUUUGAAGACAAUCAUGAUAGCACCUUUCCCAAAAUAUGUGUUGACUCUAAUAUACAUUACCAAAAAUAAUUAUUGAAAUGAUUAACUCAGACGUGUCUAUAAUUGAAUUUAAUUGAUAUGAGCAUUAUUAUAAAACAGUUAUUUUUAUGUUUGUAUAUUGAAUGUAAAAAUUGUGAAAGUUUAGUGAUGUUUUAAUUAUUAAGACGAUUAAGUUAUAUUGUGCUUCUUGUGUGUAUACCUAAUUAAACCUUAAUUGAGAUGCUGAUUGUGAUAUGAUAGAUAAUUUUCUUCGUACAUGUAUUAAAUUAAAAAAUACAUGAAAGUAUAUUCAAUAAAACUUUUAUUUUACUUACUCUCCAUGAUACCUGUUAGAAAACAGAUUCAAUCAUUAGUAAUUAGCCUAGACAUCAACUAACGUUCAUAGCUUCUCCAGUUUAUAAUUUUCCUAGCAAAGUUUAGAAUUUGUUAAAAACUCGGUAUUUUGCAAGAAAGUAAGAGCAAUAGACAAAAACAUAAUGCAAUAUUAGUAGUUUCAUUAUUAAUUAUUCUUUAAACAGCUAAAUCUGGUUGUGCUUUGCAGGUAUUAAAAUAUCACAAGAUGAGAAAAAGAUAUAAGAUAAUAAAUACAAAUUGCAAAAUAUGACAAGAUGGGAAAAUAUAUCUAUAAUAAAGACAAAUUGCCAAGACUUGUAAGUCAUUGAAGUCUAGUUUGUGGUAGUUUAUUUCAAAUCUUCAGUUUUGUUUUUUUUUUUCUUAUGGUUUGCUUCUAAUUUCAUGGAAAUUUAGUAUUAUGAAGCCGCCCUUUUAGAAUCAUUUAUGUUGACAGUCAAGAUUAUAUAAACCCUCAUGGUGGCUGUUAAUAUAAUAAUACAAUCAAAUAAUCACCAACAACUUCAUUUACAUUAUGAAUCCUUGUUUUUUUAUGAUUUUCUUUUUCUCACAUCACAUCAAUACUACUUGUGAAAAAUUCGUUGGGCCCAGGAGGAUAUUUGGGCAUUCUAAAACAGGCUAGGAAUUACCUUUUGUGGAGCCCAUUGUUAACAAUUCUGAAUUAUUAAAAAAAGAUUAGGAAAGGGAUGCAGAGUAGGACCUCUUAAUUAAUUAAUUAAUAUUUUGUCAAUACAAUAAUAGUAUAAAAAAAAAGUAAAAGAAAAUCAAUAAGGCCUAUAUCCGACCAAAAUCGAAACAAAUCCAAAGGAUAGGGAUGGAAGUGAAAAGAAUGGCGAUUCUGUGUAAUUUCCGCUUUCAAAUAUAAAAACUUGUCAUCGUGUAUCACUUUGUUGUUUUUUUGAUUGAUCAAAACUACAAUUCUGCAACUGUGUUUUUUGUACAAUAACUUGUAGCUUCUGAAGCUCGACCCCCUUCACCUCUAUCACUUUUUGUUGUUCUCAUUCAAAACUUUAAGAAUUUCUUUUUAUUUAUCCGAAGGACAUUUUAUUUUGUAUUCACGAAUGGAAUUGGAAUACUCUGCUUCAUACGGGAAAUCAUUUGGCCAGAAUUCUUCCUUUUUUAGUGACUGUGUUGUUGAUAAUACAAUGUCAUUGAUGAUUUCCUUAAAUCAUAUCACUAACUAAUUUAUUUGAAAUGUCCCACUUUUCUGAAGAAAAUUGAUCCUUUUUUUUGUCUGUGUCGGUUUAUAUAUUUGUAUUUGUUGCACAGCAAGUGCUCGUUGAAAUGCCUUCAUGAAACCCGAGUGAUUUGUAUUGGACAGUAAAAAAUUUAACAUGUUUAAUCUGCAUAUAAUAAUUAUUAUAAUCCAAAGACUCGAACAAGUAAACCUGUGCGUUUUCUGUUUUCAUGUGUUAGAUACUUACAUAGUACAUACAUCAACUAUUUAUAUAUUAGCUUUUGAAUUUUGAAUUUCAGAAAUAUAUAUGGAUUAUUUUACCAAAUUGUGUUUAUCUUUGGAAAUUAUGCUGUGAAAUGUUUAUGACACUCCUAUAUACAGGAUAUGUUUAUGCUAUUGCUAACUACUCUAAAUUUCAAACUACCAGGAUGUUAGAAUAUACUUAACAUGUUCGAUGAAAUGCCUGACAGAGAUAUCAUUUCAUAUUCAUCUAUUUUUCUUACAACACUUGGUUACUGGGAGACUCCAUACAACUAUGACAAGAGCUGCCAAGUUUUGCUGGAUGAUAUGAUCAGUAGAAUCCAGUCCCUCAACCAUUUUGUUAUUGGUUUCCCUUUUUCUACAUGUUUGAUGAAAGUUCCCAAUGAAAGUUCUCUCUUAUUUACUAGCUCUUUUGUUCCAAAUCCUAAGCCACUUUGAGCAAAAUAACUAUUAAAUGAUUCUUUAUUAUCUCAAAUAUCUACUAUGAUCUAGACUUAUAAAAAUACAUUGCAUGCACCCUACAUGGUGGUUGAGAGCUUGAUUCCUCCAAAGCUGUGACACAUCCUUUCUGCUUCCAUAACAUUAUUCUCGACCUUAAUACUAUACGCUUAGAUAAGGGUGGUCUACACAAUAUAUGACUAAACAUAACAUAAAUGAUUUAGAUAAAUAACUUCAAAUGCAGGUGGAAAUAUGUGAGCAUUAUACUUCUGUAACACCAAAAUGGAAAACCUCAAUUUGUAAUAACUUUUUUUGAAACAACCUUCUAGAUCGUUCAUGUUUUUAAAUGCCCUGAUGGUGUGACCUAAAGAGAAAAUGGAUACUCAAAACCUUUUAGAUACUAUUUUUAAAUAUUCAAUGAUUUAAUAUUUUUGUGUAACAGAUAUUCUUUAACUUUUUAGGUAAUGUAUUGGUAACACCGGAUUUACACCCUGAUGGCUCAUUGUUCGAAUCUGGUUUUCCACGAAACAUAUUUAUUAAAAUCACAUAUCAAAAAAUAUAGGAGCUAACUAAAUUAGAGAUUUUUUUUAAAGUAAUUAUUUUAUAACUUCAUCAUGUUAUUUUUUAUUUUUUGUAAAUAAAUUUUUUUAUAACUAUAAUUAAAUAACGUAUAACGUAGAGCCAAUGCUACCAUCUCCCCUCCCCAAAUCCGAUGCCCAUCUCCUUCUCCUUCUUCUCUGUGUUUUCUUGAUCGGGUAAUACCACAAAGACAAGAACCAACCCCUUUUCACCCUUCAAACUAACCUCCGGUGAAAAAGGAAAAAAAAAACGUGAUACAGGUGGAGGGAUGGUGGUGGUUUUCUCGGCUGGUGAGGAUGGUGAUGGUGGUGGCGUGUAGAAUCAAGAUGCUGGUGGUGUGAAGAUGGCGAUGAGCAGGGAUCCCUCUCUUCUCCUACGUCUGACUUCGUUGGAGCAGAAACGAGGUAGCUUCCUAUUUUGAUUCAAGUAGCAGAUGCAUAGAGAGGAAAAAGAAAUCGAAGAUCAAUGGAGUCUUUUCAGCUAAUUCUUUGAUAGGGAAUUUUGCAGAUAGAAUUUCUGCCUAAGGUGCUGCUGAUUUGUACAAAUAAACAUUGAUCAUUCUCCUCUCACUUCAAUAUACUUUUCAUGACUCUUUUCAGUUAUUCAUUGGGACUUUGCCUCAGCUUAGCGUCAUCAGCAUCAAUCAUCACUUCUCAUUGUCUGGUCAUUAAAACACAUGUGUUUAGGUCAAACUGAAAGCAAUUUAACCCACUUAAUUAUUAACAAGUACUAGAUUUUUAGGUUCGAAAAACAAAUAAUGCUCAAAACUGAAUUAAAAUCUAAAAUUCAGGGAUAAAAAUGGGCAUUUAUAAACAUUUCGUAAUCAAGAAAUGAGGACUAAACACUUGUUAUCAAUUAAGUUGAUGAUUCAGUUCAGAGGUAUGUUAACACAAGAAAUAGCAAAGUACUUCCAUUUGUUCCUAUUAGUUACAACAUUGUACAUGGAAAAAUCUACCUGAUAUGGCAAUAUCGUUUAAAUACAAAGCAAAUUUCACUGCUAUAAUGCUGGGGAUUUUAAAAGUACAACUCCUUUAUAAAAAAAAUGAAAGUAUGACAUUGUGAUUGAAAGAAAUGAAAGAAGGAUGCUACAUAAUACACAAACAAAUAAGUGUAUGUUGCUAUUUAUUGCAUUAAUCAUAAUAACAUUAUAUAUUAUGGCUUGACCUUUCCUAAACAUACACGAACUGAAAGUAGAAUAUUGUAACAGAAAGAAACUAAAGUAGGAUGCUAUAGUACACAUAAAUAAAGUAUGUUGCUAUUUAAAGUAGGUGGGGGUAUAGAAUAAAGGGUGGACAACUAAAAGAUCCGACACUGAACCUAGUGAUUCAUUUUUGAAUCAUUAAAUCCAAGAAGGCGAUUGUCAUUCGUAUUUUCAUUAUAAAAUAGAAUAGAAGUGCAACUGCUCCAAAAUUAUGAUAUGUAAUGGAUUCUCAGGCAGCUCGAUUUCAUAUGAAAUCAAUACUCUUUUUUGGACUGGUCAAGUUGGUUUCCGGUUUUUUUUGUGCACCUCUGAUUUUCAUCUUGUCUUUAUAUGCUGCAAAUAUGUAAUGACCCAAAAAUCGAGAAUAAAAAUUUUAUUUUAAAUAUAGCUAAAACAUUAACACCAUUUAUUUCUAACAUUUCAAAUCGUCGUUAAGUAAAACGUUUAUCAGAGUUCAUUCCCAGAAUAAUUCGUUGCAGAAAUCAUAGGUGUGUGCACUGUGGUCAAUCCGAGCUCUUCUUUUCCAAAACGUUGAUACCUGAAAUCAAAACUGCAAACUGUAAGCACAAAACUUAGUGAGUCCCCCAGAGCAUACCCCAUACACAAUCCCCACAACACAUAUCAUAUUAGCUAUAAAAACUAUCUCUACCGCAUACCACAUAUCAAUCACAUAAGCCAUACGUAUAAACAUAUAAGGAUGUCGUGGGCUCGUUCCCAGGGUCUUACUCCAGGAUGCCAGGGGCUCCCCACAUGGUCUUACACCUAAGUGUCAUGGGCUCUCCUAUGGUCUUUAAUAGGAAAGUCAUGGGCUCGUCCCCAGGGUCUUACAUCCAGUUGCCAUGGGCUCUCCCACAUGGUCUUACACCUAAAUGUCAUGGGCCCUCCCAUGGUCUUUAAUAGGAAAGUCGUGGGCUCGACCCUAGGGUCUUACAUCCAGUUGCCAUGGGCUCUCCCAUGGUCUUCCAUGCAAGUAACACAGAGUCAACUAGCAUACCACAUAUCACAAAAACGUCUAGCAUACCACAUUACACAUAAUGGCUAACAUACUACAUAACAUAAAAUGGCUAGCAUACUACAUAACAUAAAAUAGGCCGGCCUUGAUGCCUUAGACCCAUUGGUAUGGUGAGGAGACUCACCUCGAAUGCAGAAGCUUCCUAAAAGAAAUCUUUAGCUGCUGCUCUAUCCACUUCCUGAGCUAUCAAUACCAACCAAUAUACCCAAUUAGCAAUUGGGUCCCAUACCAUAAUCCUUAAUCCAUGAAUGGGGUAGAAUGACCAUCCUACCCCUGACCCAAUAUGAUCCAAAUCCAGGACCCAAACCCAAAACAAAAGACCAACACUAUAACGUCCAUGAAUCCAUCAAUGGCCCAAUUUUCCAAAUUGGGCCCAAACCUGUACAUGGGUCUUGUCAUCAGGCCUAAACCAUUAUUUUAAGUCCAAUACACUUCAUAUCUAAUGGCCCAAUAAUAAUCCAAACACUUAAGCCUAAAAUACUAAAAACCACUUGUAACCCAAUCCAUGGCCCAAUUUUCCAAAUUGGGCCCAAGACCAUAGUAGGCCUCCACAAAUGAAAUAUCAACCCAAAACCUGAUGGCCCAAAAACCAAAAUCCCAUUCUGCUGAGUACGUGGGGCGUACUCAGCUUGUACGCUAAGCGUACCGGCUUAAGGGCUUGUACGUUGCGCGUACAGGCUUGUACACCCAACGUACUCCUCUUGUUGACCAACUCUCAAUCCUAGCUCUUAAUCCAUUAAGACAAGACGUCCAAAACCUCAAAAUGGCUAAAUAUAAGUGACUCGAUCCAUAAAGUCGAAUGCUUUAAGCCUUUGCAUGGCUUGGUGAAGCCCAAGCGCCAAAGAUGAAUUCCAAAAGGUCAAAAUCACUCCCAAAAUGUCUUAAAACUUCUUAAUACUUAAGACCUCAGUCCAAGCUUCCAGAUCUGACUUCAAGGGACUUCUUAAGUCAUAAAGUUUCCAACUUUAUGACUUAGCAUAACUCAUUGAGGCCUAAAUCUAAACCCUAAGUCCCAAAAUUGAUCAAAUGAGUACCAAUUCAUGAAUGGAAGGUUUAUAACCCUCAAGACCUAAACUUUAUGACUCAAAAACCUCAGUAAGGACACCAUAAGGAGCUCAAAGGUUCUGGAGUAACUUCUACUCACAAGAACCGCCACAAAGGGACCAAAACCAUAACAAUGUACCACUUAGCUACAUUUACAUGGAAAAAGUUGUCAAGGUCGAGACUUUAUACCUCUAAAAGAUAGAUCUAGGUGCACAAAGCUUGGAUCCAAAAGCUCCAAGUCAAACAAUGACUUUUCAAGAAGUUCCUUCUUCAUCUUCUAGCACCAAAACACACCAAAAAUCACUUUGAAGCUCUACAAUCACUCAAAUGGGGGCUAAGGGUCGAUUUCUAGGGUUUAGAGGGAUGGAGGCUGAAGAUAUUAGGGUUAGGUUAUGAGAUAAGGAGCUUAAAUAGGGUCCAAGACCCUAAAAUAAGGUUCUGAUCUGACUGGAGUACGCCUAACGUACAUAUGGUACGCCCAGCGUACUCCGAGGAACAUUCGCGACCAUCCUGGUAAGUACGCCCAAUGUACUCCAAGGUACGCCCAACGUACUACCUUCAUCACUAGUACGCCCUGCGUCCACUUUGUGUACGCCCCGCAUACUCGGCUAAGCCUAGAAAACCACGAAACUUCCGAAGACCAUAACUUCUUCAUUAUAAGCCCGAUUCUGACGAUCCUUAUAUCCACGGAAAGGCGAUGAGAAGCCCUACACUUCUAACAACUCAAAACUUUAUUAAGACCUUCCAAAAAAAAUUAAUUUUCCACAAAAGCCCGAACUGCCGUGUUACCGAAAUAUCCCUAGGCUCCAAAACACGAACCGAACACCCGGAUCACUUCUAAUACAUCACCCGCACCCAAAAUGGCCUAGAUCUUACCUUCCUAAGAGCCAUAAUCUUAUAAUGACCGCCCUUCGAGCCACCGCCUCAGACUAGGAGUCAAUUUGGAACAGAGCAUUACAACUCUCCCCCACUUAAAUUAGAUUUCGUCCUCGAAAUCAUGUAUCACCGUCCCCGAUAUACCAGACAACCUGAGCAACACCGCCACAAACCUGUGAAUACCACAACCUACCUAAGGAAACUGAAACCAAUCCUCAUAAGUUUAUGGAACACGGAGAUGAGCGAAUUCCUUGCAACCUGAUCACACCUACCCCAUCUGAAAUCUGAAGUCUCGAGAUGGUCUGUCUCCCUGACAGACUGCCCACAUCGAAUCAUCAUCGAACUGAUUUCACAAGAAACUGGUCUAGAUAGAAUACUUCCCACUCAUAAUACAUUGAGGCUUCCUAAAGAACGAAAUCACCGAUCAACUGCAACGACCAAAUAACCAAUAAUUCCACAUACAUACCCCAUAUCACUGAAGUUGCUCCUACUCCUCUUGCUGCCACAUGGCUGCUUUCUUGGAGAACACCCAGGGACCUCCUUGGUCACAACAUGUCUGCCAAAUGUCCGGAACACCGCACACAUACUCGAUUGUUGAGCCAAUAACACACUCAGCAGUCCCCUGCGACCUCCGACGGAUACUUCGUCUAACCAUAACUGCCCUGUCUCCUUCAAUCCAUUGAUCCAUCCGAUAGAGAUAGGUUGACAACCUGUCGCCACUAAAUCCCGACGCAAAGAGGUGAAUACUACCAGAAUAGUUGUAGUCUUACAUUAUACCCGGCCUCCUUCGACCCACCGUUUCCUGAUUUCGACAUUUCGUGGCUCUAUUACGGAUAGAGCCACCCGAGAAUUGAAGGAUUCCCAAUCCUCAUUACGUUCCAAUGCUCACCUUGUUGACGACCGGUGCUUACCAAAGCUAGAACACCAUAAAUAACCCUGCCCAAACAGCACACUACCUGACAUCCAGCUAACACUUCUUAUAUCCCACUACAUCAAUGACUUCAAACGCUUAAAAGCAACAUCAUGCUCAGAUCUCGGAGUCCAACGAACGGCUAGUCUAACCAAAACCUUAGCGACAACUCUCUCUUUCCCCGACAAUCCCGAUGGCUGUCCCAAAGAUAAAUAUCAAGGCUACUAAAAACUAGACAUAACUCCCUCGUUGAAACCCUUGGACCAAACCCCAAAAGUGGCUGGAGAAGGUGCACUCACUACUCCUUCCUCUCUGUCAGACAGUCGACCUCUUUUUCGUCUACUUAAACACAACGAAAUAUAACGGGUUUGUUCCCUAUGGGCAAUUCCUGAAGACGUGGCCAAACCUGCUACACCCGUAGCAACCCAGAUCACUGAACAGAUUCCGACAACAACUCAUAGCAAUCAUGGUACACGCGGGGCCCACUGCACGAGAUACGUCCGUCUGAAGAUCUUUCAAAGAUUCCUUGACAUGCUGAAUGGCAUCUAACAACCCUUGCUAACCCAGACAAUAGCAGAAAACCGACCCUAUAUCACAACUCCCAAGCGAUACAAUUACCCAAUAUCCACCAGAAAUGGCCGAAGAUAGUAUAUUCACAAACAUCUGAAGGAAUCCUAACCCCCUCCUCCUGUGAUACCUCUACUGCCCUAAGAACAUGAUGUAACACCGCAUUCCGAUCCCAAUAACAAUUCAAACCCUUGGAACGAAACUUCAUCGCGUAGUUUCUGCAAGCGUUGCACCGAAUCUGACCCUGCUGGCCUCUCAAAAGCUGAUCCAAACUCCUAGAUCUCUUCCCGAGAUCCUCCACUAUAGGCACCCGAUCUGGUCCCCUCCUCCAAAGGUGACCCAAAUCAAUCCCUGCUCUCGGGCUCUAGAAAUCAUAUCAUUCAGGGUCUCGCACCCUGUCAUACUCACCAGCUAAAUCAUCAACGACUGAUCUGAAAUAGCUGGAGCACCCUCUGCUCUAAAUCAGCUACAAACUACUCCCAAGACAUAGUCUCUAACUCCAAAAGUGCAAUAAAUCGCACCAUCAAUCCUUGCCACUCGAUACAAGAGAUCCACGACGAACUCAAAAUCCUGGCAGUCCUUCCGCUAAUUGGCUCUCCAUCGGAGCCGGGACCAAACCCUGGUCCCAUGCCUGCAUGCUCAUCCUCAUUCUGCAAAGCAACUAUUCCCACGAUCAAGGCAUAACCAAGAACUCUCCUUCCCAUAAGCUUCUCCGAUUCUCCAAGACUCUCACCGAUUCAAGUAUAAGUCCUGUGCUUUCAGUAGUACGAGCCCAAUACUACCUUCCACACUUACCCAUACUUUCCUCAGUAAUCCUACCGAAUCCUCUAAGUCAUUUACUACACCGGUAUACUAAAUGUCUGCUAAACAGCAAGACAAUCUCUACCGUAGCAACUCCUAGGCUCCCCUAGGUUUCCAACUUCACCGAACUGCCCCACUAAACUCACUGGAUCAUAUCCUUGGCUUUCCUAGGUUCUCACACUCACCCAUUCCUCAGCUGCUAAAAGAUUCCUAGUGAUGUCAACUAGCUACCUUAUAAAUAUAGCCACAUGCAAUAGAGAUAAGAUAAUCCUUCGAGUAAUAAACUCAUCCCUUGAUUGGUUAGACUCAAACGAGAGCUGCACAAUAGGGUCAAAUCUAUCACUCUGAGAUUAUCCAGCCUGUGCCACAUGUGACUUAGCAUAGUCACCUAAUAGCUAGCUCACAUUACUAAGAGUCCCACAAAGCACAAAGCAAACAACAUUCAGACAAUGAAAAAUCUAACUGGCAUACACUAGACAAAUCGGUCUAUCCAUACAUACAUCCCGCAAGCAGGUAACACCUAUUGCUAACCUCAUCCUAGGCUUACCCUAGGGUAAUCUUCGACCCGCAAACUGUCAUAGAACAUUUGGCCCAUAUACCACAACCCAUGUUGUCCGCAUCCACCCUCGAUGUCGGUUGCCUUAUGCAUGCAAAUUAUACACAGAACAUGAUCUAAUAGAUUGUCGAAUAAUAGACUCUACCCUAAGACCACAUGAAAUAAGGUCAAAUUAGCUAUUCUAAGGCUAUAAGAUCCUAUCCGUAUACAAUUUUCAAAACAUACACCUUGCAGUUACAAAUACCAAUUAUCAUUCUCAUUCCAGCAUGACAUCCAAUAUCCUUAAGGCUACAAGCACAACAUAUCAGGCCGACCUAUUGCUGACUGCUCAACACUAGCAUGCAAGUCUACCAGCUCAUACAACAUAUACAGGCAUCUCCCUAGCCCUAACUAGCAUGCGAUUCACGGAUUCAUAAACCAAAUCAUAACAGACAACAUAUGUGGUAUUCUGGGGAAACUUACUUGAGCUCGGUUGAUUGCAUGCACCACACCCUUUAUUGUCUUAGAAAUUCUUUACUUAAAACAUUUUUCUUUUGAAAUCUUUACAGAUCCUCAGUCUGAGUUCAGACACACCCGAAAGUAUGUCCGAAUCCCUUAAACCAAGGCUCUGAUACCAACUUGUAACGACCCAAAAAUCAAGGAUAAAAAUUUAAUUUUAAAUAUAGAUAAAACAUUAACACCAUUUAUUUCUAACAUUUCAAAUCGUCGUUAAGUAAAACGUUUAUCAGAGUUCAUUCCCAGAAUAAUUCGUUGCAGAAAUCAUAGGUGUGUGCACUGCGGUCAAUCCGGGCUCUUCUUUUCCAAAACGUUGAUACCUGAAAUCAAAACUGCAAACCGUAAGCACAAAACUUAGUGAGUCCCCCAGAGUAUACCCCAUACACAAUCCCCACAACACAUAUCAUAUUAGCUAUAAAAACUAUCUCUAUCGCAUACCACAUAUCAAACACAUAAGCCAUACGUAUAAACAUAUAAGGAUGUUGUGGGCUCGUCCACAGGGUCUUACUCCAGGAUGUCAUGGGCUCUCCAAUGGUCUUCCAUGCAAUUAACACAGAGUCAACUAGCAUACCACAUAUCACAGAAACAUCUAGCAUACCAAAUAACACAUAAUGGCUAACUUACUACAUAACAUAAAAUGGCUAGCAUACUACAUAACAUAAAAUAGUCCGGCCUUGGUGCAUUAGACCCAUUGGUAUGGUGAGGAGACUCACCUCGAAUACAGAAGCUUCCUGAAAGAAAUCUUUAGCUAUUGCCCUGUCCACUUGCUGAGCUAUCAAUACCAACCAAUAUACUCAAUUAGCAAUUGGGUCCCAUACCAUAAUCCUUAAUCCAUGAAUGGGGUAAAAUGACCAUCCUACCGUGACCCACUAUGAUCCAAAGCCAAGACCCAAACCUAAAACAAAAGCCCAACACUAUAAUGUCUAUGAAUCCAUCAAUGGCCCAAUUUUCCAAAUUGGGCCCAAACCUCUACAUGGGUCUUGCCAUGAGGCCCAAAUCAUUCUUUUAAAUCUAAUACACUUCAUAUUCUAAUGGCCCAAUAAUAAUCCAAACACUUAAGCCCAAAAUGCGAAAAACCACUCGUAGCCCAAUCUAUGGCCCAAUUUUCCAAAUUGGGCCCAAGACCAUAGUGGGCCUACACAAAUAAAAUAUCAACCCAAAACCUGAUGGCCCAAAAACCAAAAUCCCAUUCUACUGAGUACGCGGGGCGUACUCAGCUUGUACGCUAAGCAUAUCGGCUUAAGGGCUUGUAAGCUGCGCGUAUAGGCUUGUACGCCCAACGUACUCCUCCUGUUGACCAAAUCUUAAUCCUAGCUCUUAAUCCAUUAAGACAAGACGUCCAAAACCUCAAAAUGGCUAAAUAUAAGUGACUCAAUCCAUAAAGUCGAAUGCUUUAAGCCUUUGCAUGGCUUGGUGAAUCCCAAGCGCCAAAAAUGAAUUCCAAAAGGUCAAAAUCACUCCUAAUAUGUCUUAAAACUUCUUAAUACCUUAAGACCUUAGUCCAAGCUUCUAGAUCUGACUUCAAGGGACUUCUUAAGUCAUAAAGUUUCUAAGUUUAUGACUUAGCAUAACUGAAUGGGGCCUAAAUCUAAACCCUAAGUCCCAAACUUGAUCAAAUGAGUACCAAUUCAUGAAUGGAAGGUUUAUAACCCUCAAGACCUAAACUUUAUGACUCAAAAACCUCAGUAAGGACACCAUAAGGAGCUCAAAGGUUCUGGAGUAACUUCUACUCACAAGAACCGCCACAAAGGGACCAAAACCAUAACAAUGUACCACUUAGCUACAUUUACAUGGAAAAAGUUGUCAAGGUCGAGACUUUAUACCUCUAAAAGAUAGAUCUAGGUGCACAAAGCUUGGAUCCAAAAGCUCCAAGUCAAACAAUGACUUUUCAAGAAGUUCCUUCUUCAUCUUCUAGCACCAAAACACACCAAAAAUCACUUUGAAGCUCUACAAUCACUCAAAUGGGGGCUAAGGGUCGAUUUCUAGGGUUUAGAGGGAUGGAGGCUGAAGAUAUUAGGGUUAGGUUAUUAAGGAGCUUAAAUAGGGUCCAAGACCCUAAAAUAGGGUUUUGAUCAGACUGGAAUACACCGAGCGUACAUAUGGUACGCCCAGCAUACUUCGGGGAACAUUCGCAACCAUCCUAGUCAGUACGCCCAACAUACUCCAAGGUACGCCCAGUGUACUACUGAUUGGUUUUGACCACUACAUCAUUCCUAUGGUGUACAUGAAAACCCUAAUAGCUUUGGAUCUAGUUUGUCUAGUGAACAUGUAAUUGAUUAUCCAAAGCCAUAAACCCUAGAUCUAAUAAACCAUAACUGAAAUUAGGGUUUAGAUCUUACCUUUGAUUGUUAUAUAGCAAUAACAAUCAAUUCCUUGGCUUUAGAAAGCUUAGUACCUCAAGUGUUGCACCUCUAAUGGAGUCACAAACACCACUAAGCAACUAGAUGAAGAAGAGAAGAGGAGAGGCACUCAAAAACGUCUGGAAACCCUAAUCCCAAUGUUAUCCACGUUUUUGGUGCCUAAGGGUUCCUUAUAUACUUAGGCUAUUAGGGUUUUGCACUUAGGAAACCCUAAUUUGACUACUUAGGCCCUAAGCAACCCAUGGACCCCUUUAGAAUAUCCCUUGGACGAAUUCCUAAUGGGCUUCCCAUAGAAUUCGUCCAACCUAUUAUUCUUAGGUGAUCCAUAGCCCAAUUGUAAUUAUCUUAUAAUUACAAUUCCUGUCCCCUUAAGUUUAAUUAAUCUCUUUUAGCCACAAAAUUAAUUCUUAAUUAAUUCUUGACUAAUAUUAAUUAAACAAUAUGAUUUCUCCUUAAUAUAUUAUUCUCAUAAUAUAUUAAUAAAUCAUAAUUAAAUCUUUCUCUCCUUAAUUCAUCCUACAUAUUGCUAUGGUGAAGACAACCCAAAAGGACCAUGCUCAUAAUCGGGUCAAGUAUAUACCAAAGUAGUUAUGGACUUGGACACUAAUCCAAUAGUCUCCCACUUGGAUAAGUCUAAUAACUAUUUUGUAUAACUUCAGAACCUGAUCAGCAAUCGUAGCUUUCAAAAGCUGCUGUCAACUCUGAUCUUAUCAGAUAGCGUGUCCUUUAGAUAAGGAUCAUAUAUUUCUCCAUUCUCAAGAUAUCGUAUAGACACAAGACAUAAAUUUCGAUCAUUCUCUCUAUACUGGUUUCCGACUUCCGAUUUAUGCUGACUGAAAACAGACUACAAUUGAACACAUCAACUUAGUCCCGACUUGGCCAAGCACUUAGGGUGUCAUCACUAAAUCAUCGACGGUCCCACAUAUAUCGCUUUUAUCCCACUUUGGGUAAAAGUAAUGGAUAAACUUUAACUCAAAUGCUCGCUUGCACCUACUGAUCGAAUCACACACAACAAUAAGUUUUAUAACACCAAGUUACUGGUGCGUUUACUUAUCAUCAAUGUGCAACCGCCCAACAAAUACCAACUCACACGUCUCGGUUUCAAGAAUAUAUAAUAUUAUCGUCUCACAAUCACUCGUGAUAAAAUCCAUGAAGUGAUUCAUGUGAGCGUCGGUUUAAUCCAAUACUCUAAUCUUAUUAAAGCACUCAUGAACUCUGCAGCAGAUUUGUGCUUUGUCUAAACACUUCAGACAAUCUACAGACAAAUUCAUGACAGUCUUCCUUCAUACCUACUCCCAACGUAUGACCGAAUGUGGAUGUUUGAAUAACCCGGUUAUUCUGGAAGUCAAAACAUGCAAACUGAAACACAACAAUAAUACUUAGUCCUAUAUGGCCCCAAACUUGUGAGAGUAAAUAAAACACUUCUAUUUAACCACCAUAUUUAUUACUCAUUAUUUAUCAUUUAAUGUUUCGGAUAAUCAACUCAUUACUUUAAUUACAACAACAAUUGUCCCAUGCUCCAAGCAUGCACACUUUGUUUCCUAUGGUCCAUGAAAUAGAUCAAUUGAAAAAUUUUCCAAUGAUGCUCAUUUCACAAUUCCUAAUCCUUAUCGUUAGUGUAAGAACACAAGGUUCUUGCUACUACUAGAAUAUGUUAGAUUCUAACAUUUUAUGCACCGAUCCUUUCGCAAAGUCAUAGCACAAAAUUCACCAAGACUUGGCCAAUGAAAUUCCAAGGUAUUCUAUCAGAAUUUGUUACAAAACAAUUCUAUAGAUGUGAUGUCUCUCACUCAAAGUACAUUCCUUUGAACAUCCUUUUUGCAUAAAAUUUUCUAAUCUAGACAUAAAUUCUUAAUUUCCAACUCCCAAUAUGGAAACAUUUCCAUAUUUGCCAUAUGACAACUCAUUCUUAAUAGAAUCUUAUCUAUUCAUAAUAAUGUCGAUAUGGUCCAUCCAACACUAUACUUCCAACUACUCACAAGCAACAAAUCCUUGGCGAACCUUAGAUCGUCCUUUGAUAGUUGUUUAAUUAUUUUAGUCAAAACCGUUCUAGUCCUUUUCCCUCUUAAUGCACUAAGCAUUUGGAAAAUUUUAGAACGAUCAAACACUAUAGCAUAUGUAAUCGAUCCUAAACCCGAAGCGUAUGGGACACGAUUCAAAAUGUCUUACAUAAAGACGUGAUACUUUACCAGUCUUUUGCUAUAAUAUUUCUAAUUGCCAUGUUCUCACAAUUUUGAUUAUGAAAAGGGAUGCCGUAAUCAUAAACAGAUUUUGAGAAUGCAAUUAUCCUUUCCAUAUAUAGAAUUUCCUCAUGUUGAACCAUUCCAACACAACAUUUAUAUAUAUUUGACUAAAUUUGAUUAAAAUUCCACAAUCUAAGCCUUUAGAUUUGAAAUGAAGUAUAAUAUUCUCUCCCUUAAUUAUAGCAAAACAACUUUUCAACCCCAACAACUCUACCAAAUGAAUCUUUGUUUUCUAUAAUUAAUAUUGCUAACUUGCAAUACUUUAAAUAAUAAUCAUGCUCCCACUAACACGAUGAUUAUUACCAUACAAUCAUAACACUUAUGUUCCCACUAGAUUUGACAUAUAUCUAGAAAACAUUUGAACUUUCAGAAAACAAUGCUUAUUGAAUUCCUUAAGUUCAUAUUUCUAAAUACUUGAUGCUUUGAUAAGCUUUUAUCUAUGCUUCUUAAACUCAUACACCUUUGUCUUAGAAAGCUCACGUGUGUGUCUAAACAACUUAAGAGCUUAUGUUACUAAGUCCCAAAUGUUCAUACUAAUUGCCAAAUCUCACAAUUCGAACUAUGAAGAGGGAUGCCGUAAUCAUAAUCGAAUUUGAGAAUACAAUUUUCUCAAUUUCAAUCUUUUUAAAAUCUCUCUUAGUGAAAGCAUUUCCUUACAAUCAUUUUCAUGAAGGAGGGAAACCUUAUGACACUUUGAUUUUAAAGUGUGUGUGUUCCUAUCCAUGCAAAUUUGUCAUAACAACAAUCAUAAGACAAUAUUUGUGAAAAAUCCAACUCAUAUGGAUUGAACUUGUUCAAUCUUGAUUUCUCGCCUUAUGGCAGCAUGAAUGCCCACCAUUGCUUCCAGGUUGUUAACAAGCUCACCCUUACCUUAUCAAUGUACUUUCCAUUGAUCAGGGUGCCUUGCCUUUAUGCAAUCCAUUUGAGAACUCAUAGAACUCAUAUUGCAUAGUUGACUUAAUCUGGAAUGGCACAGAAACAAAAUUAUGUCAACACGAUAGGUCACCAACCUCAAGUCGUGUGCUAGUGAUUUACUUAUCGGUUUAUUGUUGAUUUGUUCUUGAACUUUCCAAGACAAUUGAGACUCCCACUGACUUCUUGACAUAUAUGAUUCUCUUUGUCAAGAAAAAUUUCUUGACAAACAAAUAUUCAAGAGUUAGUGUAGUUAUUAUCAAGACAAAACACUUCACAAAAUUGGUCCUAGUUGGUCUUUGUCUUAUCCAAGACAUCACAACUUACCAAUUUCAAAUGUGCAAGAAUAAGAAAACUUUUCCAAAUUCCACAUUUGAUGAGUGUUAUAAACCUACUUAAGACUUGUCACUCAAUUCACAAUCUUGGAGUAUGACUCUAAGAUUCGAUAUUGGAACGAAGUAUGAUUGACUUCUUGAUUUAACCAUUUCCACAAUUCCCGAUUCCUCUUCUUAGACAUACAAAUGUACUAAGACUCACUUAGAGGAUCAAUUGAGAUAUGGUUCUUAAUCAUUAAGACUUUAUCAUAAAACACAAUAAAAGGUACUCUCCCUUCUUCUUAGAACAGAGAAACUUUUAUCUUUCUGCCUUCUUGAUUCUUAUUAUUCGUUCUGACAUUUAUUGAAACCUUUUCAAUCAACUCAGAAUUACACUUAAUCUUAUAAGUAUAAUCAUAUUUACUAAAGUUUAGUAAAUCAUGACAAAUAUCUUUAUCACUCUUGUGGUGGACUUGAUCAACGCAUAACCAAGUGUACCUAAUCCCUAGCCCUUCACUUGACUCUUUGUCAAGGAAUUAGUCUAAUUUCCAAAUAUAAAAGUUUUUCAUUCAUCACACAACGCAAGUUGCAUGAUUCCAAGUUUCUGUCCGGUUGAAACUUGGGCGAUGAGAAACUCUCCAUAUUUGGUAAAUCCUCGACAUUUCCACAAAUAACAUAAUUAAGAAUCAAAUCCAUUAUUGCUAAUAGUAGAAACAUUCAAACAUCAAUUUUUUCAUACAUGCCAUUGCAACGAUAAAUAAAUAAGACAAAAAACAAAUUUUAUUUUAUUGCGGAAAAACUUUGUCCUUACAAUGCAAUUCAACUGAAAAACUAUGCUAUUACAUAUUCCUUAAGCAAUCUAUUCUAACUCCAAGUAGUAGCUCAAAAAUCCAAUCUUCAAACAAUGCGAUCGGAAUCCAUUUUCUUCACGAUUAGAUUCAGCUCACUUCUUCCCUUAAGCUUCCUCUUUUUCUAUUCGAUCCUACGAAAACAUCAAAAUGGAAUAUUAUUACAUAAUGUAUUAAGAAUCAAAAAAUGAACUUAAAAGAGCUAGAUAGUGGAUUUCAUACUUGAAGAAGAGUCAUAACACUAGACUCUCCCAUCUCUUAGAUCUUUCAGGUAGAUAGGGCAGCUUCGUCUCCAAUGCCCAUUCUCUUGAAAAUAAAAGAAAAUGGACUCCUUUGGCAAAGCACAUGGGACAAUCUCAUACUUAGUCCUUUCUGGACUUCCAAUGCUGCCAGUGUCCAUUGAAGUUUGGGAGUUUGAUUCAUCAAACAAAUUUACUUGAUCAACAUGCCAAAUCAUUGAUGAUUUAGCAGCUAUAAAGAAAUAGGUCAAAUCAAUGAGGGUCACGUCGUGGUCCAUCAUAUAGUACUGUGUAACGAACUCACUAUAUGAUUCAGGAAGUGACUGAAGAGCCCAGUUAAUAACCAACUCACCUGAAAUCUCGACACCCAACAUCCUUAACCUGUCAAUGUGUGACUUCAUCUCUAAGACGUGUGCACACAUAGGUUUCCCAUCUUCAUAUUUACUUGCGAAAAGGGCUUGAGUUAGCUUGAACUUUUCAAGCCUUCAAACUUGUGGGUCAGGGAGAAUAAUUGGAGGAGGUGGAGGAAGUGAAGCAUGAUCUCUGGUUCCUCGAUCAUAUCGUGGAAUAUCAUCUUCAUUUGGAAAAAUUGUUCCAUGGGAUUUUGGAAGACCAUUGUUAGAUUCAGACAUCUACAAAACAGGAGAAAUUCAAGUCAUGUUGAUUAGAAUCCUUGAUGUAACACCCAAAUGAAACAUCAAGGCUAGGAUCCAACACAAUACUCUACAACCUAGAAGAGGGAUGAUGUAAUCUAGUUGCAGAAUAUUUGAAGGUAGGUAAAUGACGAUUUACCAAUUUUCCACCAUGAAAAACGAAAAAGAAAUUUAAGUUUUAAAUGAAUUGAACUCCUAGAUCUUUUGAGAUUCAUUGAACUUUUCAAUGGCAUGUUUAAUCUCGAUUAUGCCCUUCAAGUUUGCGACUGGGAUGCCGAGGAUCACAAACAAGGUGUGAAUAACCAUGCGAAUCAUGUGGUGCACUCAAUGCUACUAUCACCUAAUCAAUGUGCUGGUUAUCCACACACGCUCCAUUGAUCUAUGAUAAACAUCGAGCCACCCUUCGCCACCAAUGUCAAUCCCAAAUUAGUGUGCCAGUUAACCACACACGCUCCACUAACGUUUGACAAGGGUACGAAGUGUAAUUUCAUGGAUUAGCAUAGAAUUUCACAUUUUGCCUAAAGUAACUAUGCUUUGGGAAUUUGUAAAAGCAUGUAGUUACUUUGUACUUCAUUAUAUUUAUAAUGGAAGGUUUCUGUCGUAUCCUACCCAUUCGGCUAAUGACCCUCCNGUUUAUGAUAUAUAUAUAUAUAUAUAUAUAUAUAUAUAUAUAUAUAUAUACAUUAGACUUUUAAUGUUACAUAUAUAUAGUAUAGGGUGUAUUUUACACUUUUAAAAUACUAGGUGGUUUUAUUAACUUUCUCUUUUUAAUUAACUUAACGAAACCAAGUGGGUGUAAUUUGACCUUUUCAAAAUACUAUGGUUUUAGAAUUUACAUAUUACACAAUUAAACUAUUAAUCAAAAUUUUAAAUUCCAAAACUUGAGGGCAAGUUUUGUAACAUUUCAAAAUAUUAGGGUUUAACUAUUUAAAUUUCAAAAACAAAACUUUUAAGUUCAAAUUUAAACUAUAAAACUUAAAGGGAGUAAUUUGAAACUAUUCAAACUUUGUCAACAACAUUCUAGAUUAACAAUUCAAAUAAGGCAAUUAUCUAAUUUUGACCUAGUCCAAUUUCUUGCAAGAUAAUUCACCAAAUAAUUCAAAUAAUUAAAUUUUAUCAUAUAAGGAAGUAAUUAUUCAAUUAAUAUGAAAAUAUCUUUUAUUUUGGCAAGGAUAUUCACCCUAUCAUAAAAAUCCAAUUUUUAUCAAUAAAAAACGUUUUGGUAAUUAUCUCAUAACAAAACAGGCACAAAAUCCCGAAAUCUGCUCCAUCUGACCCUCUGACUCGUCGAGUCUGGCUUAGACUCGUCGAGUUCACUAUGGACUCAGCGAGUCACCUAGUUGACUCGGCGAGUCAAGUCGAAAAACCUCAAAAAUUCGAUUUUCAGCCAAAAUUCGAUCAAAUAAGCAUCAAAUUCACUAAUAGCUUUGGAUCUAGUUUGUCUAAUGAACAUGCAAUUGAUUAUCUAAAGCCAUAAACCCUAGAUCUAAUAAACUAUAACUGAAAUUAGGGUUUAGAUAUGACCUUUGAUUGUUAUAUAGCAAUAUCAAUCAAUUCCUUGGCUUUAGAAAGCUUAGUGCCUCAAGUGUUGCACAUCUAAUGGAGUCACAAACACCACUAAGCAACUAGAUGAAGAAGAGAAGAGGAGAGGCACUCAAACACGUAUGGAAAGCCUAAUCCCAGUGUUAGCCACGUUUUUGGUGCCUAAGGGUUCCUUAUAUACUUAGGCUAUUAGGGUUUUGCACUUAGGAAACCCUAAUUUGACUGCUUAGGCCCUAAGCAGCCCAUGGACCCCUUUAGAAUAUCCCUUGGACGAAUUCCUAAUGGGCUUCCCAUAGAAUUCAUCCAACCUAUUAUUCUUAGGUGAUCCAUAGCCCAACUGUAAUUAUCUUAUAAUUAUAAUUCCAGUCCCCUUAAGUUUAAUUAAUCUCUUUUAGCCACAAAAUUAAUUCUUAAUUAAUUCUUGACUAAUAUUAAUUAAACAAUAUGAUUUCUCCUUUAAUAUAUUAUUCUCAUAAUAUAUUAAUAAAUCAUAAUUAAACAUUUCUCUCCUUAAUUCAUCCUACAUAUUGCUAUGGUGAAGGCAACCCAAAAGGACCAUGCUCAUAAUCGGGUCAAGUAUAUACCAAAAUAGUUAUGGACUUAGACACUAAUCCAAAAACUACCUACAUCACUAGUACGCCCCGCGAGCACUUUGUGUACCCCCCGCGUACUCGGCUAAGCCUGGAAGACCACAAAACUUCUGAAGACCAUAACUUCUUCGUUAUAAGCCCGAUUCCGACAUUCCUUAUAUCCACGGAAAGGUGGCGUGACGAGAAGCCCUACACUUCUAACAACUCAAUCCUUUAUUAAGACCUUCUAAAUAAAAUUCCAUUUUCCACAAAAGCCUGAACUGCCGCUUUACCGAAAUACCCCUAGGCUCCAAAACACGAACAGAACACUCGGAUCACCUCUAAUACAUCACCCGCACCCAAAAGGGCCUAGAUCUUACCUUCCCAAGAGCCAUAAUCCUUAUAAUGACCGACCUUCGAGCCACCGCCUCAGACUAGGAUUCAAUUCGGAAUAGUGCGUUACAAAAUAUAUGAGCUUUUCAAGAAGUCUUAUUAGAUAUGACACAUGGAAAAUGGGCAUCCAUGGUGUUAGUGGCAAAUACAUUGAUAUUGGGGACUUGAAAACCCCUGACAAGUUACAUUAUAGUCUGGAAAUCUUUUUGGCAGCUCCUAAGUCCUUCAUUAGAAAGUCAGCUUUUAACUGGUCUUUCAAUUUUUGAAUCUCCUUCAUAUCUUUCAUUGCGAGAAACAUGUCAUCCACGUAUAUGAGUAACUAGAUCGUCGAACCAUCAUCACUACUUUUUGUAGUAAACACAACUAUCACCGGCGCACCUCUUGAAUUUGUGACUGGUCAUGAACGAAUCAAACCUCUUAUACCAUUGUCUAGGAGAAUGCUUGAGGUCAUAAAGAGAUUUAUUCAAUUUACACACGCAAUCCUCCUUGCCAGGAACUACAAAACCCUCAGGCUGUUGCAUAAAAAUCUCUUCCUCGAGCACACCAUUUAAGAAAGUUGUAGUAACAUCAAGUUGCUCUAAUUCAUAAUCAUUAGAAGCAACCAAUUCCAACUAUAUAGAACUAUGUUUGACAACUUGGAAAUAAAUGUCAAUGUAAUCAAUACCAUGAAUCUGACUAUAGCCUUUAGCUACUAAACGAGCUUUGUACCUUGGUUUCUCAUCCGGGUUGAUAGGUUCCUUGAGCUUGUAGACCCACUUGUAUUUAACUGGUCUUUUGCCUUUCAGAAUAGGAACUAAAUCCCAAGUACCAUUUCUUUGCAAGGAUUCCAUCUCACUUUGAAUUGAAACCAUUGAAUCACUUGAGUCUUUAGACUUAACAACCUCAUCAUAAUUCACAGGCUCCAUUCCAGACUCAAUAUCAUCAGCAACAAUAAAGGCAUAAGAAACAAGAUCAACUUCAGCAUACCUCUUUGCAGGUACAACUUUUCUUCUUGGUCUAUCUCUUGCAAUGCAUGGAGUAGUAACUCGUAGUGGUGAAGAUGUUGAGUCUUCAACAACAACUGGCUCAUUAGACACGGAAGACACUUGAUUUUCAAAUGAAAUUGGAAUAGGAGUGGAAGGUGAAGUAGGAAACUCAAUCUCCAUUUGAGGUUUCUCUUUACUUGCUUCAGAUGAUGCAUCUGAAGUGUUUGUACCUUUUGAAGAGUCUGAAAUCGGUUGAAUCAUACCAAACUCAUCAAAAGUAACAUCUCUUAAGAUAAUGACUUUCUUUAGAUUAAAGCUCCACAACUUGUACUCUUUAACACCCGGACUGUACCGAAGAAAACCACAUUUGAUUAUUUUUGGUUUCAACUUCCCAUUAUCAACUCGUGCAUAAGUUGGACAUCCAAAAGGUUUUAAAUCUGUGUAAUUGGCAGGUAUCCCAAACCAUAACUCAAAUAGAGUUUCCUUCUUAAUUGCUCGUGACAGUGAUUGGUUGAUAAGAUAGCAAGCAGUCGAGACAGCCAUCGCCCAAAAGGGCUUUGGCAAUUUGGAAUUAGAAAGCAUACAACGGACCUUCUCCAUAAUUGUGCGAUUCAUCCUUUUGGCUAUACCAUUUUGUUGACCUGUAUGGACUGUCGUGCGAUGUCGAGUGAUUCCUUCCUUUCAGCAAUAGGCAUUAAACUCUUAUGAUCAGAACUCAAGUCUAUUAUCCGUGCAAAUAUACUUUACCACCAAUCCGGAUUGCUUUUCAACUUGUACUUUCCAAUUUCUGAAGGUAGAAAAAAAAUCUCUGUUAUGUUUCAAGAAGAAGGACCAUACCUUCCUGCAGAAAUCAUCAAUGAUAGUGAGCAUAUAAACAACUCCACUAUUCGAAGCAAAUUGAGUUGGUCCCCAUAAAUCUUUGUGGACAUAGUCAAGUGGUCCUUUCGUUGUAUGAAUAUCACUCACAAUCUUACUCGUUUAGCCUUGCCAUAUACACAGUCUUCAUAGAACUCUAAAUCAACAAUCUUUUGUUCAUAAAGUAACCCUCUUCGACUCAAUUAAGACCUAGGUUUUAAAAGGCGUGAAGCGCUCCGAGGUGAUUAGCCACCUGAGAGCCUCAUUUUUUGAGGCGCUUCGAAUCAAGGGAUUCACAUACGCGAGGCGCUUAUAUUUUCAAAAAGAAAAUUAAAGUAUUUUAGAACCAUAACUCUUAGACAAAAACAACUUAAUAACCAAGUUGAGAAGCAAAAACACCAAUGUCAUAAUUCAAAGACAAAUACAAUACAUAACAAAAAUCAUAAAUAACUAAAUUGUCUAACCGAAACGCCUAAAACUCAUCAACAUCAUCGUCAUCAACAUCAAUCCCAAGUACCUCCUCCUCCCCAUCAUCUUUAGAAACUCCAAUAUCUUCUUCUAUCUCUUCAUCAAUCAAGCCAAAUCCCCUCAAAGUCAUUCUAUGAUUUGAGGUUUCGGUAACACCAUUUCCUUUAUCUCUUAAUGAAGUUGAACUUGGUGUAAAUGACCUCUUAGUAGAAUAUUUAGGCUUAGAUGUCCCAAAAGCUUAAUCAAUAGUAGACCAAGUUAAAUAAUAUCCAUCAAACACAGAGUUAUCCUCCUCAACAUUUUCCUGAUCCAUAUGGCCCAUCAACCACUCGUUACUUUCAUCUAUUUCUUUCAAAAGAAUAGGAUCUGCGGUGUCCUUUCUUUGAUAUCUUCUUUUGAAAGCACGAUUAAACUUGAUGUACACCAUGUCAUUUAAUCUACUUUGUGCUAAUUUGUUCCUCUUUUUCAAUGAAGUUGUUGAAAGACAUUCUAGUUCCUCUCGCGACCCGUAGCACUACAAUUUAAGCUAAGAACUUGGAUUGCAAUUUUCUGUAACUCCGGUGCUGACGCUUCAUAUGUAGACCACCAGUCAGCUGUUAAUAGAAAAUAAAAUUAGCUGUCAAUCAGGUAACGAAAAAAUCAGUUAACAAAAUAAAUCAGGGACCAAUCCACUAUUUUUUAUUACAUAGAGCUCUUUUGUCUCUUUGUCAUAUGGCUAUAGAUUGCCAAAAAGACUUUGGGCAUUUUGAUACAAGUCUAGUUGUUCCCCAGUUUUAUCUUGAGUGCUCAAAUCAGGUAACAACCUUUGAAUGGUUGCAUACAAUCCAUUCAUAACCUCAGCACAAAAUGCAUUCUUGGGAUUUUUGUUAUACAAUUCUGGAUUUAAGAAAAACUUGGUUGCAUAUAAUGGUCUAUGUAGUUGGCAAUCCCACCUUGCAUCAAUAUACUCAAAAGCAUUUUUAUAAUGCUCUUCCUUAUGAAAAAAAAUAGCAGCGAUAGUCUCUUUAACCCUAUCCAUGGACUCAUAGAUGUAUCCCAUGGCUGGCUUUUUGUCUCCAUCUAUAAUUCUAAGAACCUUAACAAGAGGUCCAAUCAACUUUAAAGCAUAGACUAUAUUUCUCCAAAACCUUUCUUGCAAAAAAGUUGAUGUUAGUCUCUUCCCCCAACAUCUUUUAAGCACUUGGAAUUGUUCUACUCUGGAUACGUGAUCAUCUUCUGUAAAUUAUUUUUUUGUUUAUGCAUUUGGGAGAGAGUAAUGAAUGAUGUUGCAAAUCUCGUGAUUGUAGGCCUAUGUAAGUUUCUCUGAUUUGUAAACCUCCUCAUCAUGUUGAGAAUGUCAACAUGGUUAUAAAUAUAACCAUUGACAAACAUAGCUCCCUUCAAAGUAUUUCGUACCGUUAGGAUCUUUCCAAUAGCUUCCAAGAUCAGAUCGAUACAGUGAGCAACAUAAUGAGUCCAAUGUAAAUGUGGUCUUGUUUCCUCUAGCAUUGUUCCUAAAAAGAGUUUUGAGAGAAAUAUGAAAGAAUAAGACAAGUGUUCUCAAAACAGUAACUAACAGGUAAAAGAGUUACUAAGAUUUAGCGACUUACCAUCUUUAACAUAGUUAGAUGCAUUGUCUGUCACCACUUGCACUACAUUCUCCCCUCCUAUCUCUUCCACCGUAUCAUCAAGCAUUUUAAACAAUGUGUUUGCAUCUUUCUUUAUUUCUGUGACAUCCAAGGACUUUAAAAGACUUAACCUUUAGGAGAAUUCACUAAAAAGUUCACAAUAUCUUUUUGAACAGUUGAAUCACACCAUCCAUCUGAUAGAAUCAAGCAACCUUUUACUGCUCAUUCUUGCUUGUAAUCUUUCAACACUUUUUGGGUGGAUUCCACUUCAAUUUAAGUAGAGGAACUCUAAGCUCAUACAUACUUGGAGGUUUGAAUCUCGGGCCAAAUUGUGCAAUAGAUUCCAUUACAAUAUGAAAGCUAUCAUAAGAGCCUGCAUUAAAAGGUAGCCAUGCUUCAUAAAACCAAUGACCUAUCUCCUUACAAGCAUUGUCCGUAAGGUCUUUUUGAUAUACUUCGUUAAUUGUUUGUUGUUUUCCACCUUUUCUACCUUUGAGUUUUUCUUCUGGUUUAUUGGCAUAAAAAUUGUUUAGAGGACCCUUUGUCUUGGUUUUUUAGGUGGAGGCUUGCUACUUACUUGUCCCAUGCCAUCAUCAUCUUCAUCAUAGUCAUCAAGUGCCACUACAUUUGACUGGUCAGUAGUUCUUGAACUUUUUUCUGCUUCUUUCUGGGUCAGAUAGUUCUUCACUUCUUCCCGCACAUGCUCUGGACACUUUGGGCAUCUUUUAGAAUUUUUGAAACCUCCAACUAAAUGUUGUUUUAGUCGGUGUACUCCUCCAGAAGUUGACUUUGCACAAAAUUUGCAAGUAAACUUAUGCCCAUUUGUUGGUGUCCAUAGUAUCAGUUGAAUGAAAAGACUUUAGAAUAAUGGAAACAAAAGAAUAUAGAGUACAAAGGAAGAAAACUGCAUGGAUUGAUAGAGAAUGAGGGAAGAAGAUACAUGGAUUUAUAGUGAUUGUCGAGACUUGUUGGAAUAAUGCAGAGUCGGCAACAAUGUAUGUGAAGCUUGAAUUGAACUAAACGACACAUAUAUGAUUACAGUUAAAAAGCUAUAACGUAAUUAAUAGGUAUAGGGUAAAAAUUGAGCCCAAUGCCCAAGGCCCGGUACAUAAAUCCCUAAAGGCAAGCCCUCUGAUGCCUCAAAAAGAAUUGUCGAUUCACAACAAAAUUCGAUGCCUCCUGUACACUACCUUGCCUAGGAGGAUGGAGGCGUUUCCAUUGUCGCCUUAAGUUGCCAAGCACCUCCUAGCGCCUUAGGUGCGAUUUUUAAAACAUAGAUUCAUAUAUGCCUUGAAAACUCAUAUGGCCGAGUCGAAGGUGCCAAAGACAGGACUACUCUGGAUCAGAAAGAGACUUUGAAACAACAAUAGCAUCAAUCAAAAUUGUUUUCCCUUCAAGAAAUUAGAGAUCAAAGGUUUUGCGCUUGGCUCUCAGUUUGUCGGAACCAUCUUUGAAUACCCUGAGAACUCCACCUUUACUAGAAAACUCGUAGGCCUUUUUAUCAAAGGAGCUGAAAGAUAACAAGUUUCUUCUGAGCACAUGAACAUAUCUAGCUUCCUCAAUGGUUCGGAUAACCCCGUCGAACAUCUGGAUAAUGAUUCUAACUGAGUCAUGUCCAACAACUAUACAUGUAUAAUUGUUACCCGUUAGAACUUAGCCUUGGUUAACCUUUUCAAAUGUGUAAAACCAACUUCUGUUGUGAGACAUAUGGAAAGUACAAAUAGAAUUAAGUAUCCGUUCACCACUAGAAUGCAGUUUAUUAUGAUAAACUGCAAGUUCUCCAAUACAACCGGCCUCACUACAUCGGCUUUACCCGAAAUGCUGGCUUGUUUACCAUUUUCUGCUACUUUCUCUUUAUUCUUCAACUUGAAGCAUUUAUCAAUCGUAUGUCCCUUCUUUUGACAGUAGUUGCAAAACUUUCGUUUGCUUUUAGAGUUGGAUCUGGUCCUAUUGGAAGAUUGAGGAUUUUUACCUCUAUAUGUUGUUUUUCCUCGAGCAUUUAAACAUUCGGCUUUCGCAUAACUUGUAACAUCAUCUGUAAUAUCCUCCAUUUUCUCUUUUGAAUCCAAAGGUGUAAAACCUUUAUCUAAGACAAGAGUGUCACGACUAUAGAUGAUACUAUCACGAAAAUGGUUGUAGGAUUCGGGAAACGACAACAACAAGAAUAAAGCUAAAUCUUCAUCUUCAUACUAAACAUCCAUAUUCUUUAUGUUAUUUACAAACUCUUUGAAUGUGGAUAAAUGUUCAGCUAAAGAACAUCCUUCAAUUAUUUUAAGAUUGAACAAUCGCUGCUGUAAAUGUAACUUGUUUGAUAGGCUCUUCGUUAACAACAAUUGCUCCAACUUUAACCAUAAAGCAGCCGCUGAACUUUCUUUCAAAACAUCUUGCAUAACAUCAUUUGAUAAAUGCAAACCAAUUUGGGAUUGAGCUUUUAAAUGUUUCGUCUCUUUUUCUUCUUCCGUGUACGAAGAGGGCAUCUUCUCGGAACCCAGAAGCGCCUUGUGUAAAUCUAUCUAAUAAGAACAUCUUUCAUCUUAACUUGCCAUUGGGGAAAUUUGGUGUUUCGAUCAAACGAUGGAAUGUCAUACUUCAUCGAAGUCAUGAUCAAUCGCUUGAUAAAAUGAUCCCAAUAAACUAAUAUCAAAACCCAGAAACUUUGAUACCAGUUGUAGUAAUAUAUGUGUGAAACACGAACCAAGAAUCCGAGUAAUUUAGAAUAAUAUUAGUUCGAUGAAGAAUGGAAUUAAAAUAUCAAACACAAUCAACCACCACUAAAAUACGAAUGAAAACAGUAAAUAAAUGAGACACAAGGAUUUAUGUGGAAAACCCAAAACGGGAAAAACCACAUAGUGGAGGAAGCUGAGAAACAAUCCACUAUAAUUUUGCGGUGUUACAGAGUUUGAACUAAGAGUUUACAAAGAGCUCAAAAAUGUGGAAUAUUUUGGUGAUCCUCUAAUUUAUUUUGAAGCAUGCCUUGAACAUAGUAUGUGUAUAUAUAUNNNNNNNNNNNNNNNNNNNNNNNNNNNNNNNNNNNNNNNNNNNNNNNNNNNNNNNNNNNNNNNNNNNNNNNNNNNNNNNNNNNNNNNNNNNNNNNNNNNNAUAUAAAUACGUUCAAUCUUACAUAACUAUUGUCAUUAACACACAUUCUCACUAAUUAAAUAGUGUAUAAGGUUAUUAUACACUUAUUAUUAUUAUUCUCAUUUCUGUCAGAAUGUUGUCACAAUAUUUUAUUGGAUCGUAUUCUGUCAGAAUAAAAAUAAGUAAAAAAACGAUGCGUGUGAACAAAAAUAAAUAAUAAUUAGAGAGAAUGCAUGAAAAUGACGAUAUUUUCUAAGAUUGAACGUAUUCGCAUUGCUAAACAACUUAUUCUCUUAGUAAUUCUCAUAGCAUACGAUAUCCGUACAAUAAUUAGUUAGAAUAGAAUAACCUAAGCCUAUAUAUAUAUAUAUAUNNGUGUGUGUGUAUAUGUGUGUGUGUGUGUAUAUAUAUAUAUAUAUAUAUAUAUAUAUAUAUAUAUAUAUAUAUAUAUAUAUGGGUGAGAUCCAUUGAGAACUCAUAGUUUUCCGAGAACCAGAGAACUAAAGGUGGAACGUUAGAUUAAAAUUGAUUCAUUAAGGACAUGAUCGUCAUCUUUCUAAUCCCAUUUAAUUUUUUGUAUUAUUGGAAACAUUUAUGAAAAUCUCUCAAAUUAACAUUAUAAAUCAAAUUUUCGGAAUUUUUUACAAAAAUAUUAAUUUUCGUUUUUUAAAAAAAUUGCAGAUUUUUAAAUUUUUUCAGAAAACAUAAACUUUUAGAAAAAGUUGAAAAAAACAUUUUUUUUUCAAAAACUGCAUUAAAAAAAACAGUAGAUUUUAUAAACUUAGUAAAUUAAAAAAAAAAAAUACUUGAAUGUGUGCAAAAAAAAUAGAAGCGACUGCAUAAUAAUGUUAUAAAAGUCUUAGGCAGCAAACUAUAAUUUUAUUUACACAAGAACACAUACGACAAUAAUAUGUGCAAUAAAUUUAGGCAACAAUAAACAAAAAAAAGAUUAAUCUUCCCAGAGCAGUCGAGGCGAUGGAUAAAGGUGAAACCGAACGGAGAGACGAUCCGACAAUUUUAGUUAUAUAAUUGUGAUGCAAUCGAUUCAGAUAUACGAAAUCUGAUUUUAGAACAAAACUUGAUGAAUCUCCAACGACGCCGAUUUCAUAUACAAAAUGAAAGAGAAGUGAACAAGAAGAAGAUGUCUUUGCGAAUCUUGAGUUCGACCUCAAGAACAACUUAGAUCCGAUUGCAAUAAACUAUCGCAAAUCAUUUGAUUCUCCUCGUGAACUUCUAUUGCUGCUACAGAAUCCAGUAGGCGACUUCAUCAUGAGUAAUCCUAUGUCAUAGAUGGACAUCGGUAGAUCUAUGUUUGUCUUUAAGAAAUGUGAUUGAUUUGAGGAGAAGCAGAAGAACCGAAGAUUGCUUGCAAAGAAAGUCAUGGAGAAUUGAGAGAGAAAAAAAGAUACGAGAACUUAGGGUUUGAAUUGUUUAAUUGAAACAUGAUUUUUUUUCAAAAUGUAAUUCCGAGAUUACUCCAAGCUCUUUUCAUUGUAAACAUAAGUAGUCAUUACAUUGAGUUUAUUUACAAAUUGUGCCACUAAUCAUCUCAGCCAUCCAAACAAUUGAUUUAAUGUUCGACUUUUAUUUCUUAGGUUCUCGGGAAACUAUGAGUUCUCAAAUGAUCAUUCCUUUCUAUAUAUAUAUAUAUAUGUGUGUGUGUAUAUAUAUAUAUAUCUUAUCAAGUAAAAAAGGCACCAAGACAGAAUAUUUAUAACAUACAUUAAUAAGCAUGUAGUUGUAUUAAUGUAACCAGGAAAACACCAUUUGAUAAAGGGAAGUGAUAUUUCUACUUAAUAAUUUGAUCCACCUACAUAACUUACAACACAUUUGCAGCUAUCGUACAAGUUGAUAAAACAUACAUUUCAAGUGGAUGAAUCAAUUUAUCAAGUGGAAAUAUCACUUCCCUUUAUGAGAAGUUGUUGAAUUUGGAGUCACCAUUUAACUCAUCUAAACCAACGGUUGAAUGCACAUUUGACAUUAUUGUGAAAACAUUUCAAGUUUCAGUUUUAGUCCUUGAAGUAUUUGCCACUUGACAUUAUUGGAGGCGUAUUUCCAGAAUUUGCAUUGUAUGGAAUGUGCAAUUACUAUUGUGCUAUAAUACAUUGAGGCGCUAGUUAGAUCCAUUACUCUUGCACUGAAUUAUUUGAAUCCCUCUUUGUAAAAUAUGUAAUUGCAGGUAAAUUUGGCUUAAGUUCACUUUGUUAAAAUCAUUUUCAAUUUCUGAAUAGUUCUUGAAUUGUUAAAAUCAUCUUCAAUCCAGAUCAAAAACCCUUUCUAUUCCAAAAUGAAGCUAUGUUUCAAAAUUUGAAUCCAUGUCAUUAGUUAUUAAAUUUUACUUAGUGCUAAUUUGUUCACACAAAUUCUAACCACUUUGAUUGAAUCCUGUUCACUGGUGACUCAUGGUAAGUUGUUUUAGGUUGAUCUUCUUUAUUCAAGCUAUAUAUCAUGGGGAUUUGGCAUCAUAUAUCAAGACUCCCAGAGAACUCUUAGCAGAUUCAAUUGUUGGAUCAGGUCCCUUAAUACAUGAAGCAAAACAGAUACAAAAGUGAAGAGAGUUUAGAGAUGGAGGAAUAUCUUUUUUAUUCUUAUUCACCUCACCUGUAACAACGAGUAAAACUACAUCUAUUUAGAUAACAAGAAAUAACAAAUUAAGCUAAAAACUAUCUACACGAUGUGCUCCUAUCUAAGUGGCAACUAAGCCACGUUAUUUCCUCCAAACCUAGUCAACUGAUAACCAAGUUUUCUAUUUAUCCAAAUCUAACCCAUGAAACCUGUUCGCCCAUUGCCCGUUAACCCGUUAAACAAACCGAUUAACCCAACAAUCACCCCCUUAAUCGGUUGUUCCACGGUUCACUUUUUAUCUUCUUGGUGACAACCCAACCUUUUCCGAUCUAACUCAUUCCAAUCUAGAGUCCUCUUCCACCAUUUAAGAAAACCAAGCUCCUGCUUCUUCUGUUUUCAUUUACCAACUCUGAAAAAGCCAAAUCAAAACCCACCUAUUUUGAUUUCUUUCUGCUUCUCUUCUUUGCUUCUGGUUACGCACUCUGUAACCCGGAACAUUUCUGAUCAAGGAUGGAGACUGCACCUUUGCAGUCUUGACCCUAUUCACGCUUCUAUUGUGAAAGCAUCCUCAACAGCCAUCUGCUGUCAUCUCCGGGAUCGAACCUCCACAACAGACCUGCAUCUUUCAACACAUGUCCUCACGACCACCACCGUGAGCCAUUAAUGCCACAGCAGUGCUGAAUCACUGUCAAAAUAGCCAAGAACAUCUCCACUGGAUUCUGCACAGAUGAAAAUCAUGAGAAACACGAUCACCUUCAUCUCUGUUAACAUCCAUCACAUGCUAUUUUAACCAACAUUAUAUGAUUGUAUCAUCUUGCAUCCACCUGCUUUACCAAGACAACAACCACUACGAGUCUCGACCUUUCCCGGACACCUGACCUCCACCUCGGCCACAUCCAAAGUCUUCUCUCGACUUUUCGCAGACCGCUGACCUCUUCCUCGGCCACACCCAAAGCCAACUCUGUCACAGUCUCCUUUAACUGCCACUACAGCCACUGACGAGACCUCCCUUUGACAACUUCAAACCUUUACCUGUUCCAAGAGUCUUCUCCUACCGCUACAAGUCAAGAAAACCAAGCUUCUCCUUUUUCUGUUUUCUUUUACCAGCAAACAAGCCAACCCAAAAAAAUACAGCCACCCUCUACGACUUACUUCACCAGCGUCGCAUCAUGUUUCAACAGGAAAAUCACCACAAUAAACCGCAGCCACCUGCUACACACGACGACCAAUAUUCUGCCUUUUGUAUUAACUGGAACCUCCACUCGAGCAACCACUGCCAAACACCUCCUUACGCUGUGAUGGCAACCUUGCACCCAAAGGCUCUUCCCCUUCGAAAGUCGACUCUCAAAACAGCCUUGUACCUCUUCACAAGCCCUAAGCUCUGAUACCAAUUGUUGGAUCAGGUCCCUUAAUACAUGAAGCAAAACAUAUACAAAAGUGAAGAGAGUUUAGAGAUGGAGGAAUUAUCUUUCUGAUUCUUAUUCACCUCACCUGUAACAACGAGUACAACUACAUCUAUUUAAAUAACAAGAAAUAACAAAUUAAGCUAAAAACUAGCUACACGAUGUGCUCCUAUCUAAGUGGCAACUAAGCCACGUUAUUUCCUACAAACCUAGUCAACUGAUAACUAAGUUUUCUAUUUAUCCAAAUCUAACCCAUGACACCCGUUCGCCCAUUGCCCGUUAACCCGUUAAACAAACCGAUUAACCCAACAUCAAAGGUAGGAAACAAUCCAUUUGAUGGUUUCACACCUUCUGUAAGUCACUUAACAAGACUCCCAUAGAACUCUUUAUGAGGAGAAUGGUGUCAAGCAAAUACAAAAUGAUGCAUUUGUUCUUGUUGCAGAAGGGCUUGGGGAACGUCUUGGAUAUAAUGGAAUCAAGGUUAUUUUUGUCUUUUAAUCAUGUGAUAACUGUUAUGUUAGUUUAACACCACUUGAUAAAACUUCAUGUAUAUUGUAGGUAGCACUUCCCAUGGAAAACACUACAGGAACACUUGUUUCUUGCAACACUACAUCGAGUCCAUCUUAUGCUUAUCUAAAGCUAGUUGUACUCAAACUAAAGGUACUUUUUGUUUCCCCAUGAACGUAUUAUCUUUAUUCUUAUAUGCACAAUCGAAAGUCAUAAUCAAUUAAUAUAUUAAAAAAUGGCAAAUUGUCCAGUUGUAGGUGAAUGCAGAAGAGAAGUACCUUUUGCGAUAAUGACUUCAGAUGACACAUGCAAAAACAUUACAACUUUUAGAGUCAAGUUCUUAUUUUGGGAUGAAAUCUACAUAAGUAAAACUUUUAAAACAUGUAUAGUUUCACAUUUAGAGUUUUUUUUGGUACAAUAGAAGGGCAUUAUUGGCAUUAUAAAUUCAUGCUACCAUGUUUCAGGAAAAGGUUGCUUGCUUGGCUGAUAAUGAUGCUAAGCUUGUUGUAGAUCCAAAUAAUAAGUACAGAAUGCAGGUGAAGAAUUUUGUAAAGUAUAUAAGAUUAGUAAUAUUCCCAAUUAUAAACCCCUUUUAUUUCACUUGUUAGACAAAACCUCAUGGUGAUGGUGAUGUUCAUUCACUUCUUUAUUCAAGUGGUCUUCUUAAAGAAUGGCAUGUAUACAUUUUCUUAUUUGAUUGGUUUUUGUUUUUAUUAGAACAUUUAUCUCAUUAUUCUUUAUUGAGCAAUCUUUUUAUGAAAGAUGCUAGUUUGAGAUGGGUUGUGUUUUUCCAAGAUACAAAUGGACUCCUAUUCAAGGUUCAUUUGAAAGAUUGCUUUAAUAGUAUUUUCAUAUAGAGUUUUAUAUAAAAAAUAUUUUAUUUAUUUAUUUAUUUAGGCAAUUCAUGCAUCAUUGGGAGUUAGUGAAACUAAAGAGUAUCAUGUUAAUUCUCUUUCUGUUCCUUGCAAGCCAAAGAAGCUAUUGGAUACAUUAGAAGGCUUACUCAUUCAGAUGUUAAAUCUUGUUGAAUUGUCUUGUUAUUAGUAUCAUAAAGGAGUUUGUUAACCCCAAGUAACUUCUUUCAUAACUCAUGCGUUUCUUUUUGUCUCCUAAAACUGUAUUUAAAUUAUUACAUCCUUACAAAUCACUUUAUUAAAAACUUAAGACUAUUAAAGUAAACUGCCAAAAUGGUCCCUAUCGUUCAAAAUUUUCUUUGGUGUUGGUCCGAAAAAUUGUCUUCGAAUUUUUUCUUUGGUUCAAGUCCAAGUGAGAUUUUUUUUUGGUCCAUUUGUCAAGUUUUCAUUACUUUUGUUAUGGACUAGUAUUAGAAGGAUACAAAGUGUAAUUAUGUAGUCUAUAUAUGUUAUAUAUUCUAUCGAUCAUUAUAUACAACACAAUAUUUUACACAAGAUUAAUACUGUGAUGUUAAUUGUAACUAACCAGUUGUUUGGUUUUCAAAAUGACCAUUUUACCCUUAGACCAAAACAAGGACCAAAUUUGUAAUUUACCUAUAGUUUUAUAAAUUAUACUAUUUUCUAGCUAAAGGGAUAUAAGUUUUAUUAUUUAAUCGAUGGUUAGAGUUAACUUUUAAGAAUAAGGAAUGUGUCUAUUGGCAUCUGCACGAGGGACGAUACAUAUAAUUUACUCUAUAUUUAAUGUUCAUAAAAUCCACAAUAGAUUAUUCUACUAUUUUUUGUAAUCUAAAACAACUAUACAACUAAAUCUUGAAUUUAACAUAUUAUCUAACAAAAUCAAGAUUUUUUUUUUAAAAAAAAUUGAACAUUAUUAUUAUUAAAACAUAUUAUACUUUCUAGAAAAAGAUUUCCAUUUUUUUCCAAACCCAUUUUUACUAUAGUUUCAAGAUUAAAAUUACAAAUUUGGUCCUUGGGUUUACCUUUUUUGGUUUAGGUCCAAAAAAGACAUAUUUUCAAUUUUACUCCAUAUUUCAGGGUUUCAUAACACAUUUGAUUGCAGUCCCAUGUAUAAUAACUAUAGCUAUCUUCUUUGCUUAUGAAUUCAUCUCUUUGGAUUCCAUAUACAAAGAUUCAACAAAAACUGUAUUCAAGUCUUUUACUAGGUUAGAAUGUAUGAUGCAAGAUUAUCCUAAAACAUUGUCUCCAUCAGCAAGAGUUGGAUUCACGGUAAUAAAAUGAUUAUUCCUAAUUUCAUCAAUUAACAAUAUUGCCAUUCUUACCAUCUUUUGACUUGUUAACUGACCGAUCCAUGGCUUGCAUAUGCACCUAUGAAGAACAAUCCCGAUGAUGCUGUAAAGGUACUACAAAAGUUUAUUAAUAAUAAAAUAUUCUAAAGUUUAUUUAAAUUAGUUAUUUUAUAUAAAAAUAACAGGUACCUAAGGGAAAUCCAUAUCACAGUGUAACUUUUGGAGAAACAACAAUUUACAGAUCUCAUAGCAUGAUUCUAAGAUGUAAUAAACUAAAAUCCAUAAGUAAAAAUUUCAUUUUUCAAUUCAUCAUUCCAAACAUCACAUAGCUCAAAAACAUCCAAAAGACAACUAUCAGAAAAUAUCAGAGUAACAGAGAUCACAAAAUGCGGAAAUCAUGAGGGGGGGAUGUUGUGCCAUCACGUCGGGCCCUUCCAUUUUGUACCGGAAGUAACUGAAACCAAAAACAUAUAUGUAACCACAAAGCUUAGUGAGCUUCCACAAAAUACCACAUACACCAAACACAUAAAUAUAACAACACGUGGCUUUGUUAGGUCCGUAUCAAACCUAUGUAACAACAAUUAGCUGUAUUGGGUCCGAAUCAAUCCUCAGGUCCGUAUCAAACCCGAGUCCAUAAUGACUCCAAGCCCAAUUUAGCUCCAUGCAUAUAUCAUACAAUCACAUAAGUAAUACUCACAUAAUGGCAUACAUCCUACACAUACAACUCAGUGGUCCGACUUUGGUGCCUUCAACCCAUUAGUAUGGUAAAAAGACUCACCUAUAACUGAAGAUGAGUGAAUCGCACACUCGGGUUGCUGCUAACACGACUCCUCACACUAAAUAAAACCCAAAGACAACCCUAAUUAAAAUCAGGGUUUAACCCAUGAUCAAUGGUGCAAAUCAUCCUUUAUCUUAUUAAGGACAAAAGACAAUUUAGCCUUUCCCACACAUAACCCAACUAAUCAAAGCCCGAAACUCCAAAUGGCCCAAGGCCCAAAAACACCCAAGUAGGUUUUCUGGGAGUACGCUCGGCGUACUCCACAUUACGCCCAAUGUACAGUCAAUCCAUGGAAAAGUUACGGGGUCAUAACCCUCUAUGCCCAACGUACUCAGGUUUAUGCCUAACAUAAUUACCUUGGUUCCAAGCUCUAAUCUAAGGUCUUAAUGGGUUAAGACUUAACGUCCAAACUUCAGAUCCAAGCCUAAUAAAAUGUAUAAAGCCAUAAAGUUGCAAGCUUUAUGCUUUCGCAUGGCAAAAGGAAGCCACAAACCAAAACCCUAACUUAUAUUAUCAGCUAACCUUCCAUAAUUCUUGCAUAGAUGAAUACCAAGGACCAAGCUUGUAUUUUUAUGACACUAUACACCCUAAAAUGUAUGAAAGAACAACUUAAAAGCUUUGGAGUAUUCAAUACUCACAAAGAUCAUGAUUUUGGGAAAAAGAACAUAAAUCUAAGCUUAAACAAUAUCUAGCAAAGAAAGCUCCAAGGUAUGAACUUUAUACAUCCAGAAGAUGCAUAUAGAUGAGAAGAAUCGGAAUGCAAAAGCUUGAGAGAAACACCACAACUCCAAAGGUCUUCCUUCACCACCAAGAACAGCAAAAUGUCACUCUAAAGCUUCAAAAAUCACACACAAGAAUUAGGUUUUCGAGAUGGAGGCUAAGAAAGAUGGAGGUUGAAGGUAAGAAAUGGUUUAAGUCUAUAAAGGUCUUUAAAUAGGGUCCAAACCCUAAAAAUUAGUGUUUUCCCUCUGCUUGAGUACGCCCAGCGUACGAGAGGGAUUCGACGACUAUCUUUAAGGAUCUACACCCGUUGUACCCAACUCGUACGCCCAAUGUAAGGAACAAUUUUGCAAUCUUUUUAAGGAAUAUAUGCUAAAGAGAAAAUUACCUGGAACACUGGCGUUACAAAUCUCCCUCACUUGAAUCAGACUUCGUCCUCUAAGUCUGCUACUGCAAACAAGUCUGGGUAGUGCGCCCUCAUCUUAUCCUCAAGUUCCCACGUCCACUCUAAACCCUUCUGGUGCUUCCACUGUACCUUCACCAGGUUCACCACGUUGUUGUGCAAUGCCUUGGUCUUACUGUCGAGAAUCGCAACUGGCCUCUCCACAUAAUUUAGGACCCUAUCGACCUGAAUAUCAUCAAAAGAAAUCACUGUCGAAUAAUUGGUAACACGCUUCCUAAACUGAGAGACAUGGAAGGUGUUUUGGAUCUCACUAAGCUCAUCUAGCAAAUCUAAUCGUUAUGCCACCUUACCCACCCGGGCUAAAAUCCUAAAUGGACCAAUAAAUCGGGGGCCCAGCUUACCCACUUCCAGAACCGAAUGACACCUUGACAAGGUGACACCUUCAGAAGCACCAAGUCCCCCACCUGAAACUCGAGGUCCGAAUGUCCCUGAUCUUCAUAACUCUUCUUUCGGCUUUGCGCGAGUUGCAAACUAUUGAUCACCUGUUGAAUCAACUCAGUGGUAUUGCGCACCACUUCAUUACUUCCCAUGACCCGAUGCCCGACCUCGCCCAAGGAAACCGGGGUCCUACACCUCCUCCCAUACAACAUAUCAAAAGGUGAUCGGUCAAUACUAGCGUGAUAACUGAUGUUGUAAGAGAACUCGGCCAGUGGAAGGUAAGUAUCCCAACUCCCUCCAAAAUCUAACACGCAAACCCAGAGCAUAUAUUCGAGCAUCUGAAUCAUCCGUUCACUUUGUCUAUCGGUAUGGAGGUGGUAUGCUGUACAGAAAUGCAACUGAGUACCCAACUCCUCAUGAAACUUACUCCAAAACCUGGAGGUGAAGCGAACAUCUCAGUCCAAAACCACCCAAACUGGCACCCCAUGCCGAACCACCACCUCUCAAAUGUAAAUUUUAGCUAGCUUCUCAGCAGAUAUAAUCUUGAAAAUCGGUAUGAAUUUCACACUCUUGGUCAAUAAGAUAGAAUCAACUCUACAUGUCGUCCUUGGCAGCUUUAUGAUAAAAUCCAUGGUGAUCUCCUCCUAUUUCCCUAUGGGAAUGUGUAAUGACUGCACAUUGUUGUGGGGUCUCUGAUGUUCGUUAUUGACCUUCCGACAAGUCAUGCACCGCUUUACGAACCAUGAUAUCUCCCUUUUCAUACAGGGCCACCAAUAACUCAACUUUAAAUCCUUAUACAUCUUUGUGGCCCCCAGAUGAAUCAGCCCACGAGUAAUUGGAACCUAAAAUCUACUACACUGAGUCAACAAACACCGACUAUCUCUGACGAAUAAUGGAAUCUGCCCCCUGAUCCGCUCUGCCUUCUAAUUAUCCUUUUUGAAUCCCUCGACCUAAUCCUCCUUGAUCAAAUCUAACAAAGGAGAAAUGAUAACGAUCCUCAGACACAUAUCAUCGAUAGGUGUACUCAUAGCCUUAUGACUCAGAGCAUUGACCACCACAUUGACCUUCCCAGGGCGGUGCAAAAUCUAGAAAUCAUAAUUCCUUACCACAUCCAACCACCUCUGUUGACGCAUAUUCAAGUUCCGUUGAUCCAUCAGAUACCUUAAACUCUUAUGGUCAGUGUAGAUCGUACACCUAACCCCAUACAGGUAGUGCCUCCAAAUCUUGAGGGAAAAAACCACAACCCCCAACUCCAAACCAUGCGUAGGGUAAUUCCCCUCAUGAGACUUCAGUUACCUCGAAGCGUAAGAAAUCGCAUGACUCAUCUGCAUAAGAACAACUCCCAAACUCGAUAUAGAGGCAUCACAAUAAACCACAAAAUCAUCUAUACCCUCGGGAAGCAUGAGAAUCGGGGUCUCACACAACCUAUCUCAGUGUCUCAAAAGCCAACUGCUGAUCGGGUCCCCACCGAAAAGUAACAUUCUUCUUUGUCAAGCGGGCCAAUGACACAUCAAUCCUGGAGAAAUCCUAGAUAAAUUUCCGGUAAUAUCCCAUAAGACCCAGGAAACUCCAAAUCUCAGAUGGAGUUCUCAGAACCUCCCAUCGCAUCACGACCUCGAUCUUGGCCGGAUCGACCAAUAUAACCUUCUGGUUGAUGAUGCGCCCCAAGAACUAUACCCCCCCACAACCAAAACUCGCAUUUGGAGAACUUGGCAUACACCCUCUCCCUCCUCAUAGUCUCUAAUACCUCUCGUAAAUAAUCCUCGUGUUGCUCCUUGGUCUUGGAGUAGACCAAAAUAUCAUCAAUAAAUACGAUCACCGAGCGAUCGAGCAUCGGCCAGCAUACUCGGUUCAUAAGAUCCAUGAAUGUUGUUAGCACAUUGUUGAGCUCAAAAGACAUCACCACGAACUUGUAAUGACCAUAACGAUUCUGAAUGCCGUCUUCAGCAUAUCCUCAUCUGAUGGUAACCUGAUCACAAAUAAAUCUUGGAAAACCAAGAUACACCCUGAAGCUAGUCAAAUAAGUCGUCAAUCCUUACAAGUGGGUAAAGGUUCUUCACCGUUAACUUAUUCAACUUCUGAUAGCCAGUACAUAUCCUGUGUGAACCGUACUUUUUCACGAACAGGAUCGGUGCUCCCCAAGGUGAACUACUCGUCCGAAUAAUUCCCUUGUCUAGCAGCUCUUGAAGGUGCGUAGACUACUCCUGCAUCCCCGGUGGUGCCAAGAGAUACAGUGCAUUGGAUAUUGGGGUCACACCAGGAACUAAAUCAAUCUAGAACUUGAUCUGCCUUUCAGGAGUCACUCCUAGCAAAUCCUCAGGAAACACAUCGAGGAAAUCCCAAACAAUGGUCACCUUAUUCAACAUCGUCGUGCCCCUUAUCCGUGUAUCUGCCAUAUAAGCUAGAAACCCAGAACAACCCAACUGAAGACAUCUCCUGGCCCUCACAGCUGAAUAGAGAGCCGACACAUGCGAAGCUCCCUCUCCAGGAAUAACCAGUUCUCCCCCACUUGGGGUUCGAACUUCCCCAGUUGGCACCCAUAAUCAAUCAUGGCCCCAUUGGUACCCAACCAGUCCAUCUCGAUAAUAACCUUCGACACUCGUAGAGGAAUCGACACCAAAUCAAUAGAGUACUUCUUGCUAAACUGGUUUAGGACACAUCCACGAUGUACCCUUAAAGCACUCCCAGAACGAUCAUCAGCAAUCUCAACCUCCAACAAAUAAUCCAGAAUCCCAGGAGCAUCACUAAACUUCUUCACGAGCACAAGAGAUACAAAGGAUCAGGUAGCACUCGAAUCAAACAGAACAUAAACAUUCAUACCAUUGACUAGGAAUGUCCAUAUACAUGAUCAGAUACAAUAUAAGCAUAAAUAAGGAAAGCAAUAAAGAUAAAAUGAAAUUACAUGCUAGCAACCACAUCCAGUGCUGCUCGAGUCUCAUCGGUAGUCAAUUGAAUUGCCCUGCUCUUCACCACAGGUGUCUCUGUCUUACCCUAGCAACCAUCGAUAAUCCUCACGGUGGCUGGUGAUGACACUGCCACUGCUUCUCCUGACAACCUCGAACAAUCAACCUUUUUAUGGCAUGUCUGGAUGCAAUGAAAAGAAAUCAAUGCACAUUGGAGGCAAUUCGUACUCAUAUGACCAUACUGACCACAUCUGAAACAACCUAACAUCUGAAACAACCUAAACUCGUUGAUCGGCAUGCCCCAUUUUGCUGCUUGCCGCAACGACCCCGACCUUGCUGGCCCCUCGAAUACGAAUCAUAAUUAUUGGCCUUGUUAGCUUGGCCCACAACAGUCUACACCUACUCCGGCUUACGCUUAGUCCGAAGCUCCAACUCAAUAUCCCGCUCGUGGGCCCUCUUAAUCAUAUCAUUCAGGGUCUUGCACUCUGAAAUGCUCACGAACUCCCUGAUCUUAUCCCUCAACAUGUCAUGAUAUCAGUUCUUCUUCAUCUCCUUAUCUGCAGCUUACUGCAAAACUAAAAGAGCCCUCUCCUGAAACUUGGCGGUGAUCUACGCCACAAACUCAUUAGUUUGUUGAAGGUCCUGAAAUUCCCUUGCUAACUAUUUCACCUCGAUCGCCGAUGAAAAUUCCCUUUUGAACUGUAACAUCCCAAAUUUCGAGUCCAAAAAUUUCAUUUUAAUUGAUUAAUUAUAAAAACAUUCAUAAGCAAACUACAUGAAAAUAUACCAUUUUGUAAAUCAAUACAUCAUGUCUGAAAAACCCAAAUCAUAAAGUAGUAUCAUAUCAGAGUGCAAUCCCAGAAUAUCUCAAGUGCGGAAAACCAAUGUGUGUGUGUAUGAUGUGCUGCUACCACGCCAGCUCCUUCCCCUUUGCUGAAGAGGUACCUGAAACCAAAACUAUAAACUGUAAGCAUGAAGCUUAGUGAGUUCCCCCACCGUACCACAUACCAUACAAUCACAUAGCAUACAUACUGUCGGGCAAUUAUGGGGUGCCCGGCCUACCCGAUACGGCCAUUGUGGGGUGCCGACCUACCCGUGUCAAGCCAUUCUGGGGUGCUGAACAACCCGACGGUCCUAACAACCAACCCUUUGGGACUAUUCCACCCCUAUUGCUACUAUCACAUAUAUCAUAAUGUAACAUACUAUCAUAUAUAUCUGGGGUGUCCGACCUACCCUUCGGUCCUAACAACCGAACUCUACUACCUUUACAUAUAGCAUAUCAUGCCAACAUAUAACAUAUCAGGUAGUAGCAAACCUAGAUGAUAUCACAAAUAAAAUCAUCUAACAUACAACUCCUACUGGUGGGUCGGCAUUGUGGCUGUAGACCCACCACUACUGGAAGGUAACUCACCUCAAACGAGUAGCUGCUGAUAAUCUGCUGCCUCGGAAAUCCUCCAGCUAUAAUCCCCAAAAAACACUUAGUCAGAAUCUGAUAUCCACACUUAGGGUAAAAUAACUAUUAUACCCCUGACCAAGUCCAAGUCACAGUCAAAGUCAAAGUCAACCCUCUAGCCAAAGUCAACUCUCAGUUGACCUGACUUGCCGAGUUGGCCGCCAACUCACCGAGUCCCUCUCCUUGGUUCAAAUCCUCUAUACAUUUCUACUCGUCGAGUUUAUCAAAGUCUUGACGAGUCCAUAUUCGAUACUAACAUCGAGUCCAUUUUCAUCUAACUCGCUGAGUUGUAUGAACAACUCGUCGAGUCCUCCUUCAUCCUAUGAAUGUGAUUGGUCCUUGACUCGCCGAGUUAUAUGAACAACUCGUCCAGUCCCUCCACUACUAGAUCUGAGCCCUAACUCACCGAGUCCAUUACCUACUCACUGAUUCCACCCUAAACUCUCAAAUGGGGAACAACUCGGGAACUCGCGACUCGACUCGUCGAGUCCUAUGCAUGUCAUUACUAUACAGUCGAUUCUGCUCGAAUCCAGUGCAUUCCAUUCAUAGAUCUGGGAUCCUAGGGCUGGUUUUUCACGUAAAGUUUCUAACUUUACGUGCAUGCAUGCUAAUAUGAAGCUCAAAUACUCAAAAUAAGCUAAAAGAAGAGAUCUAAGCUUAGAAUGGAAACUUGGCUCAAUAAAGGUUGCAACCUUGAGCUUAAGAGGCUCUGGAAGCUUAGAUCUGAAGUCCAUUCAUCAUAUCAACUCUUAAUUCGACCUUAAAGUCUAGAAACAGCUCAAAAUCAACAAGAGCAAGAUUUUCAAGAGAUCUAAUUGAUAAUAAGCAAAGAUUCGAGCUUGAUACCUCAAAGGGGACUGAAAUGUAACUAGAAAUCCGGAUCUACUUGCUCCCCUUGAAUACUUCUCCUCUCUCUUCUUCCUUAAAUCCCCAAGAUGCACUAAAAACCUUCACAAGUGAGAAAAUGCUCCAAAAAUGCUUAAGAACGGCUAGGGUUUCGUAUGGGACUCUUUGUGGGUGAGGGAGGCUGGUCUUGGGGCACAUAAGAUGUUUAAAUAGGGUGCAAACCCUUGAAAUUAGGGUUUCAUCCAGUCUGGCAGACUCGCCGAGUUCGGGAAUAUGGACUCGUCGAGUCGCCAACUUAAACCGCGUGUAAUCUCUUCUUUACUCGACUAGUCGGGCUACUGACUCGUCGAGUACCUCUUAAGAAAUAAAAAUUACUUUAUUUAAAUCACAUACCAAAAAUGGGGCGUUACAACUCUCCCCCACUCUCACCUCAAACGAGUAGCUGCUGAUAAUCUGUUCAGGAAAUCUCCGUAUGCUGCUGCUCCGGAAAUCCUCCGGCUAUAAUCCCCACAAAACACUUAGUAAGAAUCUGAUACCCACACUUAGGGUAAAAUGACUAUUUUACCCCUAACCAAGUCCAAGUCACAGUCAAAUUCAAAGUCAACCCUCUGGCCAAAGUCGACUCUCAGUUGACCUGACUCGCCGUGUUGGCCGCCAACUCGCCGAGUCCCUGUCCUUGGUUCAAAUUCUCUAUACGCUUCUACUCGUCGAGUUUAGCAAAGUCUCAACGAGUCCAUAUUCGAUACUAACAUCGAGUCCAUCUUCAUCUGACUCGCCGAGUUGUAUGAACAACUCAUCGAGUCCUCCUUCAUCCUAUGAACGUGAUCAGUCCUUGACUCGCUGAGUUGUAUGAACAACUCGUCGAGUCCCUCUACUACUAGAUUUGUGCCCUAACUCACCGAGUCUAUUACCUACUCACUGAUUCCACCCUAAACUCUCAAACGGGGAACAAUUCGGGAACUCGCGAGUCGACUCGUCGAGUUUGAAGAACGACUCACCGAGUCCUAUGCAUGCCACUACUAUAAAAUUGAUGUUGCUCGAAUCCAAUGCAUUCCACUCAUAGAUCUGGGCUCCUAGGGCUGGUUUUUCACGUAAAGUUUCUAAAUUUACGUGCAUGCAUGCUAAUAUGAAGCUCAAAUUCCCAAAAUAAGCUAAAAGAGAGAUCUAANCUAAGCUUGGAAUGGAAACUUGGCUCAAUAAAGGUGGCAACCUUGAGCUUAAGAGGCUCUGGAAAGAUUAGAUCUGAAGUCCAUUCAUCAUAUCAACUCUUAAUUCGACCUUAAAGUCUAGAAAGGGCUCAAAAUCAACAAGACUAAGCUUUUCAAGAAAUCUAAUUGAUAAUAAGCAAAUAUUCGAGCUUGGUACCUCAAAGGGGACUAAAAUGCAACCAGAAAUCUGGAUCUACUUGCUCCCCUUGAAUACUUCUCCUCUCUCUUCUUCCUCAAAUCCCCAAGAUGCACUAAAAACCUUCACAAGUGAGAAAAUGCUUAAGAACGGCUAGGGUUUCGUAUGGGAUUCUUUGUGGGUGAGGGAGGCUGCUCUUGGGGCACAUAAGAUGUUUAAAUAGGGUGCCAACCCUUGAAAUUAGGGUUUCAUCCAGUCUGGCAGACUCGCCGAGUUCGGGAAUAUGGACUCGUCGAGUCGCCAACUUAAACCGCAUGUAAUCUCUUCUCUACUCGACUAGUCGGGCUACUGACUUGUCGAGUACCUCUUAAGAAAUAAAAAUUACUUUAUUUAAAUCACAUACCAAAAAAGGGGCGUUACAACUCUCCCCCACUUAUCUUAGACUUCGUCCUCGAAGUCUGCUGCUGCUGAAUCUAUAAAUAUCUCUGGAUAAUGCUCCCUCAUUUCCUCCUCGACCUCCCACGUCCAUUAUGAACCCUUCUGGUGUUGCCACUGCACAUUCACUAGCUGGACUACCUUGUUCCUCAAGGUCUUCGUUUUCCGAUCCAAGAUUGCAACGGGCCUCUCAAUAUAAUUCAGGCUGCUAUCAACCUGAAUAUCCUCCAAGGGUACAACAGCUAACUCGUCCACCAAACACUUCCUCAACUGAUAAACAUGGAAAGUGUUGUGGAUCUGGCUAAGCUCUACGGGAAGAUCCAACUGAUAAGCAACCCAACCCACUCGGGCCAAAACUCUAAAAGGGCCAAUGAACCUGGGGCCCAGCUUUCCCCUCUUCCGGAACCUGAUAACACCCUUCCAGGGUGAUACCUUCAGGAGGACCCUAUCGCCCACUUGAAACUCCAAGUUUGAUCGGCGCUUGCCGGGAUAACUUUUCUUCCGACUCUGAGCAGUCUAAAGUCUGCUCCGGACCUGCUGAAUCCUCUCUGUCGUCUUGAGCACCACUUUGGUGUUCCCCAUGACCCUCUGGUCAACCUCGCCCCAACAUGUCGGGGUCCUACACUUCCUCCCAUGCAACAUCUCGAAAGGAGGACGGUCAAUGAUCGCAUGAUAACUAUUGUUACAGGAGAACUCUGUCAAUGGAAGGUAAGUAUCCCAACUACCUCCGAAGUCUAGAACACACGCCCGCAUCAUGUCCUCCAAGGUCUGGAUAGUACGCUCACUCUAACAAUCUGUCUGCGGGUGAAAGGCAGUGCUAAAAUGCAGACGAGUAACCAGCUCGUCAUGAAACUUCUUCCAAAAUCGGGAAGUUUACCGCACAUCCCUGUCUCAAAUAACUGAAACUGGUACCCUGUGCCUCACCACCACCUCCCUGGUAUAGAUAUCGGCCAACCUUUCGGUCGAAAUACUCUCCUGAAUCGGAAUAAAAUGGGCGCUCUUAGUCAAUCGAUGGACGACGACCCAAAUCGAAUCCACUCCCCGUGCGGUCCUGGGAAGUUUGGUGAUGAAGUCCAUGGUAACGUCUUCCCACUUCCACAUGGGAAUAUCCAACGGCUGCAUCCUUCCUUGUGGCCUCUGGUGCUCGGCCUUGACCUUCCUAUAGGUCAAGCACCGCUCCACAUACCAUGCUACAUCCCACUUCAUGCAGGGCCACCAAUAGUCCAGAAGAAGAUCCGUAUACAUCUUUGUCGCCCCGGGAUGAAUGGAGAAUCUGGAUUUGUGUGCUUCCUCCAUCAGAAUCUGACACACACCACCGUGGUAUGGAACCUACACCCUGCGGUGUAGUGUUAAUAACCCUCAGCUAUCAUAGUCAAAGGAUGAAACCUGGCCUACAAUCCGCUCGCUUUUCCAAAGUUCCUCCUUCAUGGCCUAUCGAAUCUGCUCCAAUAGUGGAGUCACCACUGUCAUCCGCAUGACAAAUGUAUCGGAUCAGCGCUGCCUGGCGGCUAAGUGCAUCGGCCACCAAAUUGGCCUUCCCCGGGUGGUAAAGGAUCUCGCAAUCAUAAUCCUUCACCACUUCCAACCACCGAUGCUGCCUCAUGUUCAGAUUCGGCUGAUCAAUAAGGUAACUCAAACUCUUGUGGUCCAUGUAAAUGGUACAACGGACCCCAUAAAAGGUAAUGAAGCCAAAUCUUGAGGGCGAACACAAUAGCCCCAAGCUCCAAAGCAUGUGUCGGAUAGUUCGCCUCGUGAGGCUUCAGCUGCCUCAAGCGUUGGCGAUGACAUGCCCUCUCUGCAUCAAAACCACGCCCAAACUCGAAAUAGACGCGUCGCAGUACACAACAAAAUCCUAUAUGCCCUAUGGCAGGGCUAAAAUCGGCUCCUCGCACAAUCUCUGUCUCAGUGUCUCAAACACUGCUUGCUGCUCAGGGCCCCAACAAAAGACUACGGCCUUCUUCAUCAGUCGCGUCAAGGGUACAACUAUCUUGGAGAAAUCCUGGAUGAAUCUCUGAUAGUAGCCGGCUAAUACCAGGAAACUCCGAAUCUCGGAUGGAGACUUCUGAACCUCCCAUCUCAUCAUGGCCUCCACCUUGGCUAGGUCAACCAGGAUGCCGUUCUGGUGGACAAGGUGCCCAAGAAAUUGCAUCUCGCGCAACCAGAACUCACACUUGGAGAACUUGGUGUACAAGCUCUCCCUCCUCAGGGUAUCCAAAACCUCUCGUAGAUGCUCCUCAUGCUGCUCCUGCGGCUUGGAAUAAACCAAGAUGUCAUCGAUCAAAACUAUCAUAGACCGAUCCAACAUCGGUCUGCACACGCAGUUCAUGACAUCUAUGAACGUGGCAGGAGCAUUGGUGAGCCCGAAGGUCAUCACCACGAACUCAUAAUGGCCAUAGCAGGUCUGGAACGCAGUCUUCUGUACAUCCUCCUCUCUAACCCACAUUUGACGAUAUCCUGAACGCAGAUCAAUCUUGGAGAACCAAGAUGCUCCCUGUAGCUUGUCAGAGAGGUCAUCAAUCCUCAGAAGUGGGUAACAGUUGUUCACUGUUACCUUGUUCAGCUCCCGGUAGUCUAUGCACAUGCGAUGCGACCCGUCCUUCUUCUUGACAAACAGAAUCGGGGAUCCCCAAGGCGAGCUACUCGGCCUGAUGAAUCCAUUGUCUAGCAGCUCCUAUAGCUGCGUAGACAACUCCUGCAUCUCGGGAGGAGCCAACCGAUAUGGGGCCUUGGCUAUCGGACCCGCACCAGGGACUAGGUCGAUCCUAAACUCCACCUGCCUCUCCGGAUGUAUCCCAGGCAACUCCUCAGGGAAUACAUCCGCAAACUAUUGUACUAAGGGAACAUCGCCCACCGCCGCCUUACCUGUUUUCUGGGUAUCCAUAACAUACGCGACGUACCCGGCGUAACCCUGCUGGAGGUAGCGCCUAGCCCUCGCUGCUGAACAUAAAGCCGGUCCUUGCUGUGGCCUCUCGCUAUGGAUCACUAACUCUCCCCCAACUGGGGUCCUGACUCGCACAAGCUGUUGUGCGCAAUCUAUCACCACCCCAUUAGGGCUCAACCAAUCCAUGUCUAUAAUUACCUUGUUCCCACGCAACGGAAUAGGAACCAAGUCUACCAGGUAGCGCUCCCCGAACAAUCUCAGAACACAAGUUCUAAAAACUGCUGAUGCUCGCACCGAUCGAUCAUCGUAAAUCUCUACCUCUAAAGGGUAAUCUAACAUGCCCGAAGACUCAGGAAACCUCUUGCUGAGCGCAAGAGAAACAAAAGAUCGAGUGGCACCUGAAUCAAAGAAUACCUAUACUGGAAUACCGUUCACAUGGAACGCUCCUAAACAUGUAUAUACAGAGCAUAUAUCAAUAUCAUAAACAUCAUAUAAAUAGAAGGGAGGAAUCAUACCCGUCACCAUAUCGGGUGCAGUGCGUGCCUCCUCAGUAGUCAACUAGAAGGCCCAGCUCCUCACCACUAGAGCCUAUGCCUUGCCUUGUCGGCCAUCAGUAAUCUGCAGGGUCGUUGGAGCUGGCGCCUUCACUAGCGCUGGUGCUGUCAACUGGGGGCAAUUGGGCUUCUUAUGUCCCCUCUGGUUGCAGUGAAAACACAACAACUCGGAUGUCUGAAUAGUGGGUGCAGGGGCGGUACAAUCCCUGCUGUAGUGCCCCGUCUUUCCGCACUUGUAGCAGCCCGACGAUCCCAACCUACAUGCUCCCUCGUGCAGCCUGUCGCAUUUCCUGCAACGGCCCUGUCCUGACUUCCCUUUCGGCCUACAAUCUGAUCCCUUGGGCUUCUUCCCCGAAGCCUGUGACAACCCGAAAUUCCAUUUUGUACAAACAAUAUCACUUCAGUAGAAGUCAGGACAGUUGUAGUAAGUUUUCAGACUUGUUAGUAUAAGUUUGAGUAAUUCAGGAUUUACACCUAAAGAGAUAUCAGGAGAGAGGAUGCACUAGGGUUUUGUGCAACUCUGUUAUUUCAGAACUCUAUGAUAUUAGAGUUCAUUUCUUGAAUAAAAAUAUUUUCUGCCAAAAAUCCCAGGACUAUAUAUAUGAUUCUUAACCAAAUUAUUUCAUUAGUUACAUUUCCAACUAGAGAAAAGCCAUUUUCUCUCUCACGGAUCUUUGGGUUUUCAUCCCAAAUCAUGAGUACCUCCCUCUAGUUGUAUAUUAUAGCUAGUAAUAUGCUUAAUAACAUCAAUUUCAUAGCAAAACAACUAGAUUCGGGUGUUUACCACCCAAGAACACCUUGGGGAGUAAACUCUUAAAAUGAUACCUAGUCCCUUCCCUUUGAUAUGUAACCACUUUAGGCUUGUAUGUAGGUUUAUUUAAGACUAUAAAUCAUCCAUGAACACCAAGAUUUAGGUGUUCACGGCCCAAGAAGUUCUUGGACCGUGAACUCCAAAAUCAAGGGCAAAAGAGUGCCUUAAUCACUCCUAAAGCCUUGGACAAUAGCCUCGAUUUAUUCCUAGUUAAUUUAGGGAAUUUAAAUCAUCAAAAAAACCCCUCCCAAAGAGAGAUUACGGCCCUAAUCUUUAAUGGUUAUGGUUCUAGGGCCGUGAACAUCAAAAGGGGGUACCAAAGUGUGCCUAAGGCCUUCAUUAGCCUUAGAUAAUUGUCUAAAACCUAUCCUAGAUGAGUAUGGGACUUGAAAACACAAAAACACCCCUUUCCAUAUGAGUUUAUGGCAGUAAACUCAAAAGGAAAUGGCCUUGGGGCCGUAAACUCCUCAAAGGAGUGUAUUAGUGCCCUAAACCCUUCCAAGAAUUAAUCCACCAAGUAGGAAUGCUUCUAGGGAUCAUUUAGAACUUCAAAACACCAAAUGACAUUAAGUUUAGGAGUUCACGGCCGUAAACUCAAGGGUUUACGACCGUAAACUCCUUGUGUGGGGUUUAUGGGAGAGUAAACUCAUAUAUGGGAUCCUUUGGAACCCUAAACUCACUAACCGGGUCGUACAACAAUUUAGAUGAAGUCCUUAAGGCUAAUAACACUUAUGUAAAGUGUUUAGCAUGUUCUAAGAGGUCUAAACAAUUUCAAUUAGUAGUUUAAAUCUAAUUGGGUACAUAUAUGUGUGAUUAUAUGUUAACUAGGAUCAUAGCAUGUGUUCAAGACUUCACUUGACACCUAGCAAUCCUACAUCUUCAGUACAUCCGUACCACUCACUACAGGUGAGUUCAUACCCCUUAAUCAAUGGUUUAAAUGUUUUUAAAUGCUUAUAUGGGGGGAAUGCAAGUCAAAUACUUAUAGUUAUUACAUCAAUCACAUGUGAUUAAUAACUACAAAACCAGUGAUUUCCUUAUUGUUCAAAUUGUUUAUCAAACUGUUUUACUUCAAACUGUUUUUCAAGUUCUUAUACUUAUCAAAUACAUUUGCUUAAAAUUUGUCUUACUUAUUAUCAAUUGUAUGUCUAGGUAUGUAUAGUUAUAUAAGAAAUGUUUAAAGGACUUACGAAGGCUAUCCACCCUAUUUCCUUUUCGCGCUUGAGAUGUGGUCUGGUGGGAUAUCGGGUAUCCGUCCGAAGGUCGUUUAAAUAUUAGUUAUAUAUCAUGUGUACAUAUAUAGUCAUAAAAGGUCCUUCUAAUUCAUUCGGUACCCUUGGGUAGCAAGGGUAUACAUCCGUGUUCAUACGUACCAGUACAUCACUAGUAAGUUACCAAAGGGGUAGCACAGGAGGAUACUAUUAUUAUUACUAGAACAAUGAAACAUGCAAUGAGUCAGUUCAUUCAUGAGUCAAUACUUUCUAAAUAGAGAGAGAACACUCAUUACAGCUAGUACGCACAGUACAUUGCUAUACAUGCUAGAUAUAGAGAGCACACACAUUACAGCUAGCACACACAGAACAUUACAGUACAUAGUAUACUAUUACAUAGAUAUGUUUACAUGAUUACGCUUACAUGAGUACGUUUACGUAGAUACGUUUACAUGAGUUCUUUUACAUAUACGAUAAUAGGACAAACAUCAUUAGGUGCUAUAGCAUAGAACAAGUUCGGGAUCUAACUAUACCGAUGAAUCACAACGCAUUGUGAUAGUUAUAUCGGGUAUACAUGAUCAUAGUAAUGUGGAUGUUCACGGCGUGAAAAUAUGCAGGGGUUGUGUAAAGGUCCCAAAAUCCCUUUGACAAGGGGGCAUCUAGCCUGAGAUCUAGCCAUCACAUUAGGCCUUAUCCCUCAAAUAAGGCAAUAGGAGUACAAAGGUAGUCACUUAUUACAAAUACUACAGUACUUAUAAGAAUUACCCUAGAUUUAAGGUAAUUAGUACGGUUGUAGUACGACGCUACACCAUAGUACUAUCUCCUUUUCCCAUUUACAUUCACUUCGUGAAUAUUCACACGAUGCACGGUAAUGUAGAAUCUAUAUUUUUGGUUAAUGAUAGUCCGAAUUGGGGAAAUCACACACUCUAUCAAGAGACAUAUGCACAGACACUAGAUGCCUUAGUAGAAGGCUACAGUUAGUAGGAAACAUAGGGUUUUCUGGGAGAGUCCAAACAUUAUACAAAACAUCUUACAGAAACAUUUUACAAGCAUUUUCAUAACAAAGUCAGACAUUAAUAUACUUAUGAUCUCACCAGCUUUAAGCUGAUACUCGCUUUCAAAAUAACUUGUAUUCUCAAGUCACCACUAGACAGGUACAGGUGCCAGGCUUUUGAGAAGAUGGAGUUCGUUCAAGACUCAUCUGUUAUUUUUGUUAUGUAUAUUUUUGGUGUCUAUACUUUGACAGAACACACAUGUAUGAAAUUAUACUAUUAUUGCAAUGGAUGAUGUAGUUGCUUGUUUACUAUUAUUCAUUGUUUGUGAUACUGUACAUGACGUCCUCCGCCCCAGAAUGUUUCCGCCAUUCAUGGUUUUGGGGUGUGAAAAAGCCCCAGUCACCUGCCCCUCGUAUACCUUCCUCUUCCAGAUGUGCUCCAGAUCAAUCUCCCUUUCCCUUGCCCUGGAAAUCAUCGAAUCCAGGGUAGGGCAAGUUGAAAAACUAUCAUGCUCCCGAUUUUCGGCUCGCAACAUGUCAUGGUCGCGGGUCCUCCUCAUGUCCUCAUCUCCCGCAUACUGGGGCACCGGUAACACCUCUCCCAGAACUUGGCGGUGAUCUCCACCACUGUCUCCGUCGUCUAUCUCAUGUCUAAGAACUCCCUAACCAACUACUGGAGCUCCACUGCAGGUGCAAACUCCGCUCUGAACCGGGUCACAAAGUCCGGCCACGUCAUAGCCUCAACAGUCGAGGCUCCCAGAGAGUCACCAACCGACUCCCACCAAUCUCUGGCCCUGUCUCUCAAGCACCCUGCUGCAUAUCUCACCUUCGACCCCUCGGGGCAGAAGCUGGUCAACUGUACAGACUCAAUGUUUUCAAUCCACCACCUGGCUGCAAUGGGGUCCUUCACCCCAUGGAAAUCCGGCGCACCACUACCCCUGAAGUCCUUAAAGGACAAUGUGUGUGAUCCCGACUGGCUGGUCGCCAUAUCGCUCCUGAAUGCCCGGAGGCGAUCCUCCAUCAGCUCGAUAAUCCCUUCCUUGAUCGACCCAAAAAUGACUGAGGUCGCAUCAAGGAUGCCCCUAGUGAUCUCGGAUGCGAUGAACUCGCGUAGUCUCUCAUCCACUGGCUCGAAACCUGAACCCGAACCCGAUCACUCCCCUGAACUGCCAACUGCUGGCCUCGGACGUAGUACCACCAUUUUGCAAUACAUAACGACAAUUGCUAGUGCUACUGAUACAUCUAGAGGGAUCAUAUCUAUCACAAGUUCCCUGGUCUUGCCUUAUCCCUCCUAGAUUCAAGUACGUAUCCUCUGCUUUCAGUAGUACGGGCCCAUACUACGUGCCACAUCUAUCCAUACUUUCCUCAAAGACUGCCUCGACUCCACCAAGUCCCUUCUACUGUCACUGAUCUCUGCUAUUCUAAUCCUAGGCUUGCCCUAGGGUCCCUCUGACUCAAUCUAAUCUAGUCCUCAGCUGCUGAAGACCUCUUUAUAAUGCCAAUUUGAAAUCACCUAAAUAUCAUCACAUGUGACGAGGCUCAGAUAAUCCUUCGAGUAAAAGACUCGUCCCUACAAUGGUUGGACUCAGACAAGAGCUACGCAAUAGGGCCAAAUCCAGCACUCUGAGAUUAUUCAACCCUGAUCACAUGUGAUGUGACGUAUUCACCUAAUGACUAACUCCCAUCACUCAAAGUCCCACAAAGCACAAAGCAAGCAGCAUUCAGACACAUGAAACUACUCAAGCAAUUCUAUCCUCAUAACAAGAAACUGUACUAGCAUAUAAUGCUAAGCUCAUACGAUCAUGCACAACCUAAAAUGGCUAUCCUACUGUUGUCUACUCAAUACUAGCAUGCAAUUCUCAUAAAGCUGAAACACAUAUAGCAGACACAUAAGGCAUCCUCCUAGAUCCUUAAUCCUAUUCUAGCAUGCUGUUCUACUGAAUCUGAAACUGAUAAUCAUAACAUAAACUUGUAUGGGUAAUUUGGGAGUACUUAUUUAUGCUCGAUCGGUCUCGCACAUCACACACGUCGUUCUUUCUCAGAAGUCUUUUAACUUAGCUUUUAGAAAACCAUUUUUCUCGUAAAAGUCUUUUAAUCCCUCGAUUUGAGUCCAGACACCCCUGAGGGUGUGUUCGAAUGCCUCAAAUCAGGGCUCUGAUACCAACUUGUAACAUCCCAAAUUUCAAGUCCAAAAAUUUCAUUUUAAUUGAUUAAUUAUAAAAAUAUUCAUAAGCAAACUACAUGAAAAUAUACCAUUUUGUAAAUGAAUACAUCAUGUCUGAAAAACCAAAAUCAUAAAAUAGUAUCAUAUCAGAGUACAAUCCUAGAAUAUCUCAAGUGCGGAAAACCAAUACGUGUGUGUAUGAUGUGCUGCUACCGCGCCAACUCCUUCCAUGUCAUUGAAGAAGUACCUGAACAAAAACUAUAAACUGUAAGCACGAAGCUUAGUGAGUUCCCACAUCGUACUACAUACCAUACAAUCACAUAGCAUACAUACCACCGGGCAAUUAUGUGGUUCCCGACCUACCCGGUACGACCAUUCUGGGGUGCCGACCUACCCAUACGGCCAUUCUGGAGUGCCGACCUCCCCUUGUCAAGCCAUUCUAGGGUGCUGACCUACCCGUCGGUCCUAACAACUGACCCUUGGGGACUAUUCCACCCCUACUGCUACUAUCGCAUAUAUCAUAAUGUAACAUACUGUCAGACAUAUCUGGGGUGUCCGACCUACCCUUCGGUUCUAACAGCCGAACUCUACUACCAUCACAUAUAACAUAUCAUGCCAGCAAAUAACAUAUCAGGUAGUAGCAAACCUAGAUGAUAUCACAAAGACAAUCAUCUAACAUACAACUCCUAUUGUUGGGCUGACAUUGUGGUCGUAGACCCACCGCUACUAGAACGUAACUCACCUCAAACGAGUAGCUGCUGAUAAUCUGUGUAGGAAAUCUUUGUAUGCUGCUGCUCCGGAAAUCCUCCGGCUAUAAUCCCCACAAAACACUUAGUAAGAAUCUGAUAUCCACACUUAGGGUAAAAUGACUAUUUUCCCCCUAACCAAGUCCAAGUCACAGUCAAAUUCAAAGUCAACCCUCUGGCCAAAGUCAACUCUCAGUUGACCUGACUUGCCGAGUUGGCCGCCAACUCGCCGAGUCCCUGUCCUUGGUUUAAAUCCUCUAUACGCUUCUACUCGUCGAGUUUAGCAAAGUCUCAACGAGUCCAUAUUCGAUACUAAUAUCGAGUCCAUCUUCAUCUGACUCGCCGAGUUGUAUAAACAACUCGUCGAGUCCUCCUUCAUCCUAUGAAUGUGAUCAGUCCUUGACUCGCCGAGUUGUAUGAACAACUCGUCGAGUCCCUCUACUACUAGAUUUGUGCCCUAACACACCGAGUCUAUUGCCUACUCACUGAUUCCACCCUAAACUCUCAAACGGGGAACAAUUCGGGAACUCGCGACUCGACUCGUCGAGUCUGAAGAACGACUCACCGAGUCCUAUGCAUGCCAUUACUAUACAAUUGAUUUUGCCCGAAUCCAGUGCAUUCCAUUCAUAGAUCUGGGCUCCUAGGGUUGGUUUUUCAUGUAAAGUUUCUAACUUUACGUGCAUGCAUGCUAAUAUGAAGCUCAAAUUCCCAAAAUAAGCUAAAAGAAGAGAUCUAAGCUUGGAAUGGAAACUUGGCUCAAUAAAGGUGGCAACCUUGAGCUUAUGAGGCUCUGGAAAGAUUAGAUCUGAAGUCCAUUCAUCAUAUCAACUCUUAAUUCGACCUUAAAGUCUAGAAAGGGCUCAAAAUCAACAAGACCAAGCUUUUCAAGAGAUCUAAUUGAUAAUAAGCAAAUAUUCAAGCUUGGUACCUCAAAGGGGCCUAAAAUGCAACCAGAAAUCUGGAUCUACUUGCUCCCCUUGAAUACUUCUCCUUUCUCUUCUUCCUCAAAUCCCCAAGAUGCACUAAAAACCUUCACAAGUGAGAAAAUGCUCCAAAAAUGCUUAAGAACGGCUAGGGUUUCGUAUGGGACUCUUUGUGGGUGAGGGAGGUUGCUCUUGGGGCACAUAAGAUGUUUAAAUAGGGUGCCAACCCUUGAAAUUAGGGUUUCAUCCAGUCUGGCAGACUCGCCGAGUUCGGGAAUAUGGACUCGUCGAGUCGCCAACUUAAACCGCAUGUAAUCUCUUCUCUACUCGACUAGUCGGGCUACUGAAUCGUCGAGUACCUCUUAAGAUAUAAAAAUUACUUUAUUUAAAUCACAUACCAAAAAUGGGGCGUUACAACUCUCCCCCACUUAUCUUAGACUUCGUCCUCGAAGUCUGCUGCUGCUGAAUCUAUAAAUAUCUCUGGAUAAUGCUCCCUCAUUUCCUCCUCGACCUCCCACGUCCAUUAUGAACCCUUCCGGUGUUGCCACUGCACCUUCACUAGCUGGACUACCUUGUUCCUCAAGGUCUUCAUUUUUCGAUCCAAUAUUGCAACGGGCCUCUCAAUAUAAUUCAAGUUGCUAUCAACUUGAAUAUCCUCCAAGGGUACACCAGCUAACUCGUCCACCAAACACUUCCUCAACUGAUAAACAUGGAAAGUAUUGUGGAUCUGGCUAAGCUCUGCGGGAAGAUCCAACUGAUAAGCAACCCGACCCACCCAGGACAAAACUCUAAAAUGGCCAAUGAACCUGGGGCCUAGCUUUCCCCUCUUCUGGAACCUGAUAACACCCUUCCAGGGUGAUACCUUCAGGAGGACCCUAUCGCCCACCUGAAACUCCAAGUUUGAUCGACGCUUGCCGGGAUAACUUUUCUUCCGUCUCUGAGUAGUCUGAAGGCUGCUCCGGACCUGAUGAAUCCUCUCUGUCGUCUUGAGCACCACUUUGGUGUUCCCCAUGACCCUCUGGUCAACCUCGCCCCAACAUGUCGGGGUCCUACACUUCCUCCCAUACAACAUCUCGAAAGGAGGACGGUCAAUGAUCGCAUGAUAACUAUUGUUACAGAAGAACUCUGUCAGUGGAAGGUAAGUAUCCCAACUACCUCCGAAGUCUAGAACACAAGCCCGCAUCAUGUCCUCCAAGGUCUGGAUGGUCCGCUCACUCUAACAAUCUGUCUGCGGGUGAAAGGCAGUGCUAAAAUGCAGACGAGUAACCAGCUCGUCUUGAAACUUCUUCUAAAAUUGGGAAGUUUACCGCACAUCCCUGUCUCAAAUCACUGAAACUGGCACCCUGUGCCUCGCCACCACCUCCCUGGUAUAGAUAUCGGCCAACCUUUCGGUCGAAAUACUCUCCUGAAUCGGAAUAAAAUGGGCGCUCUUGGUCAAUCAAUCGACGACGACCCAAAUCGAAUCCACUCCCCGCGCGGUCCUGGGAAGUUUGGUGAUGAAGUCCAUGGUAACGUCUUCCCACUUCCACAUGGGAAUAUCCAACGACUGCAUCCUUCCUUGUAGCCUCUGGUGCUUGGCCUUGACCUUCCUGCAGGUCAAGCACCGCUCCACAUACCAUGCUACAUCCCACUUCAUGCAGGGCCACCAAUAGUCCAGAAGAAGAUCCCUAUACAUCUUUGUCGCCCCGGGAUGAAUGGAGAAUCUGGAUUUGUGUGCUUCCUCCAUCAGAAUCUGACACACACCCCCGUGGUAUGGAGCCCACACCCUACGGUGUAGUGUCAAUAACCCUCAGCUAUCAUAGUCGAAGGAGGAAACCUGGCCUACAAUCCGCUCGCUUUUCCAAAGUUCCUCCUUCAUGGCCUCUCGAAUAUGCUCCAAUAGUGGAGUUACCACUGUCAUCCACAUGACAAAUUUAUUGGAUCGGUGCUGCCUGGCAGCUAAGCGCAUCGGCCACCAAAUUGGCCUUCCCCGGGUGGUAAAGGAUCUCGCAAUCAUAAUCCUUCACCACUUCCAACCACCGACGCCACCUCAUGUUCAGAUUCGACUGAUCCAUAAGGUACCUCAAACUCUUGUGGUCCGUGUAAAUGGUACAACGGACCCCAUAAAAGGUAACGACGCCAAAUCUUGAGGGCGAACACAACAGCCCCCAUCUCUAAAUCAUGCGUCGGAUAGUUUGCCUCGUGAGGCUUCAACUGCCUCGAAGCGUAGGCGAUGACAUGUCCUCUUUGCAUCAAAACCACGCCUAAACUUGAAAUAGACAUGUCGCAGUACACAACAAAAUCCUCUACGCCCUCUGGCAGGGCUAAGAUCUGCUCCUCGCACAAUCUCUGUCUUAGUGUCUCAAAUGCUGCCUGCUGCUCAGGCCCCCAUCGAAAGAAUACGACCUUCUUCGUCAUCCGCGUCAAGGGUACGACUACCUUGGAGAAAUCCUGGAUGAAUCUCCGAUAGUAGCUGGCUAAUCCCAGGAAACUCUGAAUCUCGGAUGGAGACUUUGGAACCUCCCAUUUUUUCAUCAUGGCCUCCACCUUGGCUGGGUCAAACAGGAUUCCCUCUUGGUUAACUAUGUGCCCAAGAAAUUGCACCUCGUGCAACCAGAACUCACUCUUGGAGAACUUGGCGUACAAGAUCUCCCUCCUCAGGGUAUCCAAAACCUCUUGUAGAUGCUCCUCAUGCUGCUCCUGCGUCUUGGAAUAAACCAAGAUGUCAUCGGUGAAAACUAUCACAGACCGAUCUAAGAUCGGUCUGUACAUGCGGUUCAUGACAUCCAUGAACGCAGUAGGAGCAUUGGUGAUCCCGAAGGGCAUCACCACGAACUCAUAAUGGCCAUAGCGGGUCCGGAACACAAUCCUCUAUACAUCCUCCUCUCUGACCCUCAUCUGAUGAUAUCCUGAACGCAGAUCAAUCUUGGAGAACCAAGAUGCUCCCUGUAGCUGGUCAAAGAGGUCAUAAAUCCUCGGAAGUGGGUAACGGUUCUUCACCGUUACCUUGUUCAACUCCCGGUAGUCUAUGCACAUGCGAUGCGACCCGUCCUUCUUCUUGACAAACAGAAUCGGGGCUCCACAAGGCGAGCUGCUCGGCCUGAUGAAUCCCUUGUCUAGCAGCUCCUGCAGCUGCGUAUACAACUCCUGCAUCUCCGGAGGAGCCACCCGAUANUGGCUAUCGGAGCCGCCCCGGGGACUAGGUCGAUCCUAAACCCCCCCUGCCUCUCCGGAGGUAUCCCAGGCAACUCCUCAGGGAAUACAUCCGCAAACUCUCGUACUACGGGCACAUCGCCCACCGUCACCUUACCUAUUUCCUGGGUAUCCAUAACUUACGCGACGUACCCGAAGCAGCCCUACUGGAGGUAGCGCCUAGCCCUCGCAGCUGAACAUAAAGCUGGUCCUUGCUGUGGCCUCUCGUCGUAGAUCACUAACUCUCCACCACCUGGGGUCCUGACUCGCACUAGUUGUUGUGCGUAAUCUAUCACCGCCCCAUUAGGGCUCAACCAAUCCAUGCCUAUAAUUACCUCUUUCCCACGCAACGGAAUGGGAACCAAGUCUACCAGGUAGCGCUCCCCGAACAAUCUCAGUACACAAGCUCUAAAAACUGCUGAUGCUCGCACCGAUCGAUCAUUGACAAUCUCUACCUCCAAAGGGAAAUCCAACAUGCCCGAAGACUCAGGAAACCUCUUGUUGAGCGCAAGAGAAACAAAAGAUCGAGUGACACCUGAAUCAAACAACUCCUGAACUGGAAUACCGUUCACAUGGAACGAUCCUAAACAUGUAUAUACAGAGCAUAUAUCAAUAUCAUAAACAUCAUAUACAUAGAUUAGAGGGGAAGAAUCAUACCCGUCAUCACAUCGGGUGUGGUGUGUGCCUCCUCGGUAGUCAACUGGAAGACCCGGAUCCUCACCACUGGAGUCUAUGCCUUGCCCUGCCAGCCAUCAGUAAUCCACAGGGUUGCUGGAGCUGGCACCUUCACUAGCGUUGCUGCUGUCAACUGGGGGCAAUUGGGCUUCUUAUGGCCCCUCUAGUUGCAGUGAAAACACAACAACUCGAAUGUCUGAAUAGUGGGUGCAGGGGCGGUACAAUCCCUGCUGAAGUGCCCCGUCUUGCCGCACUUGUAGCAGCCCGACGAUCCCAACCUACAUGCUCCCUUGUGCAUGCUACCGCAUUUCCUGCAACGGCCCUGUCCUGACUGGCCUUUCGGCCUAUCAUCUGAUCCCUUGGGAUUCUUCCCCGAAGCCCCAAUCACCUGCCCCUCCUCUACCUUCCUCUUCCGGAUGUGCUCCAGAUCAAUCUCCCUUUCCCUUGCCCUGGCAAUCAUGGAAUCCAAGUGUAACGCCCCGUUCCUAGUACGUAUUUAAUUUGAUUUAAAUGUUUCUUUUUGGAAGAGCUACUCACCGACUUGUAUCCCUAACUCGCCGAGUAGAUGUCGAGUUGGACGCGGGCUUUAAGUGAUCUACUCAGCGAGUCCACGUCUGUACUCGGCGAGUAGGCUAGUCAGGAGGAAACCCUAAUCCUUAGGGUUUGCACCCUAUUUAAACGUCCUUAUAGCCCCAUCUCAGCCUCCAUCACCCUCAGAGCAUUCCUUUUCGAAACCCUAGCCUCCAUUGGUGAGUUUGAGUGAUUGUUUCCUUGUGAAGGGACUUUUGGUGCACUUUGGAGCAAGUAGAAGAAGGGAGAGGUUGAAGAGUUCAAGGAAGGGGGCUUAGAUCCAGAACACAUUCAUUUUUGGUCAUCCAUUCUGGUAAUAAAGUUUCCAUCUAGAUUAUUGAUAUAUUAGAUCUUGUUUGUCCCUAAAAUGGUUGCUUUUAAGCCCUAAAACCCCAAAUCCUUUGUAGAGAAACCUUAUGGUUGGGUUAUACUUCAGAUAUGGACUCUCAUUACCUUCUAGAAGUGUUAAUUUUUAGUCAUAUUAGUGAUUAAGGUCCCUCUUGGGCUUAGGACCCCAUUAAGAACUUAGUUUUGUCAUUUGGAGCCUUUAAAGCUUUGCAUGCACGUAAAGUUUGCAACUUUACGUGAUAAGCAUGCCCUAGAAGCCUAGAUCUGUGAUUUGGAGCCACUACAUGGCUCAAAUCAGGUCUGUAUGGAAAAAGCACUGAAUGAACUCGGCGAGUAGAAAGCUGGACUCAGCGAGUCCUAUGAAGAUAGCCGUGAACUCGGCGAGUUGGAUGAGCAACUCAUCGAGUCUGAUGAAGAUUGCCUUAUACUCGACGAUUUGUUCAUCAACUCAGCGAGUCGGAUGAACUUGGGCUCGGUAUGUGUGAAUCGAAGAAGAACGCGUCGAGUCUUCGCCAAGCUCGACGAGUAGAAAUGGGUAUAAAACUAGAAGUGAUGGAAGGGACUUGGCGAGUCCGGUAAACAGGAAGUUGACUUUGACGAGGAAGUUGCCUUUGACCAGAGGGUAAAAUAGUCGUUUUUCCCUGCGAUUAGUUAUCGGUAUUUGAUUUAGUGUUUAUGGGAUUUGUAGUCGGGAGUUCCGAAGCAGCGGUCAACUCCCGGAGCAGCGGUCAGGCAGUUUCAGAGUUAGCACCUCGAUAGCCAGCGUUACGAGGUGAGUUUCCUUCCAGUAGGAACGGUUCUACGGCCACAAUGCCGGCUCGUUUAGUUAACAGUAGUUUCUAGACUUUGGUCUGAUGCAGUAGUUCAGUGUGCUUGAUGUCUUUGUGAUUCAAGCAUGGUUUGUGUUAUGUGUUCCGGACUUCGAUCCGAUGCAGUAUGCAGUAUAUGUGUUUACACCAGUAGUUCUGAUUAUGUUAUGUUAUGUGCAGUCACUUUCCGGACUUCAGUCUGAUGCAAAGGGAAAGGCCCUGGUUAGUUUCGGACUUCGGUCCGAUGCAGUUUUCGGACUCCGGUCCGAUGCAGAGGGCAAGGCCCUAGUUAGUUCCGGACUUCGGUCUGAUGCACUUUCCGGACUUCGGUUUGAUGCAGUGGGCAAGGCCCAGUAGUUGCUUAUUUAUUAUUGUAUGGUAUGUGGUAGAUUGGGGGGAGCUCACUAAGCUUUGUGCUUACAGUUUCAGGAACUUCCGCAAGUAAAGGGAAGAGCUCGGGAUGAUGGCAUCGCACACACCACAGCUUCAGUUUUAGUCCUGGGAGUUGAUCAGUUUAUUUUGACAUGAGAUGUUACAGUUUGAUAUAGGUUUAUAUUUUGCUAUGAUUUGAGAUAUUUGACGUACGGUUUCUAUGAUAUGAUGUUCAGUGCAUGAUUCUAUUUAUUAAUUAAACGAAAAUUUUUGGGUCGUAUUUUGGGAUGUUUCAAGUUGGUAUCAGAGCCUUGGUUUGAGAGAUUCAGGUAGACUCCUAGGUGUGACUGGACUCAAACUGAGGGAAUGGUAGAAAGAUUUUCAAAAAGAUUUUUGAAAAAGAAAAAGAGUUUUGAGAAAAGGAAAAGGGUGUGGUGCAUGUGAUCAGCCGAGCUUAAGUAAGUACUCCUAAAUUACCCAUACAAGUUAUGUUAUGAUUAUCAGUUUCAGUUUCAGUAGAACAACAUGCUAGAAUAGGACUAAGGAUCUAGGAAGAUGCCUUAUGUGCCUGCUAUAUGUGUUUCAGCUUUAUGAGAAUAGCAUGCUAGUAUUGAGUAGACAGCAGUAGGAUAGCUUGUUUAGGUUAUGCUUGAUGAUAUGAGCUUAGCAUUGUAUGCUAGUACAGAUUAGUCAGUAUGAUAGCUAGAGAAGUAUAUGAUUUGUUAUGUGUACUCAAGGCCCGAAUGUUGCUUGCUUUGUGCUUUUAGGAGUUCUAGCUGUCUUUUACUAACUAGUAAAUGAAUAUCUUAAGUUACAUAUUGCAAGGACUAAAUAAUUUAAAAAGGUUGGGUCUAGCUCAAUUUCGCAGCUCUUGUUUGAGUCCAACCGUUGUAGGGUAGGAUCUCUCAUUCGAAGAAUUAUCUAGUCUGAGCAAUAUGUAAUGGUAUUCGCGAGCUAGUUAGGGAAGGAAAGCGGGGACUUCUUAUGCGGCUGAUGGCGGAGAGUGGGUUAGUGGUUUCCCUAAGGCAAGCCUAGGACGAGAGUAGCAGAGAUCAGUAACAGUAGUAGUGACUUGGUGGAGUUGAGGCAGUACUUGAGGAAAGUACGGAUAGAUAUGGAAGGUAGUAUGGGCCCGUACUACUGAAAGCAGAGGAUCCGUACUCGAAUCAAGGAAAGCCGAGAUGAGACCAGGAAACUUGCAGUAGUAGCGAUCCCUCGAGAUAUAUCAGUGUUUCUGACAUUUUGUCGUGAUGUGUUUUCAGAAUGGUGGUUUUACGCCCUAGACCAGCAGUCGGCAGUUCAGGUGUCGGGGAGGGAUCAGUAUCAGGCUCGGGAGCCGGGCACAUGGACGAGCAGACUAGGGAGUUCCUCUCUUCAGAGGUUACUCGCAUCAUACUGGAUCAGACUCCUGUGAUCUUCGGUUCGAUCAAGGAGGGUAUUUUAGAGUUGAUGGAUGAGAGAUUGGGCACCUUCCGUGCCGAGGUGGCAGCCAUGUUGGGAUCGCGCACACUCACUUUCAAGGAGUUCCGGGCUUAUGGAGCUCCAGAUUAUCACGGGGCGCGGGACCCCAUAGCGAGUACUAGAUGGUUGGCUGAUGUUGCCAAUGCUUUCCGCACCAGCAGAUGUCCCGAGGGGGACAAGGUCAGACUAGCAUCCUGUCUUCUGAAGGACAGGGCACGAGAUUGUUGGGAGGAGGUUGGCCAUGUCAUCGGGGAUGACGCAGCACUUGAUGCCAUGACUUGGGAUGAUUUUACUACCAGGUUCAGAGCUGAGUUUGCGCCGGUUAUUGAGGUGCAGCAGUUAGCCAGGGAGUUUCAGGAUCUCACCCAGACUACAGAGACAGUGGCGGAGAUUACCGCCUAGUUCAGGGAGAGGGCUCUUCUUGCUCCUCAGUACGCAGCUGAUGAGGAAAUGAAGAAGGUCCAUUAUCAUGAGAUGUUGCGGAGUGAUAUCCGCCAGUUUGUGAGUCGGUCCUGCUAUAAAACACUGGAUGACAUGAUUUUCAGGGCUCGAGAGAGAGAGAGAGAUUGACCUUGAGAUGGAGAGGAAGAGGAAGCCGGAGGCGGCUUUGGGUACAGGGAGUUUAGGCAAAAAGCCCAAGAUGUCAGACCACAGGUCCAGAGGUCAGCAGAACCACAGUCGGUGUGGCAAGUGUGGUAGAUUGCACGAUGGGGCGUGCAAGGCAGAGAGUGUCGGCUGCUAUAAGUGCGGCCGAACUGGGCAUAUGAGCAGGGAUUGUACGGCCACUGCUACCGCCAUUGUGGCAUCAUAUCUGAUUUGCUUUCAGUGCAAUCAGAGGGGACAUAAAAAGAACCAGUGUCCGAGUUUAGCUGCUGCAGGGAAGGUGUCAGCACCUGCCCCUGCUACCUUGAGAAUUACAGAUGGCCGUCAGGGCCGAGUUGAGACGCCGGUGGCGAAGAGUAGGGCUUUUCAGUUGACAGCAGAGGAGGCGCAAGCGACUCCUAACGUGGUGACGGGUAUGUAUUUUUCCCUUAUCUCUGCAUUUAGUAUUGAUUGUUUCUUAUUGUUAUAUGUUUUGUAUAGGGUCGUUCUCAGUGAACGGCAUAUCAGCAACAAUAUAUUUUAAUUCGGGGGCUACCCUAUCAUUCGUCUCUCUUGCACUUAGCAAGAGGUUUAGCAGAGCUCCAGGGGAGCUAGAUUGUCCACUUGAGGUUGAGAUAGCAGCUGACAGGACCGUUAGGGUUGCGAAAGUACACAGAGGAUGUUCCCUUCAAUUGUUCGAUGAGAAGUUUCUGGUAGACUUGGUCCUUAUUCCCCUGCGAUGGAAUAAGGUCAUAGUGGGUAUGGAUUGGUUGAGCCCCAAUGGGGUGGUGAUUGAUUGUGAACUACAGCUAGUGAGGGUUCACACUCCCAGUGGGGGAGAGUUAGUGAUCCAGGGCGAAAGGCCACAACGCGGACCGAUUCUGUGUUCAACAGGGUUGUGCAGGGUACGUCGCUUACGUUAUAGAUGCCCGGGAGAAGGGUAAGGCGACAGUUGAUGAUGUACCAGUAGUACGAGAGUACCCGGACGUAUUCCCAGAGGAUUUUCCUGGAAUACCUCCGGAGAGACAGGUCGAGUUUCGGAUUGACCUGGUUCAGGGUGCGGCUCUGAUAGCCAAAGCGUCGUAUCGGCUGGCGCCUGCAGAGAUGUAGGAGUUGUCUACGCAGCUGCAGGAGCUGCUAGACAAGGGAUUCAUUAGACCGAGUAGUUCACCAUGGGGAGCCCCGAUCCUAUUCGUGAGGAAGAAUGAUGGGUCGCACCGUAUGUGCAUAGAUUACUGGGAGUUGAAUAGGGUAACAGUGAAGAACCGUUACUCACUCUCGAGGAUAGAUGACUUGUUUGAUCAGCUUCAGGGAGCAUCCUGGUUCUCCAAGAUUGAUUUGCACUCCGGGUAUCAUCAAAUGCGGGUUAGGGAUGAGGACGUGCAGAAGACUGCUUUCAAGACCCGGUAUGGUCAUUAUGAGUUUGUGGUGAUGUCGUUUGGGCUCACCAACGCCCCAGCCACAUUCAUGGACCUCAUGAAUCGCGUAUGCAAACCCAUGUUGGAUCGGUCUGUGAUAGUGUUCAUUGAUGACAUCUUGGUUUAUUCUAAGACUCGGGAGCAGCACGAGGAGCACCUGAGAGAGGUGCUAGAGACUUUGAGGAGGGAGAGACUCUUUGCGAAGUUCUCCAAGUGUGAGUUCUGGUUGUGCAAGGUGCAGUUCCUCGGUCACCUCGUUAACCAGAAGGGUGUUCUUGUAGAUCCGGCCAAGGUAGAGGCCGUGAUGUAGUGGGAGGUCCCGAAGUCUCCAUCUGAGAUUCGGAGCUUCCUAGGUUUGGCAGGGUACUACAGGAGAUUCAUCCAGGAUUUCUCCAAGAUAGCUGUACCGCUCACCCGACUAACUAAGAAGUCGGUGGUGUUUCGCUGGGGGCCUGAGCAGCAGGCAUCAUUCGUGACCCUCAGACAGAGAUUGUGUGAGGCACCGAUUCUCACCCUACCAGAGGGAGUAGAGGAUUUUGUAGUUUACUAUGAUGCUUCGAUCACGGGCAUGGGAGCAGUGUUGAUGCAGCGAGGACGUGUGAUAGCUUACGCCUCGAGACAGUUGAAGCCUCACGAGGCUAACUAUCCUACUCAUGAUUUAGAGCUGGGGGCAGUGGUGUUUGCCCUCAAGAUUUGGAGACAUUACCUCUACGGGGUCCGCUGUAUCAUUUACACGGAUCACAAGAGUUUGAGGUACCUCAUGGAUCAGCCGAAUCUGAACAUGAGGCAGCGCAUAUGGCUAGAUGUGUUGAAGGAUUAUGAUUGUGAGAUCCUUUAUCACCCGGGGAAGGCCAAUGUGGUGGCCGACGCCCUGAUCUGCAGGGCGGCAGCAGCCUCGAUCAGGGAUAUAUGUCUGAGGAUGACAAUGAUUACUCCAUUGUUGGAGCAGAUCAGAGAGGCACAGGUCGAGGGCCUCAAGGAGGAGAGGCAGAAGUGUGAGAGGAUCGUGGGCCGAGUAGCUUCGUUUGACUAUGAUAGUCGAGAACUAUUGACCCUUCAUGGGAGAGUAUGGGUGUCAUAAUGGGGAGGAGUACGGCAGGUACUGAUGGCUGAGGCCCAAAAGUCUCAGUUUUCCAUCCAUCCAGGGGCAACGAAGAUGUAUAGAGAUCUUCGACCCGACUAUUGGUGGCCCUGCAUGAAGCAGGACGUAGCUUGGUAUGUAGAGAGAUGCCUGACCUGCAGGAAGGUCAAGGCGGAGCAUCAGAGACCCCAUGGAAAAAUGCAUCCAUUAGACAUUCCCGUGUGGAAAUGGGAGGAUAUCACCAUGGAUUUCAUCACUAAGCUUCCUAGGACCGCACGUGGAGUGGAUUCGACUUGGGUUAUUGUGGAUCGGUUGACAAAGAGUGCUCAUUUUAUACCGAUCCAGGAGAGCAUAUCGGCAGAGAAGCUAGCCGAUAUUUAUGUGCAAGAGGUUGUGGCACGGCAUGGAGUGCCUGUUUCGGUGGUGUCAGACCAAGACGUCCGUUUCACUUCCAGAUUCUAGAAGCGGUUUCACGACGAGAUGGGGACCCAUCUCCAUUUCAGCACCGCUUUCCACCCUUAGACGGAUGGGCAGAGUGAGAGGACGAUUCAGAAUCUUGAGGACAUGCUCCGUGCAUGUGUUCUAGAUUUCGGUGGCAGUUGGGAUACGUAUCUUCCGUUAACGGAAUUUUCAUAUAACAACAGCUACCACUCUAGUAUAGACCGAUCUCCUUUCUAGAUGCUCUAUGGGAGGAAGUGCAGUACCCCAAUCUAUUAGGGCGAGGUCGGCCAGCGAGUCAUGGGGAGCACCGAAGUGGUGGUCAAGACGACAUAGUUGAUCCAACAGGUCCGUAGCAGACUGCAGACUGCGCAGAGUCGGCAGAAGAGUUACGCCCACAGGAGGCGUUCGGAAGUUUCAGGUGGACGAUAUGUUCCUCCUGAAAGUAUCACCCUAGAAAGGGGUUAUCAGGUUCAGAAAGAGGGGCAAGUUGGGCCCCAUGUUCAUUGAUCCAUUUAGGGUUUUGGCCCGGGUGGGUCGGGUUGCUUAUCGGUUGGAUCUUCCGGCAGAGCUUAGUCAGAUCCACAACACUUUCCAUGUUUCUCAGUUAAGGAAGUGUUUGGUGGAUGAGUCAGCAGCGGUACCAUUGGAGGAUAUUCGGGUUGAUAGCAGCCUGAACUAUAUCGAGAGACCAGUCGCGAUCUUAGAUCGGAAGACGAAGGCCUUGAGGAACAAGGAGGUUUAGUUAGUGAAGGUGUAAUGGCAGCGCCGGAAGGGUUCAGAAUGGACUUGGGAGGCGGAGGAGGAGAUGCGGGAGCACUACCCAGAGUUAUUUCCGAUGACAGCAGACUUCGAGGACGAAGUCUAACAUAAGUGGGGGAGAAUUAUAAUGCCCCGUUCCUGGUACGUAUUUAAUUUGAUUUAAAUGUUUCUUUUUGGAAGAGCUACUCGGCGAGUUGUAGCCCUAACUCGCCGAGUAGAUGUCGAGUUGGACGCGGGCUUAAGUGAUCUACUCGGCGAGUCCACGUCUGUACUCGACGAGUAGGCCAGUCAGGAGGAAACCCUAAUCCUUAGGGUUUGCACCCUAUUUAAACGUCCUUAUAGCCCCAUUUCAGCCUCCAUCACCCUCAGAGCAUUCUUUAUCGAAACCCUAGCCUCCAUUGGUGAGUUUGAGUGAUUGUUGCCUUGUGAAGGGACUUUUGGUGCACUUUGGAGCAAGUAGAAGAAAGGAGAGGUUAAAGAGUUCAAGGAAGGGGGCUUAGAUCCAGAACAUAUUCAUUUGUGGUCAUCCAUUCUGGUAAUAAAGUUUCCAUCUUGAUUAUUGAUCUAUUAGAUAUUGUUUGUCCCUAAAAUGGUUGCUUUUAAGCCCUAAAACCCCAAAUCCUUUGUAGAGAAACCUUAUGGUUGGGUUAUACUUCAAAUGUGGACUCUCAUUACCUUCUAGAAGUGUUAAGUUUCAGUCAUAUUAGUGAUUAAGGUCCCUCUUGAGCUUAGGACCCCAUUAAGAGCUUAGUUUUGUCAUUUGGAGCCUUUAAAGCUAUGCAUGCACGUAAAGUUUGCAACUUUACGUGAUAAGCAUGCUGAUGUGUGUAAAACCCACUAGUUUUAAACCUACUUUUAAUUAUCAAAUAACACACAAAAGGCAGUGAACCUAUCAAUUGUGGUAUAGCUAAAUAAGCAGGGUAUCGAACACAGGGAACGGCAAAUUAAACUAAAAACUAAUUUAAUCUAAGUUAAUUAAAAAGCAGGGGUUGUUCUCUAGUUUUACAAGACUAGAAACUUACUAAUUAUUACUAAUUUAAGCUAGAAAAUAACGAUUUAACUAGAUUCAAUAAUUGGAAAGGAACUUCUGUUUAGUUUAACUCGGUUAACUCUAUGGUUGAUUUUCAAGGUAAUAGUGCAAUGGAUUAAUUCUUUCGUUGGUUACCGAUUCAAGUGAUUAGAUUUGUGUUCACUACCCUAAUCCUUAGCAAAUAAACUAACUCAAACAGUGGCCAAUUGUCUAAUUUAAUUAUAUUUACUAGAUUAAUUAUUCGGGUUAAGUUAGACUUGCAAUAGUUAAUUAAUUUAGUCUUUUUAAUUAACCUCUUGUUUGAUAGUCAUCUUACAAGCUUGCACAUGAAUUUACUCAAUUUUGUUAUUAAUUCUAGUUUCAUAUUCAUUAAUCCUAGACAUAUAACUAUGUGGUCACAAUAUAUCAUAUGAGGACAAUAAUCAAUAGAUGUUCAUUCUAAUCAAUUAUCUUCCUAUUAACAGAAAAUUAAUUAUUAUUCACACACAAGGUUCUUUAGCAAGCUAAAAUAACAAAAAUUCACCAACUUGGAAUUAAUCCUACCAAUCAAUCAAACCAUAUUGUCAACUUUGUAUCCCCAAACAGAAGUCUAAAGGUUUUAGCUCAUAAUUAAAGUAAAUAACAGCAAACAAACAAAGUCAAGUUGCUUAAUCAUGAUGAAUAAACAAAAGAAUAAGUGGAAUGAUGAAAUUUUGCCUUAAUUACUCUCCGGAAUUGAAUUCUAGCUUCCUUCGUCGUCUUCUAGGGUUUUUCAGGCUUCUCAAUCGUAGCAAAAUACUUCUGAAUCGUCCCAGAACUCUCCCCUAUCGAUCUGUGGAAUUAUCUUUAAAUAUACGAAUCGACUCGUCGAGUCAACUGGUGACUCGUCGAGUCCCUCUCACAUUCCCCGUAUUGCGAUAACUCUCUGGGAUCCCGAGUCAUUAUCUUCUCGAUCCUUCGAUUGGACUCGCCGAGUAGACGAUAUGACUCGCCGAGUAGGUGCCUUUUUAAGUGUUUUCCUUCUUUAUUCCAUUCUCGAUCUUCUAACUGUUUCUCCUGCUUCCUUUCGCUUCCGAGCUUCAUCUUUGGACUGAAAAACAUAAUUUAACACUUUUAAGUACCUUUUGUCCAUAAUAUGCGAUAAUUAGACUAAUAAAUGAAUAAAAAUGUAUACUUAAUAUGAACUAAUUAUGCACAUAUCAAAAUACCCCACACUUGUCUUUUGCUUGCCCCCAAGCAAAACUGAAUUUUAAACAUAUUAGAAUCAUAUAUAACAACUCCAAUCUAACCCAACCAUUAUGCCAAGACCGCAACGCAUGCAUUUGUGUCUAAAAUUUUUCCUAAAAACCUCCCAUACUCUAAAUACUCACAAUCCUCAUAAACACUUGCCCACUCACCCCGAACUAUGCUCAUUUUAUGCAACCCUCCGAAUCCAUCCGCAGAAAACCUCUUUACCCUCAAGGUAUUUUUAAUUGAGCAACCCGAGCAUACAUAAUCUAGAAUUACACUUUUGAUACCACUAUGGAGCUCUUUUGAAUUCAUCUCUUCUUCGAUAUUUGCUUUGAUCUCUUUGAAUUCACCACCUUUAUUGUUUGAUUUUCGGGUAUCUUCAACUUUUUUGGAUUUCUUGGAAUUUUGAUCUUUUGAUCUUCACUUUAAUUGCUCCAAAAUUCAUACAAUUUCUUUUGUAAUUCUUUUUUUUUAAAUGUAUUCCUCACUUUUUUUUUCACUCAAAACCUACAUGCUUAAGCAAGGGCGCUCAAUCUCAACCUUUAUUGGCUAACGAUAAAAAUUUUCCUGGAUACAUUUCAGGUUUAGGCUGCUAAACAUAUUGCAUCCCUCAGGCUGAGCAAGGUCGUGUUUUUGUCUCAUGAUUUCACUGGAAUAAGGAAGCCACAAAUGCACUAGAACGUAUAUAGGCUCAACUAAACAUUUGGGUUAUCAUGCAAUUAUCAACACAACUCUAACAUGGAGUCCUAAUUACUUUUACCAAAAUUUCCUAAAUUAGAUCCUAAGUAAAAAUUUUUUAAAAUUGACUAGUAUGUAACCAACCCCCUACCCCACACUUAUGUAAUGCAAUGCCCUCAUUGCAUAUGAGGCAUGAUAAAGAACAAUAGAAAUAAGAAGAGAAUUGGAACAAACUCCCCUGGGAUAGCAGUGGAUAGGCUGAUCACUUCCAUGUUAAGCUCCAACUUCAAUCAACUUUAGACAUGGUAACAUCUCAUCCAUGCCUUGGGUGUCAAAACUCAUGUGGGUCGCUCCAAAUACGCGGAAAUUAGUGUAAGAUCUUCAAGAAAGGAAAUGGAAGAAUAAGCGAGCAAGUGGGACCAGUAGCAGCAUCAAAUCAGCAGUCCAUCGGUGUAAAAGAUGAUCGACUCGUCGAGUCUUAUGAUGGACUCGUCGAGUACCAGCGCGCCUUCUCAGAAUAUGUAGAAAUACAAGGCGACUCGGCGAGUCUGCUUAGUGCACUCGUCGAGUAGGCCACUGAACGAAAAAUCUUGGUAUUUUGCAACUGUUUUAGCUUCUAAAAACUUCUUUAACCCUUCCUCACAUUUGGACUCAAUUGCUCAUACCCCCUAGGACCGGACUCGACACUUUGACGUUAAAAACUCGCUUCCUUGACUCGCUCUCACUCUAAAAAACAUCCAUGCUUUACAUCUCUAAACCAUCCUAAAUAAGCAAGCAUAAUUCAAUCCUGAAAAAUACUAAAGCAAACAACCAUUAAACAUAACAAAAUCUCAAAGCAUAUAUAAAAAAAAUAAAUAAAUAAAUAAAAAAAACAAAACAAAACAAAUUAAAAUUGUUUGAUUAAAAACACAAAAACAUCAAUCUUCAUCUUCCUCAUCAUCAUUAGCGGCUCCACUUCCCCCGGCUCCGCUUCGUCUAGCAGCAAUCCUCUCAUCCCAAGACGGAAUGAAUGGGUAAUUCCCACCAUCAAUAUGUGGGAUAUUGAAGUGGUCAAAAAGUCGAAUGUGGGAUUGGUUGCUAAAAUUCAGCCCCCUCGCCAAUUGAUCCUGCAUCCGCCUCAUCUCUACAUUGUACCAAUCCAUUGGUACAUCUUCAUUUUCGACCGGAAUCACUGGCGGCUCGUCCUCCACAUCCCGUUCUCUUCUCGAUCUCACCCUCCUUCCCGGUGCAUCGGGACCAACAACGGGGUCAUCAUUUGGGAUGGCAUAAUGGCCACCACCAUAGUCUUCGAUUAUUCGGGCCCUGCGGAAAAGAAUAGGAUUAAAUGGGGGUGUCGGGAUCAAAGUCAUGAGGUUCCAGGCACCACGGUUCAUCAACCCGAAUGAAUUAGCCAAACGGGUGACAAACAUGCCUCCAUUGAUGCGCGAUGUUUUGCGAUCUUUGACCGCACCCUCCGAAAGGUAUGAAGCAAUACACCAUGGAAUGUUGCAAAAGACGCCGGGUGUUAUUAUGCUCCAUAAGUAGAAAACAUCAAGGUUGGAGACCUUGUCAUCGUCUUUCCUUUGGUUGAUGGUGGAGGAAAUAAGGCGGUGAAUGAGGCGGUGAGUCGGGGAUCGGAUGCUCCCUUCUUGUGCAGACUUUGGGAUGUAGACUUUGUUUCCUAUGGUAUUCCACCAACCCGUGCUCGUGACUCCAUCGGGGAACGCCAUAUGAGUGUUUGCCAAGAAAGCCCGAAAGAUGUUUGUUGUCACUAAGGGUUGAUCAUAGAUCCCUAGUCGGCAGGCAAGGUCCACCACCGAGCAUUGACGAUACUCGCCCCCAAGACAAAAAGUAAAGCUCGUCGGGUGAUACACAUCCACUCCCCCGGUAAAAGAUACCGUGGAAAAGAAUUCUAAACAUAGCUCCAAAUAAACCGGUUCUUGAAUACGGAAGACCCGGCUCCACCCAUCACACACCAUACUGUUGCCUUCAUGUUGGAACUCCUUCAAAAGGUAAGGAGCUAGUUCUUCUUCAUAGCUAACACUCUGCAGCCAUUCCCAAUCAAUUCUGUUCGGUACAUACACCUCCUUCUUCUUAAUGUCGGAGAGCUUCUUCUUCCACUUCCUCAUUGUUGAAGGGGAUUCGAUUUGCGGGAAGUUUAACCAUGGAAACUCCCCUUGGCUACCAGUUGAAGAUUGUCCUCUUCUGAACAUGAUUUCUGCAAAAUAAACACACAAAACCCAGAAACACAGAAAAUAAUUAAAAACUGAAAUGUAACUGUAAAUCGACUGGACUCGUCGAGUCCAUGCCCGACUCGACGAGUCGCGCAACCUGCACGAGUCAGUCGACGGGUCGCAUGAAAUUGGACCAUAAAACUUGUAAUUUCUGUCAAGGGUUUUUGUUCAAGGACUUCCUACUAAGUAAUAAGGUCAAACUAAGCAUUCAAAACAACAAUAUUCAUGAAAAAUCGAAACCCUAGAAUUUCAUUAUUUUUCAAAAACGGGUUUUUUACAUGCAAUUGCAGGCAUAGAUGGCCUUAUACUCUCAUUUUCUUUAGAAAUCAAGAAGAAAGUUGUUACCUUUUGAGUUUAAACCUUGAGAAAUUGAAGAAGAUUUGAAGAUUUCUUUGAAUGCUUGAGAGUGUUUGCGAAUGGGGGUACCCGGCGAGUGUGAUGUUGAAAUUGAAUUUUUAGGGUUAAAACCCUAUUUACCAGAUGUAAAAGUAAUUUCGAAAUUAAUUUUUUUUUUUUUAAAUAAGACCGACUCGUCGAGUUGUGGUUAGACUCGCCGAGUCUGGUCGCGAAGUUAAAUGCUUUUCUGGAAUCCAUGUGGACUCGUCGAGUCGUGGUCAGACUCGGCGAGUCAUUUAAAAAUUUGCAUAUUUUUCAAAAUUUUUCUGUUUAUUAUGAAUCAUUUCACCCCACACUUAGGCUAUGCAACUCUCAAGCAGACAUGCCCGAUGAUUUAGAAGAUUUAAGAAUAAAAACGAAUGGAAAAUAAAACGAAAAAUAAAAAGAAGACUAAAAAGUAAAAGAAAGCAAACUCUAUUGAACGGGUUGCCUCCCGCCAAGCGCUUCUUUUUGAGGAGUCAUUAGCUAGACUCCUUCCCAUUUACGUUUUGUCAUCUUCAAGCAUCGGGAAUGUACGCCUCACUUUUUGUGGUUUAUACUUGGUCUUGUAGGCGUAAAUCUUUUUCUUGUAAGCCCUCUUCAAUUCGUCUCUUCUCCUUUUCAUUGCUUCAUCUUCAGCUGCUUGGGCUUUCUUUUUUCUCUUUUUCUGCUUUACCCUCUUCUUUUUCACCAAUUCUUGAACAUCCUUCUCUUUAAAUUUAAUGACUUCAUAUUUCAUGAUGGUCCGUGCUUUAGGUUUAGUGGUGAAUUGGUGAUCAGCUUCUUCCUCCCUAUCCUUUAUUCCUGCAUUCUUUCCCGUGCUUAACCCUUUUCCAAAUGGCAUCGUAUCAAUGCAUGCCACAUUGGCGUGUUGCACCUCCAUUCCUUUUUCCUCUUCUGCCAAUUGUUCUUCAUAAACAGUAACUGAAACCAGGGUAUGUGAAGGACUAUUCACAAACAGAUCAGUUUUGGUCAAGUUUCUAUCCAGAUCGACUGGACUCGUCGAGUCCAUUAUGACGACUCGGCGAGUCGGGUCGGGUUUCAUCAAUUCUGGAUCGUUGUCUGAGUCGGCUCCUUCCAGUAGCUUUUCUAGCUCCUCCAAGUCUUUGUCAGCAUCUGAAACUUCUUCUGAGUGUAGCGUGAACUUACUUGGGUCUUCUUUUAAUAAAAUAUCAAGCUCUUUUUGCAAUACCUCAUCAUCUAAUUGGAUAAAUGAGAUUUCUUCUCGCUUUUCUUCUUCUUGCUUGAUCUCUGGAUUAGCUUUAAACAUCACCGACUCAUCACCCACUCUUAAUGUCAAAGUAGUCUCGGAUAUGUCAAUUAGGGCACAUGCGGUGUUUAAGAAUGUUCUGCCCAAAAUAAUUGGUAUUUCGGGGUCUUCUUUCAUCUCCACCACCACAAAGUCUACUGGGAAGAUAAACUUGUCUACUUUGAUAAGGAGAUUUUCACAUAUGCCUUGUGGAUGAAUAAUUGUUUUAUUUGCCAAAUGGAUUCUCAUAUUUACCGGCUUUGGCGCUGGUAAAUUUAGCUUCUUAAAGAAUGAAUAGGGCAUCAAAUUAAUGCUUGCCCCUGAAUCAGCCAAAGCUCGUGUGGAAACAUCAUUGCCAAAUUGGCACGGGAUUACUAUAUUACCCGGAUCACCCUUCUUCUCAGGUAGCUCACUCAUCAAUAUCUCCGCGACUUCAGCAAGAUCUUUCCUGGCAGCAAACAAACCCUUAAGCAAGUUAAAGUAUUUGGGAGUUUGGAGCAUUGUGUCCACGAAUGGCAUAUUGACUUGUAAGGCUUUAACAUGCUCCAUGAAGGUUCUAUAGGCUUGAACUUUUUCUGAAGGAAUGGCUCUGGAUGGGUAUGGCAAAGGAGGGUUGUAUGUCUUCAGAAAACUUGCUUUUUUAUCCUUCCCGACUGGACUCGUCGAGUCCAUUUUGGUGACUCGGCGAGUCGGAUCGAGUUCUUCUCGUUCUGGUUCUUCUUCCUUUUCUGCCUUCCCUUUGGAAACCCUUAGUGUUUCUGCCAAUUCUUCUUCACUGCUGGAGGUUAUUACGCUCACGUUCUCCUUUCUUGGAUUGGGCUCGGUGUUGCUCGGAAGUUGACCCGGUCUUCUUUCGUUUACUUGAUGUGCAAGUUGGCCCAGUUGUUUCUCUAUGUUGAGAAUAGAAGCUUGCUGAUUCUUCAACAUGUUUCUGGUUUCCUGCAUUGCCACAUCAUGAUCAUUAUGCCUUUUCUCGGACGCGCUUAUGAAUUUUGUAAGUAUGUCUUCUAAGUUCGUCUUCUUGUCCGUCACCGGUUCCUCCUUUUGAUAAUAACCCCUCUCCCUCUGCUUAUAUUUUUCUUCCUUAGCCUUUCUGUACUCUUCGUAUGGGAGCCACUCCUUCUUCGGUUUCCUCCAGUCUUCAUCAUAUCUGUCGCCACUGGAAUAAAAUACUUGAGCCUUUUUAUUUCCAUUCUCGUCUCGAUCACAAUCCUUUGUAAGAUGGGGGCCGCCACAAUUUUCGCAUCCUACCCUAAUAGCAUGGAUCGUUUGAUCCAUUUUCGUCAUUCUUCGGUCUAGGCUAUCGAGUUUAGCUAUUACCGCCGCCAUGCCAUCGUUCACUGAGUUUACUGCUCCACGACUCACUUCAUUCCUCGGAUUGUGGUAUUCUCUAGAAUGCUUAGAGAAUUCUUCAAUCAAUUCCUUUAUUUCCGGAGGUGGCUUUCGGGUGAGCGGGCCUUGUGAAUCGAGUAGUUGCCUUGUGGUGACAUUUACUCCAUCAUAAAAGAUGGAGACCUCCUGUUGGCUAUUUAGAUCAUGGUGUGGGCAAUUUCUAAGUAGGCUCUUGUACCUUUCCCAAGCUUCAUAAAGAGAUUCUCCGGGUUGUUGCUCGAAGUUGGCAAUGGCUUUCUUUAACUUGGCUAUCUUGGAAGGUGGGCAGAAAUGGUCAAUGAACUCUUCUUUCAUUUUGGCCCAUGUGGUGACCGAUCCGGGAGGGAGUGACUUCAACCAAUCCUUUGCAGCUCCUUUGAACGUGACAGGAAGCAUGCGUAGUAGCUGGACCUCGCGGGGCACAUUAGGUACAUUGAAGUAAUCCGCCACGUCAUUUACUUCAUCUAAGUGCUUAUAGGCGUCUUCAUGAUCUCUCCCGUGAAAUGGUAUCUCCUUGAGUUGAGCGAGAAUAUGGCCCUUUAGUUCGAACGUAGCGGUAGCGGGGAUUGCGGGUUGCACAAGUCCCGGGCCGGUGUCAUCACGCAUCCUUUUCUUCCACUCCCCCAUGGGGAUCUCGUCAAUAUUAGCCAUUGCGGUGGCUAAGUCUUCUUCAAUAUCGGAUGUGUGCUCGCUUUCUUCUUCGGUCUCGUAUUCGGUGUCUUUCGGGAUCGGAUCUUCGGUUGACAACGACGCACUGGAUGCUCCUGCUUUGCUGCUCCUCUUCUUGCCAAACACGGAUUUGAAGUUUUUGAGUGGUGAGUUCUUUGAAGAGGUGGUUUCUCCAACGGUUUUGCCCUUGUUUCUUCUUAAUGCGGUUUCCGGAUCUUCAAGAGGAGGAAUUAGAGGUGUAGAAGAUCCUCGGGUCAUGAACUAACUGCAACUUAAAACAAAACAGAACGCGUAAAAAAGAACAAAAAUUUAAUCUGAUUCAGCGUCAGACUCGCCGAGUCGGGGCGAAUGCACUCGGCGAGUUCACGUGAAAAUCAGUUUUUUUUUUUUUUUUACUUAAACAAAAACUGAACGGAAAUUAACUUUGCAUAAGAUGAAUCUUACACAAAGGGUCGAUUGAAUUAGAAUUUUAAUGCUAAUUUUAGAACCGUUCCCCGGCAACGGCGCCAAAAACUUGAUGUGUGUAAAACUCACUUAGUUUUAAUCCUACUUUAAUUAUCAAAUAACACACAAAAGGCAGUGAACCUAUCAAUUGUGGUAUAGCUAAAUAAGCAGGGUAUCGAACACAGGGAACGGCAAAUUAAAUUAAAAACUAAUUCUAUCUAAAUUACUUUAGCAAAUAAGGGUUUUUCUCUAGUUUUACAAGACUAGAAACUUAUUAAACAAAACUAAUGCAAGGCUAGAAAAGAACAAAUUAACUAGAUUCAAUAAUGGGAAAGAAACUUCUGUUUAGUUCAACUCGGUUAACUUUAUGGUUGCUUUUAAGGUAAUAGUGCAAUGGAUUAAUUCUUUCGUUGGUUACCGAUUCAAGUGAUUAAGUUGUGUUCACUACCCUAAUCCUUAGCAAAUAAACUAAUUCAAACAGUGGCCAAUUGCUUAAUUUAAUUAUAUUUACUAGAUUAAUUAUUCGGGUUAAGUUAGACUUGCAAUAGUUAACUAAUUUAGUCUUUUUAAUUAACCUCUUGUUUGAUAGUCAUCUUACAAGCUUGCACAUGAAUUUACUCAAUUUUCUUAUUAAUUCUAGUUUCAUAUUCAUUAAUCCUAGACAUAUAACUAUGUGGUCACAAUAUAUCAUAUGAGGACAAUAAUCAAUAGAUGUUCAUGCUAAUCAAUUAUCUUCCUAUUAACAGAAAAUUAAUUAUUAUUCACACACAAGGUUCUUUAGCAAGCUAAAAUAACAAAAAUUCACCAACUUGGAAUUAAUCCUACCAAUCAAUCAAACCAUAUUGUCAACUUUGUAUCCCCAAACAGAAGUCUAAAGGUUUUAGCUCAUAAUUAAAGUAAAUAACAGCAAACAAUCAAAGUCAAAUUGCUUAGUCAUGAUGAAUAAACAAAAGAAUAAAUGGAAUGAUGAAAUUUUGCCUUAAUUACUCUCCGGAAUUGAAUUCUAGCUUCCUUCGUCGUCUUCUAGGGUUUUUCAGGCUUCUCAAUCGUAGCAAGAUACUUCUGAAUCGUCUCAGAACUCUCCUCUCUCGAUCUGUGGAAUUAUCUUUAAAUAAGCGAUCCGACUCGUCGAGUCAAGUGGUGACUCGUCGAGUCCCUCUCACAUUCCCCGUAUUGCGAUAACUAUCUGGGAUCCCGAGUCAUUAUCCUUCUGAUUCCUCGACCGGAAUCGUCGAGUAGCUAUCUGACUCGACGAGUAGAAGAUUUUUUUAGUGUUUUUUCCUUCUUCAUUCCACUCUCGAGCUCCUAACCGCUUCUCUUGCUUCCUUUUGCUUCCGAGCUUCAUCUUUGGACUGAAAAACAUAAUUUAACACUUUUAAGUACCUUUUGUCCAUAAUAUGCGAUAAUUUAGCUAAUAUAUGAAUAAAAAACUAUACUAAAUACACACUAAAUAUGCACAUAUCACAUGCCCUAGAAGACUAGAUCUGUGAUUUGGAGUCGUUGCAUGGCUCAAAUCAGGUCUGUAUGGAAAAAGGACUGAAUGAACUCGGCGAGUAGAAAGUUGGACUCGACGAGUCCUAUGAAGAUAGCCGUGAACUUGGCGGGUUGGAUGAGCAACUCGGCGAGUCUGAUGAAGAUUGCCUUAGACUUGACGAGUUGUUCUUCAACUCGGCGAGUCGGAUGAACUUGGACUCAGUAUGUGUGCAUCGAAGAAGAACGCGUCGAGUCUUCGCCAAGCUCGACGAGUAGAAACGAGUAUAAAACUAGAACUAAUGGAAGGGACUCGGCNGGAAGGGACUCGGUGAUUUGGCGAGCCAACUCGGCGAGUCCGGUCAACCAGGAAGUUGACUUUGACCAGGGGGUAAAAUAUUCAUUUUGCCCUGCGAUUAGUUAUCAGUAUUUGAUUUAGUGUUUAUGGGAUUUGUAGCCGGGAGUUCCGGAGCAGCGGUCAGGUAGUUUCAGAGUUAGCACCUUGACAGCUAGUGUUACGAGGUGAGUUUCCUUCCAGUAGGAACGGGUCUACGACCACAAUGUCGGCCCGCUUAGUUAAUAGUAGUUUCCAGACUUCAGUAGGAUGAAGUAGUUCAGUGUGCUUGAUGUCUUUGUGAUUCAAGCAUGGUUUGUGUUAUGUGUUCCGGACUUCGGUCCGAUGCAGUAUGCAGUAUAUGUAUUUACACCAGUAGUUUUGAUUAUGUUAUGUUAUGUGCAGUCAGUUUCCGGACUUCGGUCCGAUGCAGAGGGCAAGGCCCUGGUUAGUUCUGGACUUCGGUCCGAUGCAGUUUCCGGACUCCGGUCCGAUGUAGAGGGCAAGACCUUGGUUAGUUCCGGACUUCGGUCCGAUGCAGUUUCCGGACUUCGGUCCGAUGCAAUGGGCAAGGCCCAAUAGUUGCUUAUUUGUUAUUGUAUGGUAUGUGGUAGAUUGGGGGGGAGCUCACUAAGCUUUGUGCUUACAGUUUCAGUUUUGAUUUCAGGAACUUCCACAAGUAAAGGGAAGAGCUCGGGAUGAUUGCAUCGCACACACCACAGCUUCAGUUUUAGUCCUGGGAGUUGAUCAGUUUAUUUUGACAUGAGAUGUUAUAGUUUGAUACAGUUUUAUAUUUUUCUAUGAUUUGGGAUGUUUCACCAGGGUAGGGCAAGCUGAAAAACUAACAUGCUCCCGAAUGUCGGCUCGCAACAUGUCAUGGUAGCGGGUCCUCCUCAUGUCCUCAUCUCCCGCAUACUGGGGCACCGGUAACGCCCUCUCCCGGAACUUGGCGGUGAUCUCCGCCACUGUCUCCGUCGUCUAUCUCAUGUAUAAGAACUCCCUAACCAACUACUGGAGCUCCACUGCAAGUGCAAACUCCGCUCUGAACCGGGUCACAAAGUCCGGCUACGUCAUAGCCUCAACAGUCGAGGCUCCCAGAGAGUCACCAACUGACUCCCACCAAUCUCUGGCCCUGUCUCUCAAGCACCCUGCUGCAUAUCUCACAUUCGACCCCUCGGGGCAGAAGUUGGUCAACUGUGCAGACUCAAUGUUUGCAAUCCACCGCCUGGCUGCAAUGGGGUCCUUCACCCCAUGGAAAUCCGGCGCACCACUACCCCUGAAGUCCUUAAAGGACAAUGUGUGUGAUCCCGACUAGCUGGUCGCCAUAUCGCUCCUGAAUGCCCGGAGGCGAUCCUCCAUCAGCUUGAUAAUCCCUUCCUUGAUCGACCCAAAAAUGACCGGGGUCGCAUCAAGGAUGCCUCUAGUGAUCUCGGACGCGAUGAACUCGCGUAGUCUCUCAUCCACUGGCUCGGACCCUGAACCCGAACCCGAUCCCUCCCCUGAACUGCCAACUGCUGGCCUCGGACGUAGUACCACCAUUCUGCAAUACAUAAUGACAAUCAUUAGUGAUACUGAUACAUCUAGAGGGAUCACAUCUAUCACAAGUUCCCUAGUCUUGCCUUAUCCCUCCUCAAUUCAAGUACGGAUCCUCUGCUUUCAGUAGUACGGGCCCAUACUACGUGCCACAUCUAUCCGUACUUUCCUCAAGAACUGCCUCGACUCCACCAAGUCCCUUCUACUGUCACUGAUCUCUGCUAUUCUCAUCCUAGGCUUGCCCUAGGGUACCUCUGACUCAAUCAAAUCCAGUCCUCAGCUGCUGAAGGCCUUUUUAUAAUGCCAAUUUGACAUCACCUGAAUACCAUCACAUGUGACGAGGCUCAGAUAAUCCUUCGAGUAAAAGACUCGUCCCUGCAAUGGUUGGACUCAGACAAGAGCUGCAAAAUAGGGCCAAAUCCAGCACUCUGAGAUUAUUCAAUCCUGAUCACAUGUAAUGUGACGUAUUCACCUAAUGACUAACUCCCAUCACUCGGAGUCCCACAAAGCACAAAGCAAGCAGCAUUCGGAUACAAGAAACUACUCAAGCAAUUCUAUCCACAUAACGAGAAACUGUACUAGCAUACAAUGCUAAGCUCAUACUAUCAGGCAUAACCUAAACAGGCUAUCCUACUGCUGUCUACUCAAUACUAGCAUGCAAUUCUCAUAAAGCUGAAACACAUAUAACAGGCACAUAAGGCAUCCUCCUAGAUCCUUAGUCCUAUUCUAGCAUGAUGUUCAACUGAAUCUGAAACUGAUAAUCAUAACAUAAACUUAUAUGGGUAAUUUGGGAGUACUUACUUGAGCUCGGCCGGUCGCGCACGUCACACACUUUGUUCUUUCUCAAAACUCUUUUAACUUAGCUUUUAGAAAACCAUUUUUCUCGUAAAAGUCUUUUAAUCCCUCGAUUUGAGUCCAGACACCCCCGAGGGUGUAUCCGAAUCCCUCAAACCAGGGCUCUGAUACCAACUUGUAACAUCCCAAAUUUCGAGUCCAAAAAUUUCAUUUUAAUUGAUUAAUUAUAAAAUAGUAUCAUAUCAGAGUACAAUCCCAGAAUAUCUCAAGUGCGGAAAACCAAUGCGUGUGUGUAUGAUGUGCUGCUACCGCGCCAGAUCCUUCCCCUUCGCUGAAGAGGUACCUGAAACCAAAACUAUAAACUGUAAGCACGAAGCUUAGUGAGUUCCCCCAUCGUACCACAUACCAUACAAUCACAUAGCAUACAUACUGUCGGGCAAUUCUAUGGUGCCCGACCUACCCGGUACGGCCAUUCUGGGGUGCCGACCUCCCCCUGUCAAGCCAUUCUAGGGUGCUGACCUACCCGUCGGUCCUAACAACCGACCCUUGGGGACUAUUCCACCCCCUACUGCUACUAUCACAUAUAUCAUAAUGUAACAUACUGUCAGACAUAUCUGGGGUGUCCGACCUACCCUUCGGUCCUAACAGUCGAACUCUACUACCAUCACAUAUAACAUAUCAUGCCAGGAAAUAACAUAUCAGGUAGUAGCAAACCUAGAUGAUAUCACAAAGACAAUCAUCUAACAUACAACUCCUACUGCUGGGCCGGCAUUAUGGUCGUAGACCCACCGCUACUAGAACGUAACUCACCUCAAACAAGUAGCUGCUGAUAAUCUGUGCAGGAAAUCUCUGUAUGCUGCUGCUCCGGAAAUCCUCCGGCUAUAAUCCCCACAAAACACUUAGUAAGAAUCUGAUAUCCACACUUAGGGUAAAAUGACUAUUUUACCCCUGACCAAGUCCAAGUCAUAGUCAAAGUCAAAGUCAACCCUCUGGCCAAAGUCAACUCUCAGUUGACCUGACUCGCCGAGUUGGCCGCCAACGCGCCGAGUCCCUGUCCUUGGUUCAAAUCCUCUAUACGCUUCUACUCGUCGAGUUUAGCAAAGUCUCAACGAGUCCAUAUUCAAUACUAACAUCAAGUCCAUCUUCAUCUAACUCGCCGAGUUGUAUGAACAACUCGUCAAGUCCUCCCUCAUCCUAUGAAUGUGAUCAGUCCUUGACUCGCCGAGUUGUAUGAACAACUCGCCGAGUCCCUCUACUACUAGAUUUGAGCCCUAACUCAUCGAGUCCAUUACCUACUCACUGAUUCCACCCUAAACUCUCAAACGGGGAACAACUCGGGAACUCACGACUCGACUCGUCGAGUCUGAAGAACGACUCGCCGAGUCCUACGCAUGCCAUUACUAUACAGUCGAUUUUGCUCGAAUCCAGUGCAUUCCAUUCAUAGAUCUAGGCUCCUAGGACUGGCUUUUCACGUAAAGUUUCUAACUUUACGUGCAUGCAUGCUAAUAUUAAGCUCAAAUACCCAAAAGAAGCUAAAAGAAGAGAUCUAAGCUUGGAAUGGAAACUUGGCUCAAUAAAGGUGGCAACCUUGAGCUUAAGAGGCUCUGGAAAGCUUAAGCUUAGAUCUGAAAUUCAUUCAUCAUAUCAACUCUUAAUUCGACCUUAAAGUCUAGAAAGGGCUCAAAAUCAACAAGAGCAAGCUUUUCAAGAGAUCUAAUUGAUAAUAAGCAAAGAUUCGAGCUUGAUACCCCAAAGGGGACUGAAAUGCAACCAGAAAUCCGGAUCUACUUGCUCCCCUUGAAUACUUCUCUUCUCUCUUCUUCCUCAAAUCCCCAAGAUGCACUAAAAACCUUCACAAAUGAGAAAAUGCUCCAAAAAAGCUUAAGAACGGCUAGGGUUUCGUAUGAGACUCUUUGUAAUGGAAGUGCAAUUACUACCAAAGUAUGAUAUCUAAUGGAUUUACUAGUACACCAUUACUAAACAGGUUGUUCGUUUCAAACAAAAUUGAUUUGUAUCAAACUAUUUUUUUCAACAAUGGUCCGGUUCGGUUUCCAAUUUUUUUAGUGUACCUCUAAUUUUCAUUGUGUUUUUUUUUUGCUACGAAUGUAUGAUUUUUUUUAGGAUAUCUUAUUUCAUACAAAACAGGGAAAAUGGCCACCCAUGGUGUUGGUGGCAAAUAUAUUGAUAUGGGGGAUUUAAAAACCCCAACCAAAUUACAUUACAUUACAUAUUAGAAAAUAAGAAAUCAAAAAUAAAAACUAGUUGACAAACUACGUGUGUCAAGCCUUUUGCAUACUUGAAAUGAACACAACCACUUUCACAUAAACCCAAUCUUUGAAGCUGUCAUAAAACUGAAAAAAUGCACGUCUCCCACGACGGUUGAGAAGUAAAGCGCCACAUGCUAUCCAAAAUCCAGUAGCAAAACCCAUUCCACCACCAAUAACAAACCAUCCCAUGACUUCAUCAUCUGUGUCUUCCCCAUCACCCUCACCUUUACCAAUAAGAGGUGGUACUUCAGGUUCUUCAUCUCCAGGACAAUUUUUAGUAAGGGGAGGUCCGCAUAGUCCUUUGUUUCCAUUGUAUCUUGAAGGUGGAAAGGACUGGAGUUGAGUGCUAGAUGGGAUUUUCCCUGACAAGUUAUUAUAUGACAGGUCUAGGUAAUUCAGUAAGCUCAUCUGAGACAUGCUUGAUGGUAUCCUCCCUGAUAAAUUGUUUCUGGAUAAAUCCAACGUUAGAAGCUUUUUCAUCUCACCAAUAUGCUGUGGAAUCUCUCCAGAUAGAGUAUUCAUUGAAAAAUUCAGGGCAAUCAAGUCUGAAAGAUUGGUAAUUUCAUUUGGGAUUUGUCCUGUUAGAUUGUUGCUGGACAGGUCAAUGCUCUUCAACAAUUUCAGAGUGUUAAAGAAUUCAUGUUCAUCUCCUUGCCACUCAAUCAUUGCAUGGUCAACAUAUUUCCCCCAUCCAUAUGAAGUAUUUUUUACAAAUGUUUCAAGGGAUACAUCUUGUGAGAAUCCUCCUUGGUGAAGCAUGCUCGUAAGAUUACUCAAACAUGAGGGGAUGCUUCCAUGGAGAUUGUUCAUUGACAAGUCCAAAACUUGAAGAUUAGGUAACCGACAUAACUGUAAAGGGAUGGUUCCAAAGAAGUUGUUUGAUCUUAGGAUAAGAACAUACAGCCCUGAUAAGUUUUCCCCAAUCCAGACAGGCACAUUACCAGAAAAGUUGUUGGCCCCCAAAUUCAAAGACUUUAAACUCGUGCAAUUUUUUAAGGACAAAGGCAAUUCUCCGGAGAAGUUGUUCUUGUAUAAAUACAAGACCUUGAGUUGUAUCAAAGAUCCAAUAGAGGGAGGAAGACUUCCAAAGAGAUUGUUGUGUCCGAGAUUAAGAACUUCUAGUUGAUUGAAAUGCCACAGACAGUCUGGGAGUUGUCCGGUUAAUGAGUUAUGAGAGAGGUCAAGAAAUGAUAAGAACCCAUCAACAGCUUGGCAUAUGAAGGAGAUUCCUCCAGAGAAUUUGUUUCUGGAAAGAUUUAAUAUUGACAAAGUGGAAGGAUUCAGUAUCGGACCAUGAAAGCUGUUGGAACUCAAAUCUAUCACUGAAUCAUAGGCAAAAUUUGAUAAUAAAUCUGGUACUUUCCCACUAAUGUUGUUGGAAGAGAGAUUCAAAUAUAUUAAUUGAGAAGGCCAGCUGUCCCAAAACUCUAGAGGAAUUGUGUCUGAAAUUCCAGUAUUGGAAAGAUCAAGAACAGUAAGAUCUUUGAGUGUUUGAAUCCAUUUGGGGAAGCGAGGCCCUAGCAGCUUGCAAGAGCUCAGAUAAAGAUACUCAACAUAAGAGAUGUUUGACAAGUGAUAUGUGGAAGGAUCUGUAAGAUUAUUAGAAGAAAGGUAAAGAGUUUGGAGCCUGGGUAGUUCCCACAGUUUCUCACUUAUACUUCCAUUUAAGUGAUUAUGAGACAGGUCCAAAAAAUAUAGGGAUGAAAACUUUUGGAUGUCAUCGGACAGUGACCCUGUAAAUUGGCUUUUUGGAGCAUACAAGUCUUGUAAUGAAAGGGAUGUGCAUCCGGACAAGUUGUUGAGAAAAUCAGGAAAUUUGACAACAGCAGAGUUGUAAGAGAAGUCCAAAUCUUCCAGACUACAGAGGUUACCAAGAUAUUUGGGUAUCCCAUCUAACAUGUUGCCAGAGAGAUCAAGACGGACAAGGCUAUUGCUGGUUAAUGUGAACAACCAACGAUACAUAGAUGAGGUGAGAUUGUUUUUUCCAAGAGAAAGGUAUGCAAUAGAUGAAGAAGAAGAGUUGAGAAAAGAAGAAUAUGGAUACAUGACCUGUGACAGCUCACAUCCCUCUAAACUUAAUUCAAAUAGUUUUGGGAGACUUGAAAUUACAUCUACCCAAUGAUUUGCUGUUGCUAGGGAAAUCCCAUCCAUCCAAAGUUCCUCCAAAUGAGAGAGGUGAGACAACCACUCUACCUUUUCAACUCUACAGCUUCCAACAUUUCCAAGUCGAAGAACUUGCAAGUUGGUGAGGUUUCCAAACUCUGGUGGAAUGGUUCCAUAAAGAGAGUUAAAAGAAAGGUCAAGAAAGAUUAAUUCUGUCAAGGAACCAAUUGACCUGGGAAUGGUCCCAUUAAAAUCAUUCCAGCCAAGGUUAAGGUACCUUAAUCGAGUCAAAGAACCAAUGAAAGUGGGAAUGAUUCCAUUGAAAGCAUUGAAGGAAAGAUCAAGAUGAGUCAAGUAGGUUAAGUUAAGCAAUGAAGGGCUUAUCUCACCUCCAAGACCAUAGAAAUGCAUAUCAAGCCCUGUGACAUGACCUGUUUGUUUGCUGCACGUGACUCCUUUCCGGUUACAGCAGUCAUCUCCUUCAGCUGUCCAUUUGGAGAGAUGUUCAUAAGGGUCUUGAAGGGGAGCUUUGAAAAGAAGGAGAGCAUCUCUCUCCAUAUCCAAACACUUGUUAAUAUCAUUUCCUCCUGCUGCUACCAAUUGGCUGGUAGUUGUAGUCACAAGGAGUAGCAAGAGAAGUGAGGAAAUUAUAAAAACACAAGAAUUCAUAAUGUAAAUCAAAAUCUUAAUUGCUGAUUUUUGGUUUGUAUUGACACAUAUAUCAACUGCCCCCAUGAGGGUUUAUAUAGUCUCCACUGUCAAGAUGAAUGAUUAUAAGUGGGUCGCCAUAAAUUGUGUGGAAUUAAUUGCCCCAAAUUAAACUUCAAAGACUUGCAAGUCUUGGCAAUUUGUCUUUAUUAUAGUAGAUAUCUUUCCCCAUCUUCUGAUAUGAUAUUGUUUGGUAUAUGAUAUAAAUCCCAAAAUGCAAAACUAAUGAAAUCUUUCAGUCAAAUACAAAUCUACCAAUCAAAACAGUAAUGAUAUUAUUUGGGCCUAACAAUCUGAUCAUGGCUAUGAAAUGAAGUUUUGUCACUUGCAUCAACUAAAUCGUGAACUUAUAUGAAUGAAACCAAGUUUAUACAUUACCGAUUAAUCAUGGUCUUUUCAAUUGUUAAAAUGAUAUUUAAGAUAACACUACAUUAGUAAUGACUCCACUAAAAACGCAUUAGAUUAUAAUUAAUACAAUUUUGCAACGUUUUUUUGUCCAUAUUCCAAAUAAAAUGACCAUAAUUAAUAUCAGCUAUACUCGAUCAGGGAUCAAAUAUAGUCAUUUUAACUGAAACAUGGACCAAAACGUUUCAAGAACCUCAUAUAAGGACCAAAACUGAAAUUUUCAGCUAUAUUCAGGGACCAAAAACGUUUUAUUUUAAUUGAAAAUAAACAUAAGAUGCACAUACAGAAGCAGUUUUAUUUUGCAGCAAUUCUUACCUUCUGUUUACCUAAAUUAAACUCCUAUCAAUCAAAAAUCACAUAUUAAAGACUCCAAUUCUACCACUGUGUUUUCUGAUCAACAAUUUGUAGCUUCUGAAGCUCCACUCCAUUCACCUUUAGCACUUUGCACUACUCAUUUAGAAAAUUUAAGAAAAUCAUGUUAUUAAUAUUAAUCAGAAAGACAAAAUAUUGAUGUAUUAAUUAUUAUAGUAUCCUACUUUCAUAGUUUGCUACCUCUUGAUGUAAUACAAGGGGUAUAUUGGUCAUUUAAAGACAUCCAGGAUAAUACUUUUUCCAAAAAAAAGAAGGCGUUAAACCGGAUACAAAUAAUUAUUAAUAAUAAUUUGCUUCGUAUGUAUAUUAAUUUUAAAAAUACAUGAAAGUAUACUCAAUAUAACUUUCAUUUUACUCUCUAUGAUACCUGUUAUUAUAACACAUUAAAUAAUUAGUAAUUAGCCUACCCAUCAACUAAACUACAUAGCUUCUCCAGUUUAUAAUUUCCUAACAAAGUUCCAAACUUGUUUGAAAAGCUAAAUCUGGUUGUUCUUUGUUGGUCUUAAGAAUGAUCUAUAGCGCCAUACUUUCAUUUUUUUGUUGAAAAAUAUGACACACCAAAAAACUAUCAGGAGAUGAGAAAAAGAUAUAGAUAAUAAAUACAAACUGAAAAAUAUGACAAGGUGGGAAAAGAUAUAUCUAUAAUAAAGACAAACUGCCAAGACUUGUAAGUUUUUGAACGUCUAACUUGGGGCAAUUAAUUCUAAUUCUUCAUCUUUGAUUUUUCUUAUAGUUUUGUUCAAAUUUCAUGGAAAUUAAGUAUUGAUGGAAAUACUAUAUGCCCCACACAAGUGGCCACUCAUUUGAGGCUACCUACUCAGGAGUUAGGAUCAUUUAUCUUGACAGUCAAGAUUAUAUAAACCCUCAUGGGCCCAAGAGCAAGUUUGGGCCUUCUAACAGAAACCAGGAAUUACCUUUUGUAGAGCCCAUUGUUAACAAUUCUGAUCACAUUACUUUUGAGUCUUUGAAAAUAUCACAAGUUUGGAAAUGAUUUUGAUGAUAAAUACAAAUUCCCAAGACUUGCAAGUCUUUGAACAUAUAAUUUGUGGCAAUUUAUUAUAAUUCUUCAUCUUUAAUUUGUCUUUUAGUUCAAAUGGUAUUUAUAAACUUUUAUUCUCAACCAUUUCUUUCUGAAAAACUUGUUCAUCAGUAGUCAUCCAGGGGCCAUGUGCUGCAAAUACAAGAAACAACUUGGUAAUAGAAACUAUAAACCCAGGAGUAAAUUACACUUUCAAUUUCCAUUUUUUUUGGAAAGGAGGGAGGGUUAAAUGGUAAUUUUCUUUGUGUUUUUAUAUGCUACGAAUAUAUGAAUUUUCCAGGAUAUCUUAUUUCAUGCAAAACAGGGAUAAGGGCCACCCAUGGUGUUGGUGGCAAAUAUAUAGAUAUGGGAGACUUAAAACCCCCAGCCAAAUUACAUAUUGCAAAAUGUAAAACUAAUGAAAUCAUUCAAUGAAAUAGUAAUUAUAUCAUUUGGGUCUAACAAUUAAUGACUGUGAAAUGAACUUUUCUCACUUAGAUUAACCAAACAGUGAACUUAUAAGAAUGAAAGCCGGUUUAUCCAUUCCAGAUUAAUCAUGGUCUUUUCGAUUGUUAAAAAUGAUAUUAGGAUAAUACUACAUUAGUAAUGACUCGAUUAAAAACAUAUUAGACUAUACUGAAUACAACUUUUUGCAACUUAUUUGUACCUGUUGCAAAUAAAUUGACUAUAAUUGAAAUCAGAUAUACUCGGGACCAAAAAUUUAGUUGAAACAUGUACAACAACAUUACAAGAACCUCAAAUAAGUUCGAAAACUGAAAUUUUCAGCUAUACUCAGGGACCAAAACUGUCUUAUUUUACUCAACACUUACCUUCUGUUUACCUAAAUCAAAAACCAUAUAUUAAAGUCAGGAUUCUUUUACUUCAUUUGCUUGAAAAUUUUUAAUACAACUAACCUCCAUUAUACAGCUACUUCGUAUCUUCUGAAAUCUGAAGCUUCACCUCUAUCACUCUAACACUAUCAUUUAUAAAAUUUAGAAAAACCAUGUUAAUAAAUAUAUUAAUCUGAAAGACAAGAUGUUCAAUAAUAAAAACAGGUGUAACUGACUUUAAACCAUCUUAUUUGAUAUUAGUAUUAUAAGUUGGAAUUUUUAUUAAAAUAAUCAACUUAGUAGUUUAUGUCUUAGUUGUAGAUAAAGAAUGCUACUUUAACAGCUAAAUCUGGUUGUUCUUUGCAGGUAAAAUCCUCAAAUUGUAUUUGAAUGACAUUGUUAUAAUUUAUAAAUAGGUAGAUUUUUCAAAAUACAUUGCUUUAAUAGAGUAUACAUGAAAUUAUGAAAAUACAUUGCUAUAAUAAACAUAUUAAUGAAAGUAUGUUGCUGUUUCUUACAGUGAACCCUUUUGCAUUUGACCAAAUUAAUUAUCAUUGAAUUCAAAAUAAAUUUGUUUUCAUCCGAAUCGGUCAAACAAGUUAAUCCCUGGCGAUUUUAGCAUCAACCAUUUCUAUUGAAACUAUCUUUGAAACAUAUCAUCAACAAGUCUAAUUCAACAAUAACCAAAUAAUAUUAUCACUACAAAUAAAAUGACAUAUAGUGGCACACAUUUUUAGUGGCAUAUGGUUAAUGUGCCACUAUAUCAUGGUUUUUAGUGGCACAUAUUAUAUGCCACUAAAAAAUCAACACAUUUAAUGGCACUUAAUCUUUUGUGUCACUAAAUUUCAUAGUUAUUAGUGGCAUAAUGACUUGAUAUGCCACUAAAACUUUUUUUUUGAAGGCUUUUUUUUUUAAUACGGUAUAAAUAAUUCUUAUAAUAACUAAAAAAUGUAAUUACAAUAUUAACAAUUUAUUUUAUAUUUCUCAUUUAAAUACGGUAUUACAUAUUUAUGAAAACUUAUUAUGUUAAUAAUUUUAAAUUUUGAUUUUCUUGGUUUAUUAUUUUGAAAACGAAAACUAAUUUUUAUUUGGGAUUAAUUUAUAAUAUUUCCAUUAAUUUAUCUAUUUUCUUGUUUAAAAAAAGUUUCUAACCUAACAAUUUGGGUUAGAUAACAUUAUCAUCACAUUACCUUAUUUGGAGAGGAGAUACGAAAGUCAAAAAAAUACAGGUACAACAACCAAAUCCCACUCUCCCACUCCUGACGAUGAUCUAAACGCAAUAUCACCGCCCUCUCUUCGUCGACGUCGUACCAUCACGGUGACGUUGGUCUGUGGGUCGCUGCUUCCACGAUCAUCGUUGUUUUCACGAUCGUCGCCGCUUCCUUGAUAGCCACCACUUCCUCGAUCGUCGCCGCCGCUUCCUCAAUCGCCGCCACUUCCUCGAUCGUUGUCGCUUCCUCGAUUGGCGCCACUUCCUCGAUCGUCGCCGCAGCAUCCUCAAACUCACUGUUAGGUAUUUUUGCUGCUCAAAUAAGCGUAUUUACAAUUUUCAUUUUUUGGUAAAUUUGUAGUUGUAUACUGCCCCGAUUUGUUGCAAAAUCAUUGCCCAAACUGCUAGGGUUUAUCAAUUUUAUGAGAGACUGCCAUUAGUACCUUUAAAAGUCCAAUAGUUUUCGAUUAUUAGAACUUGUGAUUGCAUUUUGACUUUCUCAGGUCAUAAAAUAUAUAAACUAUAAUCCAUGUACUCCAUAAAAGCAUAUCUCUUAACAUCUGCUAAUAUCCCAACGCCAAUUGACUUCUGUAGAGAUGGUUAUAGUUAAACUUCAACUAACUUCAAGAAUGAGUAAAGGUUGUGCUCAAAUAAUUCAAGUUUAUUGGUGUACUUGUCCAUCGACUGAGCAUAACAACAUCAAACCCUUUCUUCAGAUCAAUCUCCUCUUCCCAGUGACUACCCUUCAUUUCAAUCCUCUUCUCUUCAAGAGCUUUCAUCAGCCUCUCCCUCUCUUCCUCAAAUUCCUUCAUUGCCUCAAGCUUCUGAUCAUACCUAUGAGUUCAUGCAUAUUAUAACAUUACAUACUCUUUCUUUUUCUACUUUGAUAAAACAACCCAAGCAAAGAAACAAAAAUACAUAAGUAUGUUGAUACCUCUUAUGAGGAUCAACCACAAAAUAAGAUUGCUCAACUUUCAUGUGCUCUUCCUUUUAGAGUUUGUCAAACUUUCCUUCUUUUAAUGUUUAAGAAUGUCACCUUUAAGAAUGUCACCUAGAAAUAACUAGACAUGUAGGACACCUUUCUAACAUAUGUACAUCAAAAUCGUAUUCUUGUGGGUGGAGCCCAGUCAAAAACCGGUCAAUGAUAUAACCGCCUGCCCGAGUGGUGAAAUCCCAAGGUGAAAAGCUAAAGUGUUCCCGGAAACCAUUCGGGGCACCCAUUUCCCUUCCAACUCUUGUUGACCGAGUAAAAAUGAUAUUUGUUGGAAAUUUACCAGACGACCCUUGGCACCACUGAUGGUCAUUAGAGAAAUGCAGUUUUGUGGGAAGGGUUUCAUCACUCCUUUUGGUAACCAUUUUUUGCUGAUCAUUGAACCUUUAUCUCUUAGCUUUGUUUGUAUGAGGUUAUAUAAACUUGCAGAUGUUGUUGCUCCAUUGCUUCUUAUAAUUUUCUUAGUUUCCAAUUGCAACUCUCUUGUCCCUAUAAGUUCACAAAUUAACAAAUGCAAAGACCCUAAUGAUUUAUAAAAAUUUGUCCAAGUAUAUAUCUAUUUUUUGAUUUUCCAAGUUGACAAAUUUUAUGUGAACCUUUUCACCUACAUCUUCACCUUCAAGUUCCAUCUUCAUUUCUUUGUCACAAUCUGGUGACACCAUUAGAUCAUCUAAACCACAUGUAAAUCCAUGGAACUGUAGAAUGAUUAUUACUUGUUAUUUGAGACAUGGAUUGGGUAAAGAUUUGAAUGAGCCUCCGUCCAUUUGGCUAUGAAAUGAUUUGGAGCAUACAAUAGACAAUGUUUUUCUUGUGUUUCUUCUUGUUCAUUAAAUAAUCAUUCGUUUUAUGUUGAUGCUUAUACUUUUUGAAAGGUAUCAUCAAAUUUAGUAGAUACCAUUAUCAUGAUUCAUGCACAUAUACUCUUUUCAGAAGUUAGAAUUUUGUAUCAAGUAAAAUCACCAUCAUAGAAACCUGCCUGAUGAUCAUAAUAACAAAAAUAAUUUGUCAAAAUAGAAAUUAUGAUGUUGGUAGUGGUGAUUGGUGAGGAGCUAGAACUUUUAGAAAUUUAUUUUUGAAAGUAUUAUGGAUAAAAAAUAACAAUAUCUUUUUAUGAAAUUGCUAUUAUAAUAUUUUAUUUUAUUUCUAUUAUAAAACUUUAAAAAGUUCUAUCUAGUAUUGUCAUAAAAAAUGUAUUUGCCUAAAUAUAAUGCUAAUAAAAAUAUUGAAAUAAUAAUAAUAAUUAUAUAAUAUAACUACGAUGACUAACACUUUGAGUGGUAUAUAAAUUUAAAUCCAUGUUAAGUUACGUAGAUUUGACAAUAAUAAUAGUAUUAAAUAUGAAGAAAAUUAUGAAUAAUACUUUUAAGAAAUUGAAAACAUAAUUAAUUUGAUAUGUAAUCAUUUUUGACGGAUUAAAUUCAACGAAUAUUUAGAAUAGUAAAUCCAAUGACUAAUGACCUAUAUAAUGUAAAAAUGGAAAUUUUAAUUUAAAAAUGAUUAGAAAUGAAUGUUAUUUUAAAAAAAUGUUUACUAAAUAUUUUACAUAUAAUGGAGUGUUAUUUUAAAUAAAUCUUCAUCUACACUCAUAUAUGUGGGUCCAAACCGGUGUACUAUUAUUUGGGACCCAAAAAACUAUAACAAUAUAUAAUAAAUAAAAUAGUUAUAUAACAAUCCAUUAAAAAGUCUACUCAAUUUGUAAUACUUCUCCAUAAGGUUACCGGUUAACUUCAAGGCUUUAAAGAGUAGACUACCUGUUUUGUGUAUCUUUUUAAUAAAAAGGGUUUAUUUAGGGCAAUUAGGUCUUUUUCCCCAGUUAUGUCAGUGCAUAGCUGUAAUAACUUGCAGGUAGCAUGUCAUAGUUCACUUCAGUGAGUAAAUUCACUUUUGGGAUGUCAAGAUGACAUUUGUAUUGCUUUGAUUUUAGCACCAAUCAUUCAACCAUAGUUCUACAAUUCUACAAUUAAGUCCUACAGUAUACCAUAUAUGUUACAACUUAAAGAAAGAAACAUAAUUACUAUUCUCACUUUACAGGUGAAGAUGAUGAUGAGGAUCUAUCAGAAAAUUUUAUCGUGAAGACAUGCCAAAAGAUUAUUCCUGUAACAUGUAAAAUUUCUUUUCAAUUGUCAGAAAUUAUAAUUUUUUGAUUUGGAAAGAUGCUAACUUUCUGCAUUGUUCUUCAAGGGUAAAUCUGGUAUUGAUUUCAUUCAUUCUUUUUCUUGGUUUGGCAGCUCAAUAUGAUGGCAAUAGGUUUUUUACAGUUGUGAAUGGAGCUUGGAAAGUAAGUGAAAAGAUAUGGUUAUUUUUUUUGUUUGUUAAUAUGAUUAAAAACAUGUGCAAUUUUUUUAAAUGGGAAUCUUUUCUUGAUUCUUUUUUUUUACUCAAAAAGUGUCAUCUUGAAUUGUUGGUUUCUAAAAGGCAUCAAACAUUCUGGACAGGCUACACCUUUGCUUCUACCUGUACCAGUAAUUGAACUCAGUGACAUUGCAUUUGCUGUAAGUUUAUUCAUUUAACAUAUUUUUAUAAUAUUUUAAAACUUCUGUUCACGAAUUUUAUGUAAUUUUUUUUUCUAGGUUGACUUUAUACCUGCAGUUUUUGGUGUGACAAGAGAUCCCUUCAUUGUUUUUUUCAUCUAAUCUCUUUGCCAUUUUAGAUAAAGUAUGAUGCCACAGUUGACUUUUAUCUAAUUGGUCAAACACAAAAAAAAUUAGGCUGAAUUUUUGCUUCUGAUGUAGGUCUACGAUCUCUAUAUACACUGAUUUCAGAAGACAGAAAGCAUGGCAGAAUUGGAGUAUCUACAGGUUAGUUUUUUUUUUUUAAGUUUUCAUGUUAAAUGACCUAUUUGCCCAUAUCCAUUGUUAUGAAUGAAUUGAUAGUAUAUAUCUACUUGGGAAUCAUGCUUUGAAUUUUGAAAGGUUUAUCCAUGUUUGAGAUUACAAAUAGGUUGAUGUUAGGUCAACAUUUUCUUCUAUAUCUAUGUGUUUGAUUGGGUGCAAAAUGAUCCUAGAUUUCUUUGGUAAGUGUCUUAUUGAUUAGGUCACUCAUAACCAAAGAUAAUUCAUUAUGAUAAUAAGGAUGAGGGAAAAUACGUCUUUUGGUAACUACCUGAAAUGUUAAUCAUAUCCAAUAAAUCAUAUAAAUCAUAGCAUCAUACUUUCAUUUUAGUGCUCUAAUAUGAUGAAAUAUGAAAGUAGAGUGCUAUAAUAAACAAAUCAGUGAAAGUACGUUGCUAUACUCGCAUAGAUUUCUAAAACUAAAAUGUUAUAGUAUUAUGAAAUAUGAAAGAAAAUAUGAAUUGUUUUAAUUUUAAUUUUGAUUAAAAUAACUCCAACUGGGGUAAUUGUUAUAAAAAUGGUCCAUGUUGCAGGAAUAUAUUACAAAAAUGGUCUUUGUGGCAGGGAAUUGUUACAAAAAUAGUCCUUAUUACAGGAAAGCAUGACAAAAAUGGUCCUGUAAGAAGCUGUUAAAAUUGUCCUUGUAGCAGGGAUAUAUUACAAAAAUGGUCCUUUUGACACGUAACUGUUACAAUGGUAAGUACUUUCAACUAGGAUAACCAUUUGAUCUAUGGUUCUUUUUAUGUGUGGUGAUUAUUAGUGAUAUUAUUACAUAUUUUUAUGUGAUUAUUAGUGAUAUUCUUAUAUAAUUUUAUAUGAUUUAUUAUGAUUAUAUUACAGGCAAUUAUUCAAAAUGGAUAAACACAAGAUGGAUAAACAAGAGGAGCAACUAUGCAAAUUUCAUCUUCAUGUCAACUUUUGUGUUUCUUUCCAACAAGUAUUAAGUUUGAUAGUUUAAUAUUUUUAGUAAUUACUAGCACAAUGUUUAGACUUAUUAUAGGUUUUUGGAAUAUAUUUUUGUAUUAAAUAUUGAGAAUAUUACACUCAGACAAGUUAAGUAUUAAUUUGAGUAAUGCUUUUGUGUUUUGCAUUUAUUAUCUUAAUUGUUUUUUAUUAUUUUAUAUUCCAUUUAAAUUUAUAAAAAAUAAAUUGGAUCUAAUUUUGAAAUAUAAAUGUUUUGUUGUAAAAAAAAAGUGCCGCUAAAACAUACAAAUUGUUUUUAUUUUAGUGGCAUAAGAAUAGUGUCACAAAAACUAAAAGUGCUAUAGUGGCACAAAAAAAAAGUGUCACUAAAACCUAAAAGGGCUACAGCGACACAACAAAAAAGUGUCACUAAAAGCCUUUAGUGGGAGCGUUUGUAGUGACAUUUUUUUUUUGUGUCGCUGAUUGCCAAGGGGGUUUUUAGUGGCAUUUUUUUGGUUUUCAAUGGCACUUUUUUUGUGCCACUAAACAUCGUUUUAUUUGUAGUGUAUGUUGCCCCUACUUGUUUGCCAUGGUCAAUUUAACCAACUUGUGCAGUUAGAUCAGAUUGUUCAUUGGUGGUUUUGAUAUGGAGAGUGUUAUAAUAAUAUACACAAACACAAGCUUCACAUUUUGGGCACAAUCAACCAACAGACCAGAUAUUCAUAAGGAGACCGAGAUUAAGGUAGAGUGAUUAUAAGUAGCAGGAAAAAACGUGCAAAUAAAGAAUAAACUGAUCACCUCAGCACUUGUUCACUAAGACCAGUAAAUGCUCCAAUUUUACAUUAUACAUUUGUUUAUUCCUACUACAACAAUUUACUUUGAAAAGUCUAAACAAAAUGCAUAACAAUUUUUACUGUUAUAACUGGAUUUGGGUAGAUUUUUUUGUCAUUCUUCACUUGGUCCGAAUUUUGUUGAUUCAACAUCACAUGCCUCAAAGCCUCCAAUUGAGCAAGAAUUGUGAUUCCUGAAGUAGUUGAGGUGUUGUUUCUUUUUGACUUAAUAGAUUUAAGUUGACUUGGAGGGUACUACGCCAAAUUUCUUCUAAGGUUUUGAGAGAAUAUGAAAGCUAUAGGCAAAUGCAUUUUCAUAUAUGUUUGUUAGGAAGAAACUUGACAUAUAUCACACAUACAUAUUAGUAACAAUAGUAAGUAAUUCAUCAUUACUAUCAUGAAUGAUCAGGAUUUGAUAAUUAAAGCCAGUGAUAGGUAGGAAGCUUUAUUUUUAUCACAAUCAUCCAAAUCCAAAUCUGCCUAACUAUAUCCUAAAUAGCAAGAAAAUUACUAAACGCGUAGUAUCAAAUACUAUCAGCAAUCAAUAACAUUAAUCUGGUCAAAAGAAGCAACUUAUAGUAAAUGUGACAAUAGCUGAGGAAAGAGCAAAAAAAAAAAAAAAAUCAUAAUUUGCCAUAACCUCAGAUAACCCCAUAAACAUAUUUCUGAUUCCAAAUAUAAUCCUCCAAAGAAAAAUACACACGGAAACCCCACCAGCACCAUAGAUGACACGUUUUUUCUCCUCCAACAUGCCUCCAUUUACAAUCCAAUAAGUUGCUUAUCCUUUUUUUUUUUUUUUUUUUAGUUUUACUCUUCAACAAAUUUACAUCUGAUCUUUCCUUUUAAAAAUAUUACAUAUGGUCACUCGAAUCAUCUCUCUUAUAGAGCAGAAAGAUCACUGACUAUUAAAUCAGAAAAACGAAAUUCGGAAACGGUUUCACUAAGGCAUACCAUCAAACAGUUGGUGUGCAGUAGAGAUCAACACAAAAUGGAGGUCUAAAUUAGUAGAAAAAUCAUCAAACCUGUUGUCCUGUUCAGACUCAAAUAGAGAAAUUGAAAACACCAAAAAAAUAAUAAAAAUGAGAGAAAGAAACAUACCUAAUCAACGUUGGACUCUACAGACCUCACAGAAUGCACAGUGGUAUAAUUACUUGGCUUUGCAAACGCUUAGUUGAAGCUGACAAAAGAAAUUUGAGAUGGAGAUAACAACUCUGCUGUGUGACCUUAUCGAUUCAUGGAAACAAAAGAAAUCUGAUUAGGUGAUAACAAAUGCACAUAAAUUGUAGCGACACAAUGAGGACAGUAUCCCAACAAUAGUAAUAAACUUUUAGGGGAAAAGCAACGAGCUUCACCAGCUCCAAAACAGAGGACACUGAAAAAUAGUAUCAAAUCUUGUAUGGGAAGCAGAGUUCAUAAUAAAUAAAUUAAUGAUGUUAUAAGAACACAGAACAAUGUACAAUAACGCAUGCUUAAUCUACAACAUAAAUUAAAAUAUACCAAUUGCAAUUCUGGCUCUGCGAACAGUAUUUAUUAGAGUAUAAAUGGGUACUUAUAAUUUUCGUCUUCAUCUUCGUCCUUCUUAAUUCAAGCUAUCCUGGAGGUUUGGCAUCAUAUAUCAUGACAGCUAGAGAACUCUUAGCAGAUUCAAAGGCUGGAAACAAUCCAUUUCAUGGCUUCAGUACACCUUCUGUCUGUCACUAAACUAUCUUUUUAGGCCAAAAUUAAGUUUACCUUUUUUUUUUUUUUUUUUUUUUUUUUAAUGAUUUCAACCACAUUUCUGCUGGCCCCAUCAGGCGAAGUUCUAACAUUUGGCGAUGAUAAAUUUAUCAAAUAUGGCAGGUGUUAACCAAAUACAACAUGCUGCAUUUGUUCUUGUUGCAGGAGGGCUUGGGGAACGCCUUGGAUACAAUGGAAUCAAGGUUAGUUCUGUCUUUUAAUCCUGUGAAUUGUGAUAACUGUUCUGUUAGUUUAACACCACUCGAUAAAACUUCAUGUAUAUUGUAGGUAGCACUCACCAUGGAAACCACUACAGGAACUUGUUUCUUGCAACACUACAUAGACUCCAUCUUAUGCUUAUCUAAAGCUAGUUGUACACAAACUAAAGGUACUUUUUGUUUCCCCAUGAACAUGUUAUCUUUAUUCUUGUAGGCACAAUAUAAACUUAAAAUCAAUAUAUUAAAAAACUGGUAAAUUGUCCAAUUGUAGGUGAAUGUAGAAGAGAAGCACCUUUUGUGAUAAUGACUUGAGAUGACACAUAUACAAAAACAUUACAACUCCUAGAAUCAAAUUCUUAUUUUGGGAUGAAAUCUACGUACACAAGUAAAACUUUUAAAACAGGUAAUUGCAUCACAUUUGGGUAUUCUUUUUGCUACAGUAGAAGGGCAUAAAUGGCAUUGUAAAUUCAUGGUACCAUGUUUCAGGAAAAGGUAGAUUGCUUGGCUGAUAAUGAUGCUAGGCUUGCUGUUAAUCCACACAAUAAAUACAGAAUACAGGUGCAGUUUGUAAUGCAUAUAUAUGUAUUUGUAAUCUUCCAAAUUAUAAACCCUUUGUUUCUCUUAUCAGAAAAAACCUCAUGGUCAUGGUGAUGUUCAUUCAUUUCUUUAUUCAAGUGGUCUUCUUAAAGAAUGGUAUGUAUGCAUUUUUUUAUUUGAUUGGUUUUUGUUUUUAUUAAAAUAUCUAUCUCAUUAUACUUUAUGGAACCAUCUCUUUUAGGAAAGAUUCUGGUUUAAUUAAGAGGGGUUGUGUUUUUUCAAGACACGAAUGGACUCCUAUUUAAGGUUCAUUUCAAAGAUUGCCUUAAUAGUAUUAUCAUAUAGAGUUUGAUAUACAAAAUUAUUUUAUUUAUUUAUUUAUUCAGGCAAUUCCUGCAGCAUUGGGAGUAAGUGCAACUAAAGAGUAGCAUGUUAAUUCUCUUUCUGUUCCUCAAAAAACCAAAGAAGCAAUUUGAGGCAUUACAAGGCUUACUCAUUCAGAUGCUAAGUUUUGUUGAAUUAUCUUGUUACUGAGUCAUGGUUUUUAAAUUAUUUUUAUAUUGACAAAAAUACGCUCAGGAAUAGAAAUGGUGAUUAAUGUGGAAUACAAUGAAUUGGAUACUCUUCUUAGAGCAACAAGUCAUCCUGAUGGAGAUGUCAAUUGUGACACUGGCUUUUCUCCAUACCCAGGCAACAUAAACCGAGUAUAAUAUAUAUCACUUUAUAUUUUAUUAUUAGAGUGAUUUUCCUGAUGUUAAGUUUUGAUUUUUUAUAAUUACAUUUUAUUGUAGUUAAUUCUUGAGGUUGGGCCUUACAUGGAUGAACUCUCAAAAACUGGUGGUAGCAAUAAAGGAGUGUGUUAACCCCAAGUAACUUCUCUCAUACCUCAUGCAUUCUUUCUGUUUCCUAAAAGUGUAUUUAAAUGCUAACAACCUUAUAAAUCACUCUAUUUAAAAACCUAAGACUAUUAAGAGUUUCUAUUAAAGGAAACUGCCAAAAUGGUCCCUAGUGUUCGAAAAUUUUCUUUGGUUCAAGUCCAACAAAGAUUUUUUUGUUUAACUUUUGGUCCCUAUGUCAAGGUUUCAUUACUUGGUCCCUGUAUCAUUAAAUGUAACUAGACAGCUAUUUGGUUUUUCAAAAAGACCAUUUUACCCUUCGACCAAACUCAAAAAGGACUCUAUACCACAAGUAAAAUGAGUAUAUUUUUGGGACCAAAAUCGAAAAAAAAUCAGCUAUAGUUAGGGACCAAAAUGGUAUUUGGUAAAGAUAAUCCCGUUCCAGAAAGUGUUGAUGUUACCUUGACUGAUUCUGAUAAUGAAGAUGGAGUUCUAGGCGUUUCAGAAAGUGUUGAAGCUCCUCAAAAUGUUCAGGCUUCCAAGGUUGAUAAGCCCCUGUUGCAGGAAGUGGACAUAGUUGGUGUAUCAGGGAGUAAAAACGCAGGGGGUUCAAAGAAAUGGGUGUGUAAGCACUGCCAUCAAAUGUUUACCAACUCUUAUACUAGAAUUUAUGUACACUUUUUUGGUGCUGCAAUCGGGAAAGCACCAGAAAUCAAUAGGUGUCCUGCUAUACUCAAGGAUCGGGUUAAAUAUCAAAGCUUGUUAAACAGAGUAAAUGUUGCUGAAUCAAAAGGUAUUUCUAAGUCUUUGAAGAACUCUGUAAUUAAUAAUAAACAAAGUUCUACUUCUAAAUCUAGAAAACCGCUCGAAGAUUCUUUUGGUAUGAUGGAAAGAAACACAGUUGAUAUGAAGAUUAUGAGAGCAUUAUGUACUAAUGGCAUUUCUUUCAAUGUUCUACGUAAUCCUCAAUUUCAAGAGAUGAUAACAGUCAUAAACAGGGCAUCUGCUGGUUAUAAGGCUCCUUCAUACGAUAAAGCUCGAACCGUUUUGCUUGAUGAGUGUGUGAGAGAUGUGGAAAAGGGGAUGACUUCAGUGAAGGAUACAUGGUAUACACAGGGGGUUUCUAUUGUGUCGGAUGGCUGGUCCAAUGUUAAACAUCGUGUAACACCGUAAAAAUUAAGACAAUUUUUCACUUUUUAAAACCAAAGUCAUUCAUAAUCAUUUUCAAGAAAACAUUGUAGCAACAUUAUCUCAUUACAAAUCCCAAGAUCAAAUCAUAAUAAACUCCACGGGUAUGGGUGUGUGUACAGAUCAUGCCGGUGCUUUCCCGCGAUCAUCGUUGGUACCUGAGACACAUAACAAAAACACUGUAAGCAUAAAUGCUUAGUGAGUUCCCCAAAAUACCACAUAAACACAUAUCAGCCACUCAAGGCUGUAACUCUGUUGACCUUCUGGUCGAAUAUCUAUGUGGGACCCUCUUGGUCCCAUAACUCUGUGAACCCACUGGUCCUAACUCUGUAACUCUGGAUCAUGCAUAUCACAUAUCACAAUAAAUCACAACACAUAAUAACAUGCAAAUACACUGGCAUAUAACUCUAAAAUACUCUGUCACAUAACUCUGUUACCACACUAGGUAAAGUAUAGUGAGAAGACUCACCUCAGAUGUCUCGGUAAAUCUCUGACUCGGUAGAAAUAUGAUCUAGCCUCCGCUUAAUCACAUAAAGUAAAUACUCUCAUAAAUAUAACUAUACUCAACCCUCUCUUAGCACCCUCAGAAGGGUAAAAGACCAUUUUACCCCUCUUUUGGCUUAAAGGCCACAUUGUUGACCAAACCCUAAAAGUCAACAAAAGUCAACGGUCAAACUUUGACUCGACUCGUCGAGUGCACUUGGGCGACUCGGCGAGUCUACACGUGUCCACUAAUUCUUUAGUCUCGCUUGGCACGUUGAGUUCCUCCCCUUGCUCGACGAGUCACACCUGGCAUGAAUCGCGAGGCCACCCCGACUCAACUCGUUGAGUCUCAAGAACAACUCGGCGAGUUCCGCCUUGAACUCCAGUGCUCUAAUCCCCUCUGACUCACUAAGUUAUUUCCCCAACUCGGCAAGUCUACUCACUGAGUGAUUUACAGGAAACCCUAACCCUACUCGCCGAGUCUGAUCUUUGGACUCGACGAGUUCAUUCCAUGCACAAACUCCAUUGACCUCUUAAGGUCAGAUCUGUUCCUUAAAUCCAUAGAUAUGACCUUCCCAAGCAUGAUAAUCACGUAAAGUUCAGACCUUGACACUCAUAUAGCAUCUAGAUGGUCUCACUUGGUGAUUUAGCCCCAAAAAUAAACUCCUAAGUUCAUGGCUCCCAAAAUAACCCAUAAAGCUCCAAGGGUUAAGGACUCUGGACCUCUUUGACUCCAGAUCCAAAGCAUAAACUCGAGAAGGGACCAAUUGCUCCACAUAUCCAUUCUCUAAAGGGGUUAGAAAACCCUAACUCUAAGAAUCAACACCAAAUCUGAAGAAGGUCCGAAUAAAUACCUUAAGAUGAAGUCUCUGAACUCUGAAAUCACCAUAAUCUCUCCUCCUUUAGCCUCCUCUUGCCUUGGUCACCUCCUUCUUCCAAUCACACCAACAAAAUGAUCAAAAGUGGCCUCUCCUUCCUCACAAACGCUCUAGAUCUCUUAGGGUUUCUCUCUGGGGUUUGGUAGCCGCAAAUGACGACCCUAAGGGACUUUAAAUAGGUCCCAAACCCAGAAAAUUAGGGUUUCAUUAAACAGCGUGGACUCGCCGAGUCCACUUAUGAACUCGCCGAGUCCAGCUGUGAACCCGGAUAAGAAUCCGCGACCAUACUCGGCGAGUCUAAGCACCAACUCGCCAAGUCCCCUCCCAACCUUCAAAAAUAAAGGGAUAAAAUAAUAUGUCUGGGAAUUCGGAUGUUACACAUCGACCAUUAAUCAAUGUUAUUGCUACCAAUAGCCGUGGAGCCAUGUUUAUGUAUGCAGAGGACUUUUCUGGUGUAGAGAAAACAGGGGCAACAAUUGCAAACUUCUUGCUUGAAGCCAUAUAAACCGUAGGACCAAGGAAUGUUCUACAAGUUGUUACCGACAAUGCAACAAACUGUAAGGCUGCUGGAAAGGAGGUGGAGAAGGUACAUAAACAAAUUUUCUGGUCUCCUUGUUGUGUCCAUACUUUGAAUUUAAUUUUUAAAGAUCUUGCAGUCGAUUGUUUUUGGCUAAUGGACACAUAUAGGAAAGGGAAAAUAGUUGUUAACUAUUUUCUUAAUCACACCCAUGCAUUGGCUAUUUUUAGAGAUAAUUUACAAUUGGAAUUAUUAAAAGUAGCCAAAACAAGAUUUGCAUCUCAUUAUAUUUUGCUGAAAAGGUUAUGGGAUUGUAGAGAGUCUCUUGCUACUACAAUUGUCCUUAAUUCAUGGAGAGAAUGGCAAAAAAUAUUGAUGAAAACACUAGGCAAAGUGGAUUAUUAGUUGCUGAUACAAUUAAAAAUGAAGACUUUUGGGAUGAUGUGGAAAGUGUCCUUGCUGUUACAAAACCAAUAUACUUGAUGGUUAAAUUUUGUGAUGGUAAGGGAUCAAUGAUGGGAGAAAUUUACGAGAAAAUGGAUAACAUGCUAGGAGAGAUUAAGGAUGUCAUGAUGAAUCAUUGUUAUGCUGAGUAUUACCCCCGAGUGGAGAAGAUUAUACUAGCAAGGUGGGAGAAGAUGACAAUCCCUUUGCAUUGUUUAGGAUUUGCAUUAUCUCCAAGAUUUUAUGAUAAAAAUUAUCUUGAGGAGAUGGCGGCACCAGGUGGAGUUCAUAGGAAAGCUCCAAAUCUUGAUAAGGAGGUUAUGGUUGGUGUAAUGGAAUCUUUUAAGAGGAUCGCGGAAAGUGGAGAAGAGGAGCAUCUUCUACGUGAGCAAUUCCCUACUUUUCACAUGAAAAAAGGCCUUUAUGCAUUGGUGGCAGCUUACAUGGAUGCGGUGACCAUGGAUGCUAUUGAUUGGUGGUCAAGUUACGGGUCAGAAACGCCCAAACUUGCUGUUAUAGCAAAGAAAGUUUUAUCACAGCCUAUUAGUAGUUCAUCAGCCGAGAGAAACUGGAGUACGUACUCUUACAUACAUAAUGUCAAGAGAAACCGAUUGAACUCCAAAAGGGCUGAUAAAUUGGUGUUUAUACAUUCAAAUAUUCGUCUCCAAUCAAGAUUCUCCGAAAGUUACGCAUCUGGGGCACACAAGAAGUGGGAUGUAAAUCCCGAAAGCACUAACUUGGAACAGUCAAGUACACGACUUUGAAGAAAUGAAGUGGGAAAAUCUAGAAGAUGUUGAGAGAGUAGCUGAUGAUGGGAAUGAAAAAAGGCAAAGGAAAGAGUAAACUUAGGGAUCUUUUGGUAUUGAAGUUACUUUGUUUUGAAUGUUGAAGUUAUUUUAGCUUUAUUUGGUAUUGAUCUUUUGGUAUUGAAGUUAUUUUGUUACUUUUGUAUUAAACUUUUGAAGUAUGAAUUGAAGUAUUGAUCUUUUGGUAUUUAGUAUACUUUUUAUAUUUAUAGUAUUAUAUAUUUUAGCAAUAUAUGUACAUCGUACUAUAUUAUGUGGUACACCGUUCCACGUACCAAAAUAGCGUUCCGGAGAAGACUACCCCCCCUCGUACCGAAUUUUAUAGAUUACCGAUCCUCGGUCCCGUUUUCGUUCCACGUACCGGAACGAUCCCGUUUCCGUGUAAUUAUGGGUCAGACAAACUAAUUUGAUAAUUAUCUAGAUAUAUAAGAGUUAUUUACAGUUUUGGUCCCUGGGUAUAGCUGGUUUUUUUCAAAUUUGGUCCCAAAAGUUCUCUUGUAAUUUUUGUCCCUAUUUGACGUUUUUGGUAAUUUACCAAGUAAAAUUAUCAUAUUUUAUAUGACCAAAAUUGCAAAAAUCAGCUAUACCCAGAGGACAAAAAUGUUGCAAGAACCUCAAAUAAGGACUAAAUUACUAAUAGAACUUUUUGGGACCAAAAAUUUAAUUUACUAUAAAAUUAAUAAUCAUAGAGUAGAUUAUAUUUUUGGUCCUUUAGUAUAGCUUAUUUUCUGCAAUUUUGGUCCUUAGUUUAUGUUUUUGUAAUGUUUUUGGUCUGUGUCAUAAUUAAAAUGAAUCUUUUGGUCCCUAACUAUAGCUGAUUUUUUUUCGAUUUUGGUCCCAAAAAUAUACUCAUUUUACUUGGAAUAGGGACCAACAACAUUACAAAAACCUCCAAUAAGCACCAAACGACAAAAGAGAAAACCUUUUGGGACAAACAUUGCCAAAACUAGUUAUGUUCAUGGGCCAAAAUGUAAUUUACUCUAAUAGAAUAAUGUAAUUUUUUUUCUUCAGGCUGGUGUUAAGAUAGAUGAUCCAGUUUUAAAGGUGUUUAAUGGCCAAGAGGUGGAGGUUUGGUCACGUGUUGUGUGGAAGCCAAAAUGGGCUGUUACAUUUUCUGAUGUUAAAAGGAAAGUCAAAGGAAACAACAACUCUGUUUCAUAAUGCUCUUAUUGAAAAUUUGUCACUGGACGGAACCCUAGUUAUCGAUUCAGUUAAUGACGCCUGAUGUAUGUUAGAAAUAGAAACAUGCUUUCAUUUCUUCCUAUUACAUCAUUGUAGUUUAAAGUACAUUGCUACUACUAGAAAACAUGGGGUUUUCCUACGGAAAAUAGCUACGGAAAAUUUCCGUAGCUAAUUAGUUACAGAAUUGCUACGGAUUAGCUACAGAAUGGGAUGCCCUAAUUUAGUAACGGAAUAGCUACGGAAUAACUACGGAUGCUAUUCCGUAGCUAAUUAGCUACAGAAUAGCUAGAGAUGCUAAUCCGUAGCUAUUCCGUAGCUAAUUAGCUACGGAAUGGCUACGGGAUACCUACAGAUACUAUUUACCUACGGAUUAGCUACGGAGUAUGCUUUCCGUUAGAAUUCCGUAGCUAAUCCGUAGCUAAGUAGCUACGGAUUAGCUACGGAUUUUUCUUAUUUUUUGAUUUUUCGGGCACCAAACGUCGUUUUUUCGCUUCGUUUUUUUCACACCUCUACUAUAGAUGAUUAUCNNNNNNNNNNNNNNNNNNNNNNNNNNNNNNNNNNNNNNNNNNNNNNNNNNNNNNNNNNNNNNNNNNNNNNNNNNNNNNNNNNNNNNNNNNNNNNNNNNNNACUACCAUUAUCAUCACCACCAUCACCAUCACCACCACCGCCAUCAUCACACAACCAUCAUCAUUAUUAUCACCAUCAUCACCAUCACCAUCACCAUCACCAUUACCACNAUCAUCAUCAUCAUCAUCACCAUCACCACCACAACCACCACCACCAUUAUCACCGUCAUCACCAUCACUAUCACCAUUAUCACCAUCACCAUCACUAUCACCAUCACCAUCACCAUCACCAUCACCAUCACCCUCACCAUCACCAUCACCAUCACCACCAUCACCAUCACCAUCACCACCACUACCACCACCAUCACCAUCACCAUCAUACUAUCAAUACUGAUCGUCAUCAUCAUCAUCAUCAUCCUCAUCGUCAUCAUUUAUGCAUCAAUUUGUUGUUGCUUAUGUUUUGUUUUAAGUUUAAUCAGGAUUACACUUAAAUUGAGGAGGUUUGUUGGUGAUUUUAUAUCAUCAAUAUUAUUUAAGUGUAAUAUGAUUAAAAUUGUUGACCAAAAAUGAUCUUGUUUAAUAUUAAACAAGUUAGGAUGGUGUAGGAAUGCACAUAUGUUCAUGUUUUUCAAUAUUCAAAGUACAUUGUUAUUCAGGGGAGAAGCCCCUAAAUGAAUGGGGGUCCGCAGGCAGCGCCCCUGGGAGCGGGGUCCCAGGGGCUGUAGCCCCUGGCUGGGAUUGAAAUCGCUCAGCGCGAAAUUUUUUUUAUUUGGACUAUGUUGCUAUAUUAAAAAAUGCAUCAAAAAUCCAAUUUUAGAAAGUUGACACUUUUUAGAAAGUUAACUGUUCGGGUCCACCUCCAUGUAUCGACUCCUACACUUUCCUUCAUAUCGACUCCUCGCUUAUGUCUUCCCACCUUUUGUCUUCUGUGAACGCCAACCCCCUCGUUGCUCGUCCCUUCUCCGGCGCAUUCACCCAUUUUCCGACGUUCCUUCCCUCUCCGGCAGCAUAGCUCAUCCGUCAUUACCCCUCUUUGCUCGAUUUCUUCUCCCACAAAGGUAAAACCUAGUUUUUUUUUAAUUUGAAGAAUGUAAUGGCACAUUCACCCCACAUCGCAGCACACCCUCUGACCUCCCAUCUUCGGCGUGCCCGUUCGUCAUCAUCUCCGGCUGUCGUUGGUGAUGGCUAAUAGCGAUUUCGGUGUUGUGGAGGCUGGAAAAACACGAAGAAACAGCCCAAUCGUUAUGAUUUUCAGCUUGUGAACACAAGAUGUGAAGGUAAUUUCUAUAAACCUAAGUUAACGUCGGUUUCGUUUGGAAUUGUUGAUUUCAUGUUGAAAUUGGUUGAUAAAUCCUAAAAUUGCUUAUGGAUGGAAGCUUUUGAGGACAUUAGAAACCUCAAUGCAUGAAUCGAUUCUAGUUUGUAUAAAGUAGAUUGUCAAAAUUUGUAUAAGAUGACUAAUUUCAAAGGUGUUUGACAACCUAAGCAUUGGUUCUUCUUAAAAACAGGUUGGCAUGAAAGAUUCAUGAAAUUUCACUCUAAAAGAAAACACAUUCAGGCAAGUAGGAUGCCUGAACGAGAAAAUUGUCAAAAGGGAUCACAUGUAUUGCUUUUGGGGGAACCUUAAUUUUGACAGAAGAGGAGCUACAAUGGCUCUUGGUUUAGAUAAUAGCACAUUACCAGGUCCAUUAAUUUCUUUAUGUGUAUUCAAGUCUUUAUUAAUUCUAGUUUUUGUAAAGUAAAUAUUUAUAAAUCUGAAUGUUUCUUUAUUAGGCAUAGAUGAUUAGAUGGAUUGAAAUGGUGUUUUUUUUAUCAUUUAACAUUAGUAAAAAUGGUUUGUUAAUAAGAUGCAAUUUUUCACUAUUAUAACACUAGGAAAAAUGGUUUGUUUGUUAGAUGAUAUUUUGUAUCUGUUAGCAUUCAUGUGUUAAAAUUAGUUUGAAUGGAAUGAAUAUUAGUUACCAUGAUAAAUAAUUCCCACAGUAUUAUUAACAUCGCUUGCAUAAUAUGAUUUCUUUUAUAUGCUAAAAGAAAGUUAUAACUAACUUAUUGUAACUAAAUAACAGUUGCACAUUCUUUCAAUUAGUAAUUGAUACUUGUUUUUACAUUUUUCAGGCAAGCUUGCAUGUUGUUAGUUUGAUACUUCCUUUGCCAAGUAAUCGAUCAAAAAAAUUUCAAUUUUAUUUUGUAAGCACUUAUUUAAACAUUUGUAGUUGACACUUAUUAUGUGUAUCAUUAGACAAUGUUAAUUAGUAAUAUGUAUUUGUAUUUGAUACUUUUUUAGGUUUAUUAGUUUUAUUAUAAUGAUAUUUGUUUUGUAGUUGAAUUUCAAUAUUAUUUUAAGUUUAAUGUAAUGGGUUUUUUCAAUAUUUUGGAGAGAAAAAAACUGGAUUUUUUUAUAAUUUUUUAUUGUUUUUUUUUUAAAAUAAAAAGUAAUUAGCUACGGAUUACCUACAAAAAAUCCGUAGCUAUUUACUUCCGUAGCUAUCCACUUCCGUAGUUAUUCCGUAGCUACUAACUUUCGUAGCUAUUCAAUUCCGUAGCUAUUGAGUAGGAAAUCCGUAGCUAUUUAUUUCCGUAGCUAUUCUGUAGCUAUGGUAGCUACGGCAAAUUCCGUAGCUACUCCGUAGCUAUUUCGUAGCUAAUCCGUAGCUAUAAUUUUCCCACAGGCCAUUAUGCUACAGGCAUUUUUCCGUAGCAAUUCCGUAGCUAUCCGCUUAUAGCUACAGAAUAGCUACGGAUUGUGCUGUAGCUAUUGCAUCAGUUUUCUAGUAGUGUGCCUGAAUAAGAAACAUUGAAACUAUGAUGUUAUAAUUGUAGUUUAGCCUAACACCAUAUUUUUGUUUUUUGUCAGGUGAAAGUGGGAUGAGCAGUGCAAAAUAAAGGUUGGGGAAUUGAAAGUGUUGAUAAAGAGAAUAGUGGAUUGCCAGAGGAAGUGAGGAUUAGGAGUUUUAAAAUAAACAAAAUGGAGCACUUGGAAAAAUGCUACAGUGAAUCAGGGAAGCACUGAUUGAAGCCUUGAGGCAAAAAUCUUUGCACAUUUUAUAUCCAUAUCAACUUAGGUUAUGUUUGGCACACCACAACUAGCUUAUUUUUUUAUUUAAUGUAUGUGGGGCAUCCCUGUGGCAUUGAUAUGGUGUCGAUGUUGACCUUUUUUUUAUUUAAUCCUAGUUUUAUUUGAUUUUAAAUUAAUAUAAAAUAAUUAACAUUUAUAUUAUAUUUUAAUAAAACACUUAAAAUUGAAAUUACUCUUGAAAAAGAAUAGAGAACCAUUGCCUUCACCAACUUCAUAUUCAUGAUUUCAUCACCCCAAAGUACUUCGUCUUCUUCACAAAACAUUCGUUUCAGAUUUGAUUUUUGUUCUUUUUUAUUUAUUUAUUUAGGGAUGAAGAUGAAGGUAACCGCAGGUGGUGGGAUAGAUAUGAAGACCACAAUGAUGACAAGUUAAUGAAGAUGGUAUGAUGGUAUUAUGGUUGCUGUUGUUUGUUCGAUUUUAAUUUCCCUCCCAUCAACUCUAAAAUUGCAAAAUAAUAAUAAUAAUAAUAAUAAUAAUAAUAAUAAUAAACAAACAAACAAAGAAAGAAAAAACGAAAAAAAAAAAAAAACAAACAAACUAACUAACUAACUAAACCCUAAUACAGGUUUCUUGCAUUUGAUGAGGGAAGGUUUCAUAUCCAAAAUUUUGUAUAUGCAUUCAAACAUUGAGUUUUCAAUGUUUCAUAUAUUUGGAUUAUCCUUUUUUAUUUUUGGUUUUUGAAAAGUUUUCUUCAUGAUUUUGUAAUCGUUCGGAUAUUUGGAUUAAACAAUUGGACAGACUUUAUAGAUGUAUAUUUCUAGCAGUUUUAUAUAUAUGUUUUGAGUAUAAAAUGGAUAUUUCAAAUCCGAUGGCUUCUAAUCCCAUAUAUGAAGUGAGAUCUCAAGCAAAUAAAUCUAUACACGGUUGAUUUAUAUUAAAAAGAGUCAUCUAUGUUUUUUUUUUCUUCAAGUUACAUUAUUCUGUAUUAUGUCCAAAUUUUCGGAAAAGUUUGAAAAUUUCAUAUACAAAUUUGGAUAUCAAAAUCUGUUAUCCUAAUUAUCCUAAAUUUUCAGAUAUGUAGCUUUAAACCCCCAUAGAAACAACAACAUAAGGGUUUUAGUGGGGAAGUGUUGAGGUAGACUGAUUAUUUUGAGCCGAUGUCAAACUUCAAAGAGUCAUGGAUAUUUUAUGACAUGUGCAAUUUCAAACGGUAUCUAUUAUUACCUUUUAAUCUCAAACUUUACUUUCUGAAAAACUUGUUCAUCUAUAGUCAUCCAGGGGCCAUGUGCUGUAGAUACAAUAGAGAACUCAAUAAUAGAAAUGAUAAUNNNNNNNNNNNNNNGGUUAAUUUUUGGUUGCUCGUUUAUUUUGGAAUAGUGAUGCAAAAAACUGAUGCUAAUCGUGUUUUCCACUGCAAAAUGUAAUGGAAGUGCAAUUACUACCAAAGUAAGAUAUCUAAUGGAUUUACUGGUACACCAUUACUAAACAGGUUCAAACAAAAUUGAUUUGUAUCAAACUAUUUUUUUCCACAAUGGUCCGGUUUGGUUUCCAAUUUUUUUAGUGUACCUCUAAUUUUCAUUGUGUUUUUUUAUGCUACGAAUGUAUGAUUUUUUUAGGAUAACUUAUUUCAUACAAAACAGGGAAAAUGGCCACCCAUGGUGUUGGUGGCAAAUAUAUUGAUAUGGGGGAUUUAAAAACCACAACCAAAUUACAUUACAUUACAUAUUAGAAAAUAAGAAAUCAAAAAUAAAAAAUUAAACGACAAACUACUCCUAUCUACUCUUUUGGAAACUUGAAACGAACACAACCACCUUGACAUAAACCCAAUCUUUGAAGCUGUCAUAAAAUUGAAAAAAUGCACGUCUCCCUUGGCGGUUGAGAAGUAAAGCCCCACAUGCUAUCCAAAAUCCAGUAGCAAAACCCAUUCCCACACCAAUACAAAACCAUCCCCAGAGUUCAUCAUCAUCUGUGUCUUCCCCAUCACCCUCACCUUUACCAAUCAGAGGUGGUACUUCUGGUUCUUCAUCUCCAGGACAUUUUUUGGUAAGGGGAAGUCCGCAUAGUCUUUUGUUUCCAUUGUAUCUUGAAGGUUCAAAGGAUUGGAGCUGAGUGCUCGUUGGGAUUCUCCCUGACAAGUUAUUAAAUGACAAGUCUAGGUAAUUCAGUAAGCUCAUCUGAGACAUGCUUGAUGGCAUCCUCCCUGAUAAAUUGUUUCUGGAUAAAUCCAAAGUUAGAAGCUUUUUCAUCUCACCAAUAUGCUGUGGAAUCUCUCCAGAUAGAGCAUUCUUUGAAAAAUUCAGGGCAAUCAAGUCUGAAAGAUUGGUAAUUUCAUUUGGGAUUUGUCCUGUUAGAUUGUUGCUGGACAGGUCAAUGCUCUUCACCAAUUUCAGAGUUCUACUAAAUUCACGUUCAUCUCCUUGCCACUCAAUCAUUGCAUGGUCAACAUAUGUACCACGUUUAUAUAUAAUAUUAAGACCUCCUAAAGUUAU